GUGCUGCUUUGGAUGCUCAGCUUGGGAUAUCAAUAACCUGGUCUUUGGAGGGAGAUAACUGCAUCAUAUUCACCAUUAAACACACUGGGAUACAUUCUGAAGCUCUGGACCAAUGUCCCAUAUCCAGACACAGUGACACCAGUCUUUUAAACUAACUUGUCCUUUCUACUAUGACAUCACAGGGGAUAUGUGCUACUAACACAGGAGUAUUUUAAGCCAAAGCAGAUUUAUUGCAAACAGAAAAGGUAAGCAACUAUUUUGAAUGGAAGCAUCUUAAUACAAUUUUCUUUUUUAAAAAUCUGUAUUUUAUAUGAAGUUUGUGCUUUUUAUUUAUUUUUAUGUUGAAAAUAAAGUCUCAUAUGGGAGCUGUUGCCAUCAAACGUGCAGAUCUCCCAAGUUAUCUUUGGGAAAGUUGGAUCAAACUUUAAAGGCUAUCUAAGGGAUUUAUUCAUUAAAUUCUGGAUUGUAAGCAAUUUGGCAAACUUCAAGCUAAAAUAAAUGAAAUUAUCUAGUCUAGAUAGUCAUAGAAUCUUAGGCUAUUAUCACUUACAUUUUGAUUAUUUGUCCCCCUAGUUCUAACGUUUAGUGAACAAACCCCUGUGUGUGGUAGCCAAAUGCAAGAUCAGUAGGGCUAAAAAAGUUGUCAUUCUUAUUCACAUACCAGCGACAUUAAACAAGUGUAUGAGCUAUAUUUACAGAGAAAGCAGGGGGAAUAAAGUAUAUUGCUUGGAUUUUAUUAAUACUUGUCAGCUGAACUAUUCAGACCAUGAUCAAAACUUAAAUAAGUGCAGAUCACAAAUCAACUGAUUUAACCCCUUAAGGACCAAACUUCUGGAAUAAAAGGGAAUCAUGACAUGUCACACAUGUCAUGUGUCCUUAAGGGGUUAAAAAAAUCAGUUUCAAGCCUUUAUUAAAUUGUACUGGGUCUGUAUGUAGUCACUUAUAUAGUAUUAUUUGAUGCAAUGCUACACUGCCAAUAUAAAUAAAACAAGACAUGUCUACUUCCACUGGGAAUAUAGUCAUACAAUGUAUUUAUUUUGUAAUUCAAAACAUAUGUACAAAAGGGUUCAGGAGACAAUUUCACAAAUGAGAGAGUGGGGGUUUGACAAUUAUAAUGCUCCUUUUUUAGGUUGUUGCUUUAGCUACUGAUCAUACAAAUAGAAAUAUUUUCAUUCCCAAUGUCAUCUGUUUUUACAAUGCAUUUGCAGAUGUGCAUUACAUUUGAGAGGCAAAGCUUUCUUGUGCUGUGCAUAUCUGGGUAUUAAUGUCAGAUAUAUAAUCCAAAUACCCAGAUCUACAAUCAGCUAUGUACAUCUGAUAUUUAAUGUAUUUUAAUAAUGCUCAUUUUUUGCCUUAACCUAUUAGUCAAAACUGAUAGUUACCUCAGAUGCAGGUGAACAACAUUUUGCUUUUAAUCAUUGGUCCCCACUCCCUCUAUGGUAUCUUCACCUACCCCCAUGCCAGAGCUAGCACUUUUAUUCCACAAUAUUAUUAUUAUUAUUAUUUCUUUCCCUCCCUAAUCAUUCUCUAAUUGUGAGGUGUCUUUUAUCAAGGGAGGCCCCAGCAUUGUGUUAUGGGGGAGCACAUGGAACUGAGUCUCUCCUGCUCAGUUCAUUUGUGGUUCUUUUGCUCAAUGUAAUGAUGCAGGCUGUUGGCUUAGAACAUUUAAAGCAGUGUGAGGCAGAUUUUAAAGAGCUGUAUUGCAGCCAGUUCUUAACUUCUACAAGAUUCUUCACACCUACGCUAUAGCCAGAAGCACUGCCAUGUAUACCAAGUUUUCAUGGACUCACAAUACUACUUCAUGCUGAGAGGCAGCACAUGAGAAGUGCUACCUUGCAGUAUAAUAUACAUUCCCAAAUGGAACUGCCUUGAUCAGCUAAUUAAAUUAGUCCAUGUAGAGUAUAAAAUUCAGGGUUUAAAAAUUUCAUCUUGCGAUAGGUGAUUAGAAAUUCAGCCCAUGUAAUCUGAGUACUCCCACAAUGCUGAAGUGAAAUAAUUAUUUAACUAGGUUUCUGUAAAGGGUGAUGCGACUGUGUGACAUAACAACAUUGCAAAGGUUAAUCAGCAGAGGAGUACAUCACCUUCCAUUAAAUAUUUAAGAAAUUUGCUCCUCCCUGCCACCUGACACAACCAAGGAUGUCAAGCUUCAAAUAAAUCAGCCAGCAUUGGUUUAGAGACUAGAAGUCCUAAAUUCAGGAGAGAUCCACAUUCUGAUCUGCCAGGCGGGGAAGGGUUAAUUACAGUGAAGCUGGAUUAUCAGUGAAAUGUAUUAAUCUCAUAACCUCACUGUGACUACCUCUUCAAUCAUGUACUACAGUUUUCCAUUAUUUCCUCUGUAUGUCUUGCUUUUUUCCCAUAUCCUGACCCCUUAUUUUCAUUUUUUUAUCAACAGCUGCCCUUUCAGUAUGCUUUGUUUUAGUGAUUGCUUAUGCAUAUAUGUGUGACAUUUUGUGCUGGAGGUUUGAAAGGUAACAUUAUAGCUGUGGGGUGAAUUACAUUGUUAAAGUUGUCAAACCACCCUGUAUCCACCAUAUUUUUCAGAAUCCAUAAUACUUGUGCAUGUUGAUUUUAGAAUUUCAUAAAAUUGCUUACCUAUACCAUAUAUAAUUCAUUUAGCUAAUCAAGGCAGUUCCUUAGGGGUUCAAUUUUUAAUUUAAUUGAUUUCCCUACUUGUUUCACAUGAAUUCUGCAAAGAGCAGAUGAUUAUUCUUCAUGUGCUGCCCAUCUGCAUGCAGAAGUGAUAUGUAGCCAUAAAAACCUGAUUCAUCUGCUAACACUUCUAGUCCCUAGUCAAACUUGGGUAAAUGCAAAGAAACUUGUAGAAUACUCUUCUGUCGGAACAAUGCCAUUUACAUCGUAAUGACUUAAUCUGGGUUAGUAGCCUGCAUCAUUAAAUUGUACACCGAACUGUGCAAGAACUCUCAGAAUUAUAUAGGAAACACUGGAUUUUAGCAAAUAAUAUUGUAACAGCUUGGCUUUUUUUGCAUAGUACUCCCAGUUAGAGUCCUGGGCUUUGCUUCUGUGAGUAUUUGUGUGUGGUGGCUGUGAGAUGUAUGUGGGAGGAGUCUAAGUGUGCUUGUGUCUGUGUGUUGAGUGGUGUCUGUGUGUUUGCUACCGUCUUGCAUACCUUUCCUGGUUGUCUGGUGGAGGAGCAUUGUGGGAUAUAUCACUUUAAACAGUUCCCUUGUGCCACUUUAAACCGUUCCGCUCUGUUAAUGACUUAGAGUGCCAGGGGACUGAAAUGAGUGUAGACAACAAUGCUUCCUCAAUGAAGUGAGGAGACACCGGACUGAAUAAAGUAUAUUGUUUGGCUUUUAUUAAUACUUGUCAGCUAAACUAUUCAGAUGUUCAAAACUUUAAAUGCAGAUCACAUUUAUUUAAGUUUGAGAUCCUUGGUGUCUCAAGGGAGGACCUCUAACAGCCAGACCUCGGGCCCAGAUGGAGCCAAACAUGUCCCUUUUUGAGCCUGUGCUCUAGGCAUCCACCUAAUGAGUAAUCUGGCUUUGCUUAGGACAUUGAAGGGACACUAUAGUCACCAGAACAACUACAGCUUAAUGGAACACCUCCAGUGGCAGUCAAUCAGAUGGCCACUAGAGGUGCUUCGUGGGAAAGCAUUGGAUUUGCUGAGAUUGUCAAUUUUGAAGAUCUCAACCAGUGCCGGCAGAUACGUGAGGUGCUGGAAUUAAGUUAAGAUGUUACCCUAUUUAAGGGUUAAGUGGGGGAGCAGGAAGCUAAAUCGUGUUUUUAACAGUAUUAUGUCAUGAAUACACAUGUAUAUUCCUUACCCUAUAGUGUUCCUUUAAAUUUUGAGACAUGACACAGAGGGCUACUAUAACAUGAAUGCUGGGGAAGGAGGGACAAACCUACACUUCUGGGCCCCCUCACUGUCAGAUAUCUUUCUACUUAACAUUUGAUAGUAAGAAAUCGGGAUGGGAGUAUUGUGAAUGAUUGUAAGAAGACUAUGUGGAAGAAAAUGAACCAUGUUUGGAGGGAAAGACUUUCCAAGUCAACAUGUCUUCAGUUCAGUUGUCGGACUACAAUUUGAAAUUUCCUUUGUAUUUGAGACACACCACACCUUAGUGCUGGGGUGGUCACCCUUCAGGCACUCCAGAUGUUGUGGACUACAUCUCUAAUAGUGCUGGCAAAGAAUCAAGGGAUAUGUAGUCCACAACAUAUGGAGUCCCAAAGGUUUUCUACUUCUACUUUAGUGAUUAACCAUGUAAGGGCAGCUGAAUGUAUAAAGGGCAGUACUGAGAAGGCACAUAGACAUUUGCCAUGUGCCAUUGGCAUAAAGCAGAUGGUAAGGGAUGGGGUAUUGCACAUAGCCAGUGAAAGGAUAUUGGCUAUGGUAGAUUCUCUUGCUGCUAUGAGAUUGUGAAAAACAGCUAGCACGAAGCAGAAGAGAGGGGAUGGAGCUUCCCAACACAUUUUGGUCCAGUCUCAUAUAUAUAUAUAUAUAUAUAUAUAUAUAUAUAUAUAUGCACUAAACUGUGUGCAAUGCGAUGGGCACUUCAUUCACUCACAUUAACUUGUUGCAAAUGUGUCAGUUUUUUUGAUUGUAACCUGAAUAGUGCAUAGGUCCAGAAGAGCUGGCCCUUUGCCCUGUGGUAAAGAUGGCUUUGCUGCUACACAGAAUUGGACAGCAAAUUACAUGUAUCACCCGUGAACAUGCAAAAGAAACGUGUGCCCAGGAAAACUUGGUGAACGUUGCUUGCAAGCUCAGGGUUUGACAGAUUUCAAUUACAGUUAUUCCACACAGUUUUACUCUUUAAACUCUCAGCAACAACAUUUCACACACGUGUGUAUUUAUGACUAAAACUGACUUUGAGGAGACACAGCUGAUAAAAAUAAAGGAUCUGCAAAUGGAAAGUAAAAAGAUACAGACAUAGACAGAAAAAGAUAGGACAUAAAAAUGAGUUGGCAACAGUAGAGCAGGAUUAAACAGUAAUAUAAAGUUACAGGAUCAUACAUUUUACUUGUAACCUGAUUUGCUGAUUAACUCUUCACUAACCAGGAAACUAUUUCCCCUGGGCUACCUAAUUUAUUUGUAGCCUAUGAAGUGUGUGUGUGUGUCUGUCUUGGUGGUUGGCAACACUGAGGACACAGUUCUAUUCUAUUCUAAACUUUCUGUUUGAAUCUGCUGGGCUGUACGGCUGAGUUAACUUUUGCAGUACAGGGGUCUUAUGCAGUUGCAACUCCAGCUCAUCUCCAGGGACAUAUUUCUUCAAAAACAAAGCACAUCUCUCCAGAUACACUGACAGUAUGUAGCUCUGGUCCCCAUUCCUUCUUACAAGACUGUCUUCAGUAUUCUGCAGCUGUGAAUGGGAAUCUGAGCUCUGGUUUAUCUCAUAGCCGGCUGUAGAUACUAACAAUGCAAGCCACUUGCUUUAUUGAUUUGCCUCCUAGCAGCACCGAGGCAGGGCAUGCAGUGGAGGGGGGGCAACCGCACACUUGCAUGGGCUGUGCAUACUCUUUUUUUUUUUUUGUAUAAUGAGUGGAAAUUUUUAAACCAUUCUCAAAGACAGCAGUGCGUUUAAUGAAGUGAGUCUUUCUAAUGGCAAGUCCUGCUAACAAAUGCUCCCCCUGUUCUAGCGAUGUUUCAAAGGGAGGUUUCUCAUGAUCUGCAUUACUGAGUCCGUAUUGAAAAGCACAAUGUUUGUCCCUCAACAGUCUCCGUUAAUUUAUAUAUUCUGAUUAAUAUUCAGGAGGGGCUCUGUAUCACAUGUUGCCAUUUUAGACUUGGACUACACUGAAAGAGGUGUUUAUGUAGGUUUUUUUUUUUUUGUCUUUGUAAUAAUUUAGGACUAUAGUCGGAUCCCUUACAUCUGCAGAGAUCUAAGGACAAAUACAUCUUUAUCUUAGAACAAAGCAUUCCUUAUAUUAGUGCCAACAUAUUAGUGAAUUGAUGACGAAUCCUUGAGAUAAGUUGUCCUACACAUGCAUGUUAGCUGAAGUUUUCAAAUUAAGUUAUUGCUCAAGAUGACCUACGUAUAUCUGCAAUGGUAUGAUUGAACAUAUUAAACUUUUUUAUUUAUAUAUCUAUCUCAAUUGGCCUAGUCAAAUAUGUUUUUGUGGUGGAGCUCCUUGAUCUUAUUUUCUUUAUCUAUUUUGGGUAGUGCAGGAAAAUUGAGUACCUUUUCAGAUUUUUAAAUCUGUCAAUUUAAAUAGCAUUUUAAGUAACAUUUAUAAAACAUUAGCUGUUUCAGAUUAUUGCUAAAUGAAAAUAUCAAUGGCUGUAAAUUGCAAGCUCUCUGGCUCAAUUUACAGCACUAAAUUUUUUGUGUGCUUCUUUAAAAUCUUCUUGUAUGCAGUACUGAUGGACAUAUAUAAUUGCUGGCUUGAACAUAAUUACAACAAAACGCUGACAAUCCUCUAAUUGAAUUUAUCAACCAUGAAAUGUGAAAUAAACAUUGUACGGAGAUGUCAUUAUUGUUCUGACCUCAGGUGGUAUAAGACAAUGAAAUUAGCAGGCCUUAGCAAUAAUUAAAGGACUUGAAAGAAUGGGGAUUUCAAGGUCAUCUGUACAUACUCCUUGUGAAUUGACUUUUUGCCUCAAUAGUGUAUGUAGAGGUUCUAGUCUUUUAUCUUGUUUUAUAUGGAAUUGCUAAGUGCCCUCAUGCAGUACUUCGAAACCAAACAUAAGUUGAAGAGGGUUUUCAGACCACAUUAUUAAUGAGGUAGAAUGCUUAAGUGUAUAAUUUAGAGCAAAGUAAUAAGCUUGGGAGAGGAAGGUUAUGACAAACACAAAUGUAGAACUGUAACAGAAAAAUAUGCAGUGUCUAUUAAUAUUCACAUAUACAAUACUGAGUGGCAUCUGCAUAGAGUACUAAACAGGUAACUGUAAUCUAAUGACAACUGUUGAUUCACUUUUUUUUCCUUUUUUCUUUUUUUUUUAAAUAGAAUUCAACUGCUUUCAUCUCCCUUUAAGAUGUUGAGAAAAAAAUAAGUAAAAUUAUGCUAAUAAGUAUUAGUCACUUAAACAUAAACGAAUUACCCAUUCCAUUAUUAGAAUGCUUAGUUAUGCUAGCUACAAAGACGUUAUUCAGUUGUUAAAAUAUGAACUUUCAUGUAUAAAAACCUGUAAAAAUACCAUUUGGUAUUAAAAUCAAUAAAAUUUUAGGGGGACAGCCCAUAGUAAUACAGUAUUCUAAAAUGGAGUGCUGGUGGUAAUCCCCUUGGAACCCACCUUAAAAAUUAAAUUAAAAUUACUCCUGUUGGCUUUCAUUUUUUUUUUUUUUUUUUCCUUUUUUUUUUUUGCCUUGCCCUGCCUUUCCGGAGUCUUGCGGUCCAGAUGCAGUUGGGAUAGAGCAAUUACUUUUCCUGCACUGAAGGAUGAUUACUUGGUUUUCUAAGGAAAAAGUUAGUGGGCAUGGAUAAUUAUUAACCUACUUAUCCUUUACACCCUGAGAAGAACAAUGCUUUCCCACGUGUAUUAGCGUGACUGACCUUUUUCAGUGAUUGGGGAGAACUGCCUUAUCAACUUCUCCCAAUUGUGUCUGAGGAGGUAGCAGGCACAACAAGACUCAACCAUGCAAGGUGAAACUUCUACAAUGAAUGGCAUCUGCAAGAGUCAUUUUAAAAACAGGUGAUUUGUUUUAAAAAAAAAAUGGCAGGAAAAAGUGAAUGGACACUUGAUGACCCAUUCCAUUCCAUCCUUUCAUUUUUAUUUUAUUAAAUUAUUUAUUUCUAUAUAUCCCCUCCCCCCCCCCUCCUUUUUAGCCAGCAUUAACCAUCCACAGAGGGGGACUUAAAUGUCCACCAUAGCCUGUAAACUAGGUGCCACUGAGUACAUCAGUAAUAGACCCUUCAGGAAAGUGAGAUCUGCAAAAUUGAUAAGUACUUUCUAAUACAUAUUAUGGCUUUAUGCCUCUGAAUGUGGAACUUUUUGGCUUAGUGAAAGCAUUAUUUAUUUUUAUAGUUAACCAAUAUGGUUUCAAAGCAUAAUCUUGUGUAUAAUCAGUUCUGCAUCCCUGGAUAAAAUUAUUAAUCUUAGAUUGUAAGAUCAUUUGGGACCCACUUCACCUAUGUCUCUGUGUCAUUGUAAAGUGAUGUAGAAUAUAUUGGCACUAUGUAAUGAUAUUAUUAUGAAUAAGCUUGAGAUGGGCAAGUUAUCAGUUGCUGUUUAAUCAGGAUUGCCAAUGUGAGCCCAUUUUAACCAAUUUUAAGUGGAAAUAAAGCUCCUAUAUAAGUAAUUGAUUGUAUUAUCACAUUUUGUAAUCCUGCAAUUUAUAAUUGCAUAGCAAUUUAGUAAAAAAAAAAAAAAAAAGCUCUGUACAAUGGAGUAAACUGUUUGGUUUUAUAUUGUGUAUUUAUUUAUUUUUUAUUUAUUUUAUUUUUAAUAUCAAAACAAAAGAACAAUAUCAAACUCUUUUGGAAAAAAAAAAUCAUCAAAAAUUAUAUUGCAUUUUGCAAAAUUGUCUGGAAGAUUAGCAAGAUUCAAAUGCUACUUUGCCUGCUGGCAUACAAUAAUGUGCUAUUAUAUGAUUAUGCUGGCUUUUCUGCUAUUACUGGAAUGAUUUUUUCCACCUAAUCUACACUGUACUUUAGAUUGCUCUUCAAAAAAAUAAAAUAAAAAUUAUGUGAAAUAUUUUAGAACGGUUACGUUCAAAUCAUAUUUAGUCUCUCCUGUCACUGUUGGUUCAUCACAAACUGCUGUCUACAUCUUUUUACACUAGUAAAAUUACCAAAAAAGAAAAUAAAUAGCUUGCUACAGAUAUUCCAUUAUGUAUUUCUUGUGAGUAUUGUGCACUACCUCACAUUCAUAUCUGUUUUAUGCAACAUUGUUUGAAAAAACUAAUUUAUUUCUCAUCUGACAAAAAAUCUGAAGCAAGAGAAAGGUAUAUCCACUAAAGUGAAUUAAAAGAGAAUUUUAAAUUUAAGGCCAGAGCAGCCGAUCUGGAAGCAUACAUGACUUAAUGGGUAUUUUCAGUUCAGCUAUGUUUACAUUUAAACUUUAAAAUUCACCUCAAAUUCUCAAUUUUGUGAAUAACCCUGUUCGUUUCCUUUAAAUGGGGGCUAUUGCAGCCUGACAGAUAUUUGAUCACUGUUGGGCACAGGGACAUGCGGGGAGACCCUGCUGCAGUAUUUGCAAACCGGGGGAUCUCCCUCUGCUAGGGGAAUCAAAGUGUCUAAAUGUGAUCAUUUAGGGGCUAUAAUUUAAAGGUCUACAUGCGUUGCUCAGUUUGAGUGCUGCAUACAAGUGAUUUAUCAGUCUGGGGCCACUAAAUGUGGCAUAUCUGACAGGGGAGCCCUUGGAAACUUCCAGGGAGGUUUAUCAAUGUCACAAAUUGUUUUACACUGGGCAGGAUUUUCUGAAAUAGAUGUUUCUGUGAAAAAUGCCACAAUUUAGGUAGAUAAUAGAAUACAUAAUUAUUAUAAAUUUUUUUAACCAUUAAAUAUAAGCAGAUAAGACACUUGUUUCAAGUACUUUAAUAAAUCUCCCUCUUCUUCCAAACUAAUCUAUGUAAGAUGGUUUAGAAGUUGUGAAAAGAGAUAAUGCUUUAAGCAUUUUUGUUGACUGAUUAUUGAGAAACAUUGCCUUAAACUACUUAAUACAAUCAAGUCAUUUAUAAAUAACAUUUGUUUUUGUUCACUUUUGCUCAGAGUUGCUCAUAAACUUUAUGCUGUGUAAACUGAGAUUUAAUUUUAUAUAAAUCAAUCUCCCAAGUGAUAAAUUAUUACCUUUUUAUAACAGGUCUUCUUGAACAACAACAUGACUAGUCAUCCCGGUUAGUAGCAAUUUUCUGAUAAGCAUUAAAAAAAUAACUGUGCAUAAACAACUGAGCCUGAAAAGAGGACUUUGCCUAAAUAAAUUUUAAAGAGGACCUAUCAUGCCCCAAACAAUUUAUGCACCUUAGAUUAAGCAUAACAUUCAUUCUAUACAUCGUGCUAGCAAAUAUAUUGCUUAGGAGAAAAAUCUACUUUAACUUUUUUUUUCUUCCUCCCAGCUGUCAGUCAAUGCUCUAGCAUGCCAAGGUAAUGACUGAUCCGAAAGAUCAGAAAAGAUUCCCCCCCCCCACAGGAGGUCCCUCUGCUCUCCACCCACAGAAACCACAAUGCAUGGGCUGUGGUCACUAAGGGCGGAGAGCCACAAACCUCUUUUCUGCUCUCCACUCAUUGCUUGACAUGGGUAACCAAACCAGAUUGACAAGGCCACUGACAAGAUUUGCCUUGCUUGGGGUUGCGUCCCAAGCAGGGAAAAAUCUAAGAAAAUUCUAGGCGGAGCAGAGUAUGGCAGGGAAUAAAUCUCUAUAUUUUAAAUUAAAUACAUAAUGUACCUGUGUCAUAUAUGAUGUUUACAAUGUACCUGGAAGCAAUUUAAAGGGACACUAUAGUCAUCAGAACAACUACAACUUAAUGUCUAUUAAAUCUAUGCAGGCUUUUUCAGAGUAAAGGCAGUGUUUACAUUACAGCCAUAGGAACAUCUAUGGCCACUCCUGUAGACCACCACUAGAGGUGCUUCUUGGAGUAGUGACAUCCAGUGUCUCCACCCUCUGCAUGGAGACACUGAAGUUUCCUCAUAGAGACUCAAAGGAGGAGAUGCUGAUUGACCCACGCUCUGUUUGGUUUGUGCUGGAUCUGCCCCUGAUCUACCUCCCUGACACGUUUAGUCCAUCCAAUGCCUUCCUAUGUAAAAGCAUUGUGAUUCUUGAGAUCACCACUUCUGAUGCCAGCCAAGGAGGCCAAUCAGGGGCAGAGCCAGCAGCAGCAGACUGGAAUUUUACUAUAUUUAGGGGGCUAGCAGUACACUGGAAUUUACCUUUUUUUUUUUUUUUUUAUUGGGUUAGAUCGUGAUUUUAACACUAUAGGGUCAGGAAUGAUAUGUUUGUGUUCCUAAUCCUAUAGUGUUACUUUAAGGCAGGGUUGGUGAACCUUUGGCCCUCCAGAUGUUUUGGACUACAUCUCCCAUAAUGUUAGCAAAGCAUCAAGGGAGAUGUAGUCCACAACAUCUGGAGGGUCAAAGGUUCACCACCAGGGCCGGACUGGGGAUACAAAGCAGCCCUGGAAAGAAAAAUCUAUGCCAGCCCCAUAAGUCAUUGUGCCAUAUAUUGGCGCAUGUAAUAUGUAAGGCUAUGUCUUGCCACCACAGAUGAUUGAGUAAUAUAUAUAUAUAUAUAUAUAUAUAUAUAUAUAUAUAUAUAUAUAUAUAUAUAUAUAUAUAUAUAUAUAUAUAUAUAUAUAAUAUACACACACACACAUCUCAAAUAUAUAUUGCCUUUUCUAAUAUAAAAUAUUGAUCCUUUUUACAGUAAAACGUUUAAUUAUACAGUAAGCUUACUCACUGACAUACACCAACUCAUUGAUACACAGCCUCAUAGACAAACAAUCUCUCACUGAUAUACAUAAGCUCAUUGACAUAAAAACACAAGCUCACUCACUAGCAUGCACACACAUGCACACACGCGCAUACACGCGCGCACACACACACACAGCUUAAUGUAGUGGUUCUGGUUUCCAUAGCCUGUCCCUGCAGGCUUUUCAAUGUAAACACUGACUUUUCAGAGAAAAGGCAGUGUUUACAUUGCUUCCUAGUGACACCUCUAGUGACAGACACUCAGUCACUAGAGGCGCUUCCUGUGUCAGGGCGUAUUGGCUGAGAUCAUCAAGCUUGAUGAUCUCAGUCAUAGAGGCAGGGCCAGUCGAGGGGAGACCAGCACGACGUUGGGGGAAAAAAAAGGUGCGUAAAAACACUAUUUUUUAAAAACACACACCCAUGACACAUACAUAUACCAUGACAGACACACACAUAUACCAUGACAGACACACACACACCAUGACAGACACACCAUGACAGAGACACACACACCAUGAGACACACACCGUGACACAGACAGACACAUACACACCAUGACACACAGACACAUACACACCAUGACACAGACAGACACACACACGUACACUCCCACUGACUUGGGAUAAUUGUUGCUACCUGUGGACAGACAGAUGGGUGUGCUGGCGGCCGCCGGGGAAGCUGUGUGUUCUGUCUCUACUCCCCAACGCGCAGCUUAAUGAGACUGGGGCCGGAAUAUGACGUCAUACUCUGGCCCCGGUCUUAUUAAGUAGUGUGGGAGCAGAGACAGAACACACAGCUUCCCCUGCUGCCACCAUCCAAGCUCUCCCUGUGGCCGCAGGUCACCCAAAUGUCUCGCCGGCCCCAGGUGCCGACGGCUACUCUGGCCCUGUUCACCACCCCUACUUUAAGGUAAGGUGAACAUUUUCAUUACAGGAUCAUGUUAAGCUAUUCCUGUAUUACCUUUUUAAAAUGUUUUGCAGCUACUUUUGUUGGAAGCAACUCUAUAUAACAUUUGCAACUAAUUUCAGCUGCCUGGUUCAGGUUUAACAGCUAUACCUCAUGCAUAGAUAAAGUUGACAUCAUGUCAAAUUUUUUUAUUUUUUUUAUUUUAAGCCUCUCUUGCAAUUUCACUAUAGUAUCUAAUUUUAGGUCAAAGUAGCUGAGCUGGAAAAGUGGCUGGAUAAUUUUAUUCCAUCUCUGCUUUGUUCGCAUAAGAUUGGCUAUUCAGUUGUCCAUUUUCAAAAUGUCUCCAGCUUUUUGAGAGUGGAAAAAAAAUCUGUUGCUUUUUUAGGAAUUUUUUAAAAAUGUUGUAGAAGACAAUUACUGCUGUUUUGUCACAUUCAUAUCAGUAACUUUAGCUGGAGUAAAUUCAUCUUUGGGCUCUAAGUGCACCUAUUGAGAUCCCAUCACUACCUGCUUCUACCUGCUUCCUGAAAGUGCUUUACCCUGAUGCAAUCUUUAUUAACUUGUGUCACAAAAGAAAAUUGAGAGAGAUAUUCUGUCGCACUAGGAGACCCAGAUCAUUCUACUAGACAACAGAAGUUGGGACCGACCUUAGACCACUGCUCAAGCCUAAAUAACAUAUGGAAUAAAGCAGGCCCACCAACUGUCCCAAUUUUGGCAGGACCGUCCUGAUUUUGUAUCCUUUCCUACAAUCCUGAUUUUGUUCCCUGGUGUCUUGCAUUGGGGUAUAUCAGGGAACUGCCAUUGGAUAGCACUGGGCAAGAACUCUCUGUAAAGUCCAGUAAACUGAGGUUAGACCUGGCCCUCUUUUUUGCUUGGGCCCACUCAUUAUGCGCAUCACCAGUGACACGUUUUGUGUCACUGGUGACUCCCCUCAGGACCUGCCUAACCAUCCCAACUUCAUAACUAUUAAUUUUGGGAGGUAUGAAGAAAAGGAGAGCAUUACUGACCUAUACCUCUCCAUAUCCAUCGGCCCUUCUAUUUACCGAACAUAAAACACACUUGUUUUGCAUAUGUUAAGAGGAAUGGGAAGUUGGUUUUGCUCAACUACAGUAGUGAAAAUAACAAGUUAAGACUUGGAGAGCUUUGAUCAUGGUACUUUCAGAAGAAUACCCUAGUCAGGAAAAUGGAGCAACAUUAGCUGAAUUUUAAGUGACCAAGUUUGGUAGGACCCAAGAUCGCAGCUGUAUAAUGCAUUUUGGGGUAAGUGUUCUUAACUGACCUACAAGUCAAUUUGGCGUGCCUCACUUGUAAUGCUACAACACCAUUAACUCAACUGCUGUCAAUGACUUAUUCAUUUCUCAUUCCUUAAACUUACUGGCAUUCAACAUUUUAGACAUAUAUGUUGCUUACAAACGACAGUCUCACUUAGUACUGGAUAUAAAUACUUAGUCUCUUUAAUAUAAAACUGUCCAGUAACAUCAGAAUGCCCUGCAACUGUUUUGCUAGGUUUCCUGUCUGCCUGUAAUAGCUGUUGUGGCAUUGCAAGUGUAUCUUUUAUACUAUGCACAGCAAAAAUAAAGACAUUGGAAAAAAAACAAAAAAAAAAACUUAUUGGCAUUAACUGAAACAUGACUCAGACACUGCAAUCCCAGUUUCAUUAUACUCUGGUGUUCUUCAAUUAACUUACACCCCAAGACAUUCUGACAGUAGUGGUGGCAAGUUAGCGUUUCUGCUUUCACACCAUUGCUCCUUGAAACCUCUACCCACACCCCUUCCCUAUCUUUUUCCUCAAUUAAGGUUCAUUCAAUUUACUAGUUCGAACCUAUCUUUAAAGAACAUCAAUGUCCACAAAGUCCAAGGUGGUUAAUUGGAAUGUUGAAGUACCCAAGAAUUAAGGUUGGAAUAUUAUUUGAAAGGAAGAAAAUAGAAGGUGGUCACCACUAGCUCCUCUCUUAUUUUUUCUUUCAAGUUUUAUUUCAUCCUUGGGUACUUACACAUUCUAAUUAUCCCAUCUAUGACUUUAGUAGCCUCAACUUUUUUUCAAUCACUUCCUACCUUGGGCUAUCCCAGUGGUCAAAGUAUCCCACACAUGUAGUUGGCAAUACCCUUGACCUAAUUUUAUUUCAGAUGCAUGCACACUCUCUAAUAUUUAACACUCCAUUACCUCUCUCAGAUCACCACCUCUCAUAUGUUGAUCUCAAGACCCCUCUCAGCCAACGUCCUAAGACUAACCCUCCUCAGUACAGGAGAAACAUUCAUUCUCCUGACCUUCAGCAAGUUUACUUAGGAGGCCACAAACUAUUCCAAACUAUAAACAGUAAUACUACAGGGAAUAGAGGUAAAGAGAAAUACAAGUGAAAAAUAAGAAAUAGAUGAGUAAAAUAAGCAAGUCCGAUAUUCUUGAGUUGAUCUUCCAGAAGUACUCCCUUUGCAAAUGCCUCUGGCUGCACGACUGUAAUGAACUUUCAUCCAUCUAUACCUUCUCCUCGUACAACACUACCCUUAUCACUGCCUUGAACACUCUAGCUCUGCUCCAAGCAUACGCCUCAAGGCAGACACACCUCCAACCGUGUGCACCACACCUACAAGUUGUGCCCAUCAAGCUGAACAAUGCUGGAAGAAGGCUCACACCUUUUCAGCACUACCACCGGUGUGCUGAUAACACUCGAGUACAUCUCUUCUCCUCUGAUCUCUUUCAUGCUGUCCUUGAAAGUUUUACCAGUUUCCUCUCUUUAAACUCUGAUUGGAUGUCCUCCUGCUUUCUAAAACUAAAUCUUUAUAAAGCUGAAAUUCUUAUCUUCCCUCCUCAUAAUACUAAUCCACCUGUUUCACUCUCCCCUCAAGUUGAUAGAACUUGCAUCAGCCCAUCUGUGCAAGCUCACUGUCUUGGUGUUCUCUUAUGCAUGCCUCACAUCCAGUCUGUUGCUAAAUCCUGCCUAUUCCACCUUAAAACACAGAAUUCAUGUGUUCAUGCUUUUGCAGUUUUUCACAAUUAUUACUGUAAUUUGCUCUCCUCACUACAGUCCCUAAUAAAACCUGCUGCCGGACUUCUUUUUCUCUCCUGGCGCUCCUCAUCUCAUCUCUCUGUCAAUUCUUACACUGGUUUCCUGUACCCAAUCAAUCAGUUUCAACUCAAAAUACUAACACUUCUCUACAAAGAUCUCAAUCUACCCCCACUAAAUGUUUCCGCUAAUUCAUAGGUAGGCCACUUCUCGUUCACUGUGCUCUGCAAGUGACCUUGUCCUGUCCGUUGCUCUUAAUUGUACUUCUAACUUGCACUUGCAGGACUUCUCUCGUGGUGGCUCUAUCCCUUUUAAACGGCCUGGCUAUUCCCAUAAGACUCUCCCCUAGUCUUCAAUCAUUAAAGCCCCUCAAAACCCAUCCCUUUAGAAUUUCACAAACCUAUCUUACUUUCUCUUCGAGAGCUCCACUCUCACCUUUCAAUUCUGCUACUUUCCCACCCUGAAGGCAGCUAUCCCCCACACUGCCUUCAUAUUGUUUUUAUACCCCCACCUUCUCUAGAUUUUAAGCUCUUUUGAGCAGGGUCUUCAUCAAUAUACUAUCCUAUAACAAUUUGUAAAAGUCUCAUUUAUUGUUGGAUUCCCUCCGAUUAAAUUACUAGAAAGCACUGUGUAAUAAGUUGGGGCUGUAUAAAUGCCAAUAAUACAAUGUACAGAGAAAGGCAAGGGUGACAGCAAUGAAUGGACACAGAAAAUGUUUCUAGCAUAUCCCCCAAGAUUUCAAACAAACCGUACAUGACCUUUUUAAUUUUAGUGGCCUGAGUGCGCUUGUGGCCAGAAAUGUUUGGUGACUUACUAAUAACAAUUUAUGCAACUAGAUGCAAUUUUGAACAAGAACAAUGUAUCUUAUUUACACAGACUGAUUUCUAAAAGCGUUUUUUUUAUAUUUUAAAGACUCAUUACUCUGAGUAUUAUUGCUGUGGAGCUGUGUUAUACACUCAGACACAACAACAGUAUUGAGCUCUAAAAAAAAUAAAUCAAAAUAAAGUUAAAUUAGAAUUGAAAAUGGGCCUAAAAUAUGGACUGUCUGUCUUAAUUAGGGACCAUUGGGAGGUAUGUGCUAGGACACUGAUGUGUAAAACCCAAAAUGUUUGAACUGUUUCCAUGAUGCAUGUUCAUUUGGUGUGCUUUUAUUGUUAACCUGACCUGCAAAGCAUGGCCUUGAUUUAAUAAGCAUUGCAGAUGAUUCUAUACUGUACGAAAAACUUUCAAAAUGAUUUAUCGCUGCUGAUUUCUGUAGAUAAAUUUUCCUAAAGCUUUUUUUUUUUUUUUCUUCAUUUAAAUGAAAUAACUUGGAAAGCAUAUUAAAUCGAGGCAGAUGUCAGAAUAAAAACAACCAUUAUUUAACUCUUUGCCUGACUAGUGACAGUCUUGUUGGAGAAUUUGAGAUACCAGCCAUGACCGCUAACGCAAACCAUCAAAGACAAAAUGUUGUAUUGUGCUUUCUCAAUAUGUUGCUAGCCAAGACUAAGAUUUUCAAGUCUUUUGUAAAUAGCCAGGCUUAAAAAUUACUCCUCACUGAAAAUGAUUGUACAGUGUGGGGAAAAAAAAGUAUUUGAUUUUGAACAUUUGCCCAUUAACAAAGAAAUGAUAAGUCUAUAAUUUUAAUGGUAGGUGUAUUUUAACAAUGAGAGACAGAAUAACGAAAAUAAAAAAUCCAGACAUCUGUCUUAUUACUUUUGGUUUAUUUCUCCUGUUUAUGCAUAAGUAUUAUUCUGGAAGACUAUAUAUCUUCAUAUUUUAAACACGUGACCAUGUUUUUUUUUUUUUUUUCUUCUUUUCAGAGUUGUAUAGUUUAAAUUCUGGUUCUUUUUUUAAUUUGCAUGUUCCUAGAAAAGACUACUGAAUCCAUGUGUCUUGUAUACUGUGUAGAAUUUCUUUCACACCAUGCAUCAGCUCUAAACUGUGCCAGGCCACCUGCUAGAGUUCCUUAGAGUUUGAAACAUCUGGGAAAUAACGUUUUACAUAUAAAACAGCCUCCCUAUUCAGAAGAUACACUAUCCAAAUAAGCAAAUGUUUAAUAAGAUGUGCCCUUUGCAGCCUAAAGUAUAAUGCAAUCCGGGAGCUUGGAAACAAGACCUGUAUUCAGAAAUAAAUUGUGUAAUUACUUUGAUAACACAUUAGGUAGAAAUAAAUUGUAAUCAGUCUCUGCUACAAUCGUGAAUUUUAUUUAUUUAUUUAUUCAUGAAUUUCCAUAUAACUACUUCCUCGAUGGACCAUAAACUUAAUAUGAUUUUAUUUAAAUUUUUUUUUCCCUUGCCAAUUCCAUGUCACUAAGCAAGAUUGACAAGUAACAACCAGCAUUGUUGAAACUAUAUUUAAAAAAAAGUGUUUUGUGUUCUAUAGUAGUAGUGAUCUAUUACAAAAUCUCAUUCUAAAGUCAUUGUUUUUCUCUAACCAGUAAAACUGUUAUAUUUGGAUAUACAUUUAUACAUUCCUGUUAUAUAUGUAUAUUAUUAUUAUUUUUUUUUCUUCAAUAUACAUGAUGAACUAAUACUUGUUCUAUUAGUUCAAGUAUGUGGCAAAAAAGUAUGCAAUUCAAUGAACUUAUUUUAGAGUGAGGGGUUAAGCAAAUAACAUUGGCAAAAAAAAUACAUAUAACAACAUUUUCAGUGGAUUUCUUAAAACAAUUUAGUUGAUAUAUGCUCUCCCACCCCACAAAAAAAUGCAUGUGUUCUUUUUUUCUUUUUUUUUCUUUCUUUCUUUCUUUCUUUUUUUUUCUUUUUUCCCCUGCAUGUUUUAUUUCGGGUAUAUGGGGAAAAAAUUGUUUCAAAAAGGUACAUACCUGUUUUGUACAGCCGUUUUGCCAGGAACAUAUUUUCAGUCUGUGCUGGAGUAUACACCAAUCAAAGGCUUUUCAGUGAGAAACCUCUGUGCUGACGCUGUGCGUGCACAUGAGAUUGCAGCUCUUGUAUGCUUCUUAAUAAGCUGUAGUGCAGCUCUGGGGAAGAAGAAGAAAAGCUGAAGUGCUUUAUAUGUCUUGAGUGUUUAUUUUAAUGUAAUGGUUUUGGUGUAUACAUAGUAUCCCUUUUCUCUGUGUUUAUUUUAAUGUAAUGGUUUUGGUGUAUACAUAGUAUCCCUUUUCUCUGUCAAUGUUUAAAAAAAAUAAAAAAAAUAAUCCAUAGAACAUGCUGGGUUUCUACACCAAUGCCUACUGUAGCUUCAGUUUCCUGAAAGGAGUGGACCCUGGUGUUGUGAUCAGCUGCUACAGCUUAUCCAGUUCAAUGUUUAAUAUGAGUUGCACAUUUAGAUAGCAAUAUUGUAACCUAGGGUUCUUUUAGUGAUUGCCCACUGAACCAACACUAAUGUGUUUUUUUUUAUUUUUAUUUUUUAUUAUUAUUAUAUCUGUAAACUGCAAAGGCUUUUGUGUGAAAUAAUCUCAAGGGUUUAGCCAUUUCUAAGAUCCCUAAUCACACCAAACUGCAUAACCUAGCACCCCCCAAUGUAAGCAGUUAAACAGUAUUUGAACAGUUUAACUUUUUAUCUGGGGUCUGGUGUGAGAUGCUCCCUCUUUAACCCUUUAACCCUUUGCUGAUUGACUAUUUUCCAAGUUUUUGUCAUUUUGUGACAAAGACCUUUUUAGCAAUGUGUUUGUACCAUGGUAAUUUUCUGUACCCCUAUACAUAUUAUAGGAAAAAAUAAUAAAAUAAAUUUUAUAUAUAUAUAUAUAUAUAUAUAUAUAAUUAUUUUUUUUUUUUUAAAUAAUAAAACCCAGUUUAAAACGGUCUGCAUCACAGGUUUCUAUACAAGUGAUAUAUAUAUAUAUAUAUAUAUAUAUAUAUAUAUAUAUAUAUCCUUAUUGGUCCCAAUUUGUUAAAUUAUCUCAUGUCUAGGACUUAAAAAUAUGGCAAUGCUGUGAAUUGUGGUUUUAUAAUAAUAAUUUGCAAUUCUUUUAUAGCACUUUUCUACCUGUGAAACACCUUACAAGUAUACAAUAUAAAGACAUAAAAGUUAUGAGUUGUUGAAGGUCAACUAAGCGGACUGAAUGCCUGAUGGAAGAGGUGGGUCUUUAGCUUUUUUUAAAGAGUCUGUAAGGACGGUAUCUCUCGGUUUGCACAUGGUAAAGAGUUCCAGAAGGUAGGGGCAGGGUCGCUGAAUGCCCUGGAACCUGAGUCUGUCUUUAUUCUUGGCACUGACAGGAAGCGUUUGCUGGCUGACCGAAGUGAUCGGGAUGGAAUGUAGGGUGUCAGGAGCUCUUUCAUGUACCGUGGGCCUUGAUUGGUUAAGGCUUUGAAAGUUAGCAGGCCAAUUUUAAAAUAUCUUGGACAUUUAAUUGGAAGCCAAUGCAGGGAGUGGAGAACAGGUGUUAUGUGGUAAGAGUGAGCUUGAUUAGUCAGUAGUUUGGUUGCUGCAUUUUGUACAGUCUGAAAAUGAUAAAGUACUUUUCCUUGGAGGUCCAAGUAAAGUACAACUAUACCUUAGCCAAGUAGGGCAUGCUGACACUUUAAUAGCAAUCCCAUAAUUCAAAAGUGACACACAUACACACACAUUUUGAAAUUAGACCCAUGAAGGUAUUUAACAAUCAAUAUUUGUGACUGUUUUUGUUUAAUAGUUUCAACGCCACCCCAGUGAAAACUGUUGGGCAUACUAAUUUUCUCCCCUUCCUCAAAAUGUGUAAUUGUAAGGGUUUAUUUAACAUUCCAUGUUUAUCCCACUUUAGGACCACUGAUUUGUGUCAACUAGUGCCGCCAGGUAUAGCAAUACCCCCACAUGUAUAUUUUUGUCUGGCUUAGGUUCAGUUUAUAGGGUCACACUAGAGAAUUGCCUCAAUACUCCCAACAUAAACUUUGAUGCGAUUUCUAAUCUUCUUCUUUUAACCCGAGACAAAAAGUAUCUGGGAAGAAGGUUUCCAGUGAUUUGCAUGUGUGUGUGUUACUAUCCGCUGAUAUUUGAUUUUAAACAUACUGUACCAAAUUAUUCUCUCUCUUCCUUUUCAUUAUUUUGACUAUCCAUCUCUGUAAGAUAUUUAUCAUAUCAUUGCACAAAAAGUAACAGAGGUCUACAUGUUGAGAGCCUUUUAUUCUUACAAAAGGCUCAUCCAAAUGUGAGUGUUCUAUUACUCAUUUUUAUAUGUGAAAGUUUACAUCAUACAGAGUUUAACAAUUUUUGUUUUGUUUGUUUCCUAAUAUGUUUAUAUGCUGCCCCGGUGUAUAUACUAAGGGGUUAUUUAUCACUCCACUUGGUGUUUGCAACAAACUAGGGGAAAGCAGGGCCAGACUGACUAAAAAAUUAGGCCUGUGCAUUUUUUAAUCACAGCGAUCCAUUGGCAAGGGGGCAGGGCCAGAGAUUGAGUAUUCUGUCAUCAACAACAAGCGCGCCUCCCUGCUAAAGAGCUCUCGCACGAGAAAAAGGUCCUGUGCAGUGAAAGUGAAUUUAAUGACAUGCUUCCAGUGUGUUUGCUUGUGACUUGUCUCUUGGGACUCCUUAUGUGGGGUUCCAGAGGACAAAAGGGCCAGGAAAGAAUACGGUAACUGUGUUUGGAGGGUGCUUGUUGGAUUGCGUGUGUAGAGGGAAUUGAUUGUGGUGUGGUGUUUUAGUUUCAGCUGUAAUUUAUUUGUGGUAUUAUAUGUUUGGCUAGGAGCUGUAGAGGGUGUGUGUGUGUGUGUAUAUAGGGCUGUAGUGUGUGUGUGUGUAGAGGCCUUGGCAUGUGUAAAGGGGGCAUAGUGUGUGUACAGGGAAUGCAGCAAGUGUGUGCACAGGCGCUGCCAUGUGUGUUUGUAAAGGUGACGUAACAUGUGUAAGGGUUGUAGAGAGUGUGUGCUUAGGAAAAGUGUGUGUGUGUGUGUCUGUGAGGGGUUAGGUGUGUAAUGGUGCUGUGUCUGUGAGCGGUGCUGUGUGCAGUGUCGUGUGUAUGUGUGUGUGUUAGGGGGCCUAGGGUCUAUGUUGUGUGUGAGAUGCGAGAAAAUUGUUUUUUGGGGUUUUUUUUUUUAAAACUAUUUUUAUUAAAAAAAAAAGAAAGCUAUGUUUCCCCCCCGCCCCCAACUCUUCUUCUUACCUUUGGCCAGGGAGGAGGGAUAUAAUGCUGCAAGCUCUGGUGGUCCAGUGGUGGUGCGUGCACUUUAGCCUGCAGCUUCACUUUAGCCUGCAGUCCACAAGCACAGUGCUGAAUUGGAGUGUAGCCAUGGUAAUGUGCAGGACAGCCUGCUUUCAGGAGGAACUUACAGCCUCCCAGGUCCUUCCUCCCUCCCACUCCUGAAACAGAUUUCCAGGGAGCCGGUGAGGGAGAUCUUUGAUUGAAAAUUUGGUGCACAUUCAACUGUUAGUUGGGUAAUGUGACUGGAUUUGCGAUUUGCAUUUAAUAGCUGGUUGAGUAGAAUAUGCUUUUUUCCAGCUAUGCUUUUUUGAGAUCCAAGAGAGCAUCAGUCAGGAGGAGACAUAACACAGAAAGGCAGGAUAUGUCACCGCACAUCUACACCCCUCUGUUAGAGUAGAGGUAAUCAAGUUCCUGGUUGGCUUAAGACCUAGGUCUUUGGGAAACCUAGCAAUGCUUAUUUAUAUAGAGAACAUUUUGCAUGGAUCGUUCUAGAAGCAUAGAAUAAAGCAUCACUGAAUAAUUGUAUAUUUUUACUAAUUUUUGGCAUUCAAAAUCGUGUAUCAUUAUUAUUAUUAUUAUUAUUAUUUUUGUUUUAAUUCCAUAAAACUAAACAAUUUCCUUUUUCUUUUUGCUGUUCUAGCAACAUAACCCGCUAUCUCUUGCCAAGGCAAUCGUGCUUAUUAAUUGUCAAACUAUAUAGUUCUUAAAAUAAUCAUACUAAACCAGUCCAAUGCAAAGUGUUGUGAUGGAAUUGAACUUGCUAGUCUAAUUCUAUAAUCUUUUGCCAUUCUGUCUCACUUAACAUUAUUUUCAUUUGCCUGAGGUACUCAUGCCAAAUACAUUAAGCUCGAAACAAAUAUAAUAUAGAGGUCAGAAUAAAAUGGAAUGAUGGUCAUUAUUAUCUUGAAAUCAUGACUUGUCAUGAACACUACUAAUAUCUGAAAGAAUAUUCAGAAGUAAAGAGUGUAUAAGCACACACGCACACACUAUGAAGGUGUCAUGUUACAUUUUAUAUACAGAAUUUUCCAUUUAAAACUUAUUGUCAUGUAUAAAAAGGGGCAAUAAUGCUCUGGAUGAGAACAUAAUUUUUCCUCUUUAUAAAUCACUGGUAAGACCACAUCUUAAAUAUUGGAAAACCGAAAAGAAUAUAUACACUAAAGCAAACAAUACAUAUGUAGAAAACUAAGUGUUCCCAGGUGUACCUCACAAACUCCUAAUAAAUGAUAAACACAACAAAGAGUGGGGAAAAACACCUAGUAUACAUAUAAAAAUAAGAAAGCCACCUGGUAAUGUAGACCAGGAUAAGUAGAUCAGAUGAAAAGCUAUAAUAAUAAUUAAAAUAUAGUUAUGGUAAAGUUAAAAGUAUGAUGUUAGUAGAAAACUCAUAAACAUGUGACGAUUCAGGCUUUUCACCCCACCAGGGGUUAAAAUGGACCAAAAGCGAUCUCAGAUUAUGUGCACCCUUGUAUAUAUGGAAAGGAAAAAAAAAACUCAUAUAGUGAAGUAAAAUUAGAACAUGAAAAAGUUUUAUUUGAAUGCACUUACAGACUGGAGUAAAAUAUGGAAUAUAGCAGGAACGUUGUGGAUCUAAUAAAAUUGCCAACAGCAGCAAAAAAAACAUAAAAGAUAAAUAAAAUAACAAUAAGAGACAAAGUCAAAGAUGGUUAGAAUCCAACGUGUUUCGUCUGGCUGGGGACUUCCUCAGGGAUAUGUAAUUAUUUCUUGUGAUUGAGACUUCUUAUAAAAUGUUGUGUUUAUUAUUAAGUGUUCUUGCAUAGCAAGACCACUUAAUGUUAUCUCACAUAUAUAUUAAGUGUUCUUGCAUAGCAAGACCACUUAAUGUUAUCUCACAUAUAUAUUAUUAUUAUUAUUAAGUGUUCUUGCAAGAACACUUAUUGUUAUCUCACAUAUAUAUUAUUAUUCUUAUUCUUAUUAAGUGUUCUUGCAAGAACACUUAUUGUUAUCUCACAUAUAUAUUAUUAUUCUUAUUAAGUGUUCUUGCAAGACCACUUAAUGUUAUCUCACAUAUAUAUUAUUAAGUGUUCUUGCAUAGCAAGACCACUUAUUGUUAUCUCACAUAUAUAUUAUUCUUAUUAUAGCCAAAUUUGCCACCCUAACUCCUCCCACAGUUUUUACACUACAUAGACAAAAAUUUACCAAAACGUGCAGAUUGUUCCCGAUCGGAUUGCUAUUACUUUGUGGAACGUUUCGCCGAAUGGUUCACGGAAUAUCGUCGUUUUUGUGGCGCAAUUUGUCCCAUAGGAAUGAAUGGCAAAGCUAGAGUGGGAGCUGCCAAAAGCUGAAAAAUCAGGACAUGAUUUCUAAACUGCCACCACUCCCUCUGGGUAUUGUGAUUCUCACAAUAUAAAGCUCUUCGCUGUAGGAGUUAUAGGUUUUAAGAUACGACCGUUUGAAGAUGGCAACCACCAAAAUACUCUGACCUGUGUCAAGCUGCAGCAGCAAGUGAUGUCAUAGACAGGGGCUUUUGAACACCUNNNNNNNNNNNNNNNNNNNNNNNNNNNNNNNNNNNNNNNNNNNNNNNNNNNNNNNNNNNNNNNNNNNNNNNNNNNNNNNNNNNNNNNNNNNNNNNNNNNNCAAUACAUAUGUAGAAAACUAAGUGUUCCCAGGUGUACCUCACAAACUCCUAAUAAAUGAUAAACACAACAAAGAGUGGGGAAAAACACCUAGUAUACAUAUAAAAAUAAGAAAGCCACCUGGUAAUGUAGACCAGGAUAAGUAGAUCAGAUGAAAAGCUAUAAUAAUAAUAAUUAAACACAACAUAGUGUAAUAUAGUUAUGGUAAAGUUAAAAGUAUGAUGUUAGUAGAAAACUCAUAAACAUGUGACGAUUCAGGCUUUUCACCCCACCAGGGGUUAAAAUGGACCAAAAGCGAUCUCAGAUUAUGUGCACCCUUGUAUAUAUGGAAUGGAAAGGAAAAAAAAAACUCAUAUAGUGAAGUAAAAUUAGAACAUGAAAAAGUUUUAUUUGAAUGCACUUACAGACUGGAGUAAAAUAUGGAAUAUAGCAGGAACGUGGUGGAUCUAAUACAAUUGCCAACAGCAGCAAAAAAAACAUAAAAGAUAAAUAAAAUAAGAGACAAAGUCAAAGAUGGUUAGAAUCCAACGUGUUUCGUCUGGCUGGGGACUUCCUCAGGGAUAUGUAAUUAUUUCUUGUGAUUGAGACUUCUUAUAAAAUGUUGUGUUUAUUAUUAAGUGUUCUGGCAUAGCAAGACCACUUAAUGUUAUCUCACAUAUAUAUUAUUAUUAAGUGUUCUUGCAUAGCAAGACUAAAUGUUAUCUCACAUAUAUAUUAUUCUUAUUAUAGCCAAAUUUACCACCCUAACUCCUCCCACAGUUUUUACACUACAUAGACCGUAAUAUACCGAAAUGUGCGGAUUGUUCCCGAUUGGAUUUCUAUCACUCUGUGGAACGUUUCGCCGAAUGGUUCACAGAAUAUCGUCGUUCUUGUGGCGAAAUUGUUCCCAUAGGAAUGAAUGGCAAAAUGUUCAAAACUAGAGUUUUGAAAAAUCAGGACAUGAUUUCUAAACUCUCACCACUCCCUCAUUUUCAAGCCCACCUACACAAAUCUUAUAUCAAAACGUUCAGCUAUCCCCGCUGCCGCUAAACAUGGCUAAGCCAUAGUCCUGAUAGUUUUCACAAUAUGACCAUUUGUUUGCAACUCACGCCGUCCCUUGACAUUCAUCGAAACUCCACUCUAGCCAGCUCAAAUUUGAAGGGCAAUUUCUAAACUGCAACUGUGCCUUCAUUUUUAAUAUUUCAGAGACAUACUAUGCAAAAAUGUAGGUCUUGGUCUUGUGAUUCUCACAAUAUAAAGCUCUUUGCUGUAGGAUUUAUAGUUUUUAAAAUACGACCGUUUGAAGAUGGCAACCGCCAAAAAUACUCUGACCUGUGCCAGGCUGGAGCAGCAAGUGAUGUCAUAGACAGGGCCUUUUGUACACCUGCUAAUGUUUUUAUAAAUGUAUGUUUUAAUGUAACUGUGAAGCACUUUGGGCAACAACAUUGCAAUUAAAUGUGCUAUAUAAAUAAAUAAAAGUUGAAAUGCAUUUCUCACUCUAUCAAGCUUGCCAUGUGCACUUUUUAAAUUUUAACAAUCAAUUGGUUAGUGUAAUGUUUACUAUCUUUACUCUCUCCAAACACUCCACACAGUUACUCUGCCCAGUCCAACCUUUCCAAGCCCCUCCAACCACACAACAGUUACUCAAGCCACUCGACCCGGUUCCUCCACCCACUCCAGUUGUAGACUACUGAUGGAGGCAAGAACACUUCACACAAUUUCCCCAGAAAUUGUAGCUUUUCUAGUUAUUAUAGAUCUUCAUCUGAUCUACUUAUCCUGGUCUACAUUACCAGGUGAUUUUCUUAUUUUUACCCAUCUUAAAUAUGUUGUCAUGUUCCUGAGCAGGUCAGAGAGGAGACGAUUGCCAUGGUUAUUGGUUGAAACUUUAUUUGUCUUUUUAGACAUAACAAUUUACUGGGAAGAAAUAAUUAAGGCAAUAUGCCACAAAAAGGAUAUCUUGAAAGUAAAUGAAUAAAGUUUUUUUAUAUACAAGUAGGUUUGACGUUAUUUCCAAGUAGAUUACUAAUCUGUGGAAUGUCACACUAUAGCCAGGUUCAGGAUGAUACAGGGUUGAAAUGGUUAAAGCUGGUAAGUACUUUCAGUAUAAUAUAGUAUAGGUUGCUUACAGGAUUAUGCAGAGUUGCAGUAGUUGUAACAGGUAAAUAGAUUCCGGUAUAAUGUAAUACAGGUUGCUUACAGGAUCAUGCAGUGUUGCAGCAGUUGAAACAGGUAAGUAGAUUCAAUAUGGUAGAUCAAGCAGGUAAGUCACUUCAGAUUGAAAUAAUGCAGAUAAAUACAGGAUGUUUUCAGGAGCCAGGAUCAGAAGUUCUAUGUCAGAACACUGGCUUCAAUGUAAAGGUCAUGUGAAGAGUUGGGUGUGGCCUUUUAUAGCAGACUUGGAAGAUCAUAUGAGGCAGGUGAGAGCAACUGAGGAUUGACUAUGGCAAGGGAGGCAACUAGAGGCGAGAAACAGGAAAUGCAGCAAUAAAAUAAAACAAUUUCUUGAUUGUCUGGAUAGGAUUCUGACAUAUGUUGUGCAAUUGGGCAUCUGUAUAUUAUUUAUUAUAUGUAGGAUAUAAUGACCCUAGAAAAAGUGCAGAGGUGGGCUACAAAAUUAAUAAAAGGAAUAGAGCAUUUUAGCUAUGAAGAAAGUUUAACAAAAUGUAGGGUAAUAGCUUCUUGAUCCAAGGAUAAAUCGGGCUGCCAUUCUGGGGUCAAAAAAGCAUUUUAUUUCUAGUUUGUUGCAAUGUUGGAAGUGCUUCAAACUGGAUUUUUUUGCCUUCUUUUUGAUCAACAACAAAAACCAGACUAUGGUUCUUGAGCCUAUGUAACCCAUUUUCUAUUUUCUAUUUGUUUUGCUGGAAUGGCACUGUUUACAUUGCAUGGUUAAAAUUGUUCUAGUGUCUAUCAUACUGACCGCUACUCGAGUCGCUUCAGAUACCAUCUUGGAUCUGCCGUGAGACCUUAUCAUGGUAAGGUAAUAAGAUUCUGUAUGCCUCUUGAUGUUUAGGUAGCUUUUCCUUGGUGUAGAUUGUGAUACCUCCUAGUGGUCAAGAGGGGGAGAGAACCGCUGUAAUCUUUAAAAACUGCUGAGAGAUCAGUUGUUUCUUCUUACAAAGGAUCACUCCAAGCAUCUUGGCCACAAAUCCAUGUAGGGCCAUAGGUGGUACAAGAAUGCUUUAAACUGUUGUAGAAGCGCACCACAGUAGACAAGAGCAGGUAAGUAUGUGGUAGACCUACCUCUGAAGGUAGAUUUGGAGCAGAAAGUCAAGAUUUCCCACCUGUAUGUGAGGAGCCCACUUAAUGCCCAUCUAUCCACCAUGCUGGCCAGGCUUUGUUGUGGUCAUUGCUUAAAUAUGAAUAUUAAUCUUUUAAUUAAUAUACAUUAAUGAAGCAAUAAGUUGCAACAUUAAUAUUUUUUUACAUUUAUAGGUAUUCUGGUCGAAUAUAUGAAUAGAAUAUACAUAAAACGUAAUAUCUAAUGCCAAUUUACUACUGUAAUUAUAGCAAGUAACAGGCUAUAACAAAUGAUAGCAAUAACAAUGAAUAAUAAUUCAAUGCAGAACAUGAACAAACUACAACCUAUUACUUACAAAUGUCCCCAGCCCUUCCCUUGCACUAAAGAGUUAGAGCUGACGUGAGGCAGGGAAGUUUAAAAUUCAGGCUUGCUUAUUGCAUCUGGAUCAGCUGAAGGUGGACUAAGUGCUGUUCUCAUGUGGGGGCAAGGAAGUUUAAAUUCAGUUUUAAAUUGUAAAAAAUUCACAUAAAGAGAGAGUGAGUCUGAAUAUCUAUUGCCUCUGCUUUUUAUUGCCAGUGAAAUGAUUUAUGGGAGGUAACUUCCCUAUAGUAGGAUGGCCUAUGAUGUCACUGCCUGCCAUCAUCAAUGAUGGCUGCAGUGAAUUUGCUGUGUCAAUGGAGGAUCACACAGUCUUGUGAGAUUCUCCAUAGACCUAAAUUCUGUACUCUCACACAUGCAAGAGAGUAAAGCAGUGACAUCUGCUCCUGGCCCAGAAGUUCUAGGGGUUGAAGAGGAGUAGAAUGAUCAAAUUUGUGGCGCCUGUGAGGGACAGGUAUAGGAUGGUAAUUUCACCCUUACCUGCCCCCCAUGGCCACCGAACCACCAGCGGCCAUGUCAGUGUCGGGGUCUUUGCAAAUUCAGCAAGGGCCCCUGACCGUAACAGCGCUGUUUUAAAUUGCACCCUUGAACUUUAGCUGAUGGCUAACAUACUUGUCAUAAAUGGUAAUACAAAUAUACAGAUGUUAGCAUGUUAGCAUGGUUGGAACAGUAUGCAUGCACAGUAUCAAAUAAGAUUACGAAGCAGGUACAGUCAAGGAUGCAGCCAGAGAUUAGUCAGGAAUAGACCUGGUGAGCAACAAAUAUCAAUCUGGAACAGGCUGUCAAAUAGUAUGUGUAAUCAAGGACGAACUGGGAUAUACAUUGAAUCACUCAUGGGUAUUUGAAUUGGCUUUAGUAAAUUUGAGUCUUAACCUCUAGAUUAUCAGGGUACAUCAGUGUAUGGAAUAGCCUGCCUACCACCAGAUUCUCCCCUAGUCUUCAAUCAUUUAAGAAGUGCCUUAAAACUAUUUUCUUUAGUAAAGCCUAUGGCCUCCCAGACUAACCUCUACCUCACAUACCUGCCUCUUGCUCUCUCUGAAAGGGCAGCACUCUACUCUCUCCUCCAGCUCUGCUCCACUCCCACCUAAUUUGACUCAUAUUCCCUGUCCUAAUGUGUUUUAUACCCCACCUCCUAUAGACCUUAAGCUCAUUUGAGCAGUGCCCUCUUCAACCCUUCGUUUCUGUAAGUUUUCUUGUAAUUGUCCUAUUUAUAGUCAAAUCCCCCCUCUAAUAAUAUUGUAAAGUACUACGGAAUCUGUUGGCUCUAUAUAAAUCAUAAUAAUAAUACAUUUUAGUUGGGUAAAACGGGGUUUAGGAUGGUAGAAAUAAAUUAAUAUGGGUAAGGGUUUGGUAAACCAAUUGACAUGGACAUAUGGGCUGAAAGCAAAAGAACAUACACCAUGUCAUUGUAAGAAAUGCAGUCCUCUAGAAUGCAUAUAACUUGCAGUAUUUAUGAGUGCAAUAUGUUCUCUUAAAAUGUAUUGUGUAUUUUAUGCUAUACUCUCAAGCAACAUAGCAUAUGUAAUGAUCCUUGUCUAUUUUUGUACAUCAGAACAUAUGUGUUUGUGACCCGCUGUUGUGCAGUGUAAUCUAUUUGAUUUUCUGUGUACCUGCACAGCAUGUGUUGAUCAGGUAUUUGUUCUCUGCAAUACAAUAUACCUGACUUUCUUCCUAGCCGUAGAUGUGGGGUCAGUUAGUUUUCACAGCUUUUUGUAUGAAAUUUAUAUUCUCCAUAUUUACAGUCAUUGUGAUAAUCUUCAACUUCUGGCCCAAUUAUGGCUGUAAUAACUUGCUUACAUCUCUCAGAAUUCAACACGGUGAGUAGGUAUAUUUAAAUAUUAUAUAUUAAGCCAUUGCUACUUUAUCAGCCCGCAGAGAGCAUUAGUAGAAAAGAAAAAAUAAAGUUUAAUAAUUAGAAAUAAUAGAUUGUAAAGUUUUGUGUGCUGUAUUCUAGGUACCGCUUAUGAAUUAAAAUGCUUUUUUUUUCUGUCAGAUGUGCAAACCUCUCACACAAUGUUUCUAAUAGACAUAUUUUAAACUUUAUGUUAAACACUUUAAUGCAUGAUUAAGGAACUGCAAUCUUUGGACCUUUUUGUUGUCCAGGCGGGAAUAUUGUCAGAUCAGCAUAGGGCAGCUAGUCCAUAAAAUAAACACAAGAGAGACAAAUAAAAAACAAAAACACAAGACAGAUGCCAGAAAAACAAUAGGGCUAAUGUCAGUGGCGUACACAUGACCCAUGGGGCCCCGGUGCGAAAAUUGAUCCGUGGCUCCCCCCCCCGCACGCGGGCCGGGCCGCAACACAUGGCGGUGGGCACCUGGUCGCAGGGCUGCGACCGCGGUAUGUACGCCAGUGCAUGCAGAUGCACACACACUUGAAGGACCACUACAGACACCCAGAUCACAUCAGCUCAAUGAAGUUGUCUGGGUGUCAGGUCCCUCUAGUUUUAACCCUGCAGCUGAAAACAUAGCAGUUUCAGAGAAACUGCUAUGUUUCACUGAGGGUUAAUCCAGCCUCUAGUGGCUGUCUCACUGACAGCCGCUAGAGGAGCACACUGAAUGUCCAUGGGAAAGCAUUGAGUAAUACUUUCCUAUGGGCGGUUUGAAUGCGUGCGUGGUCGCAUUCGGAGCUGAGAGGCUGAGGGAUCCCCAGCGCCAAGGGAGUCCGGCGCUGGAGAAAGGUAAGUGCUGAAGACACACACACUCUCACUUACAGACGCAUACACACUAGCUAACAGACACACACAUUUACUGACAGAGACACAUUCAGCGACAGACAUACAUACACACUCACAAAACAUACACUCUCAUUGACAAACACAAACUCACUAACAGACAUCAAACAGACUCACUAACACACACACACACACUCAGUAAGACACACACAGUAACACUCACUGGCACUCACUAGCAGACACACACACUAACACUCACUCUAACACUCACUCACUCUAACACUCUCACUCUCACUCUCACUCUAACACUCUAACACUCUAACACUAACACAUGUUUGUUUUUAAAAAAAAUUUAAUCCCCCCCAGCCUCCUUACCUUUUGGAGUGCUGGGGGGGAUUCCCUGGGGUCCAGUAGUGCUGGCGGGCUGUCUGGCCGGCGCGCGAGGGAGCACUCAGUGCUUCCUCUUCAGCUCCCUUCAGCUCCCUUCAGCUCCCUUCAGCUCCCGAUAUCAGUGCGGUGCGCGAGGGAGCUGAAGAGGAAGCACUGAGUGCUCCCUCGUGCGCCCGCCUGCCCGACCGGCCACCUGCCUGCCGGGUGUCAGCAGGGCCAGCCUCGGGGGCCCUGGGGUGGUCGGCUCCUGGGCCCCCCCAGGGGAAGAGGCCGUCCCAGUGGGUACACACCGCAGGGGUCGCGGCUGCGACCAGGCCCGGCCGACCAGGGGGCCCGGCCGCCCCUGCGACCCUGCCACUGGCUAAUGACAUCAAAGAUUAGAGCGGAGAAACUUCACGACAAAAAAAUAAAAUAAAAUCCCUACAGUGAAACUGUACAAAAGGUCCCUAACAUUUCUUAUUGAUUUCCUUUCCUCGUUGUUUUUUUUGUUCCUGCACACAUAUAAAGUCAUGGGGAUACAGUAUAAUUGCAAAUUAAUGGUGUGAUUCCUAAAUCCUGUAAAUGCCCAUAAUUUCCAAAAAUGUGAACAUUGUGAUUUAGGUAUAUUUGAGAUGUUUGCUGAAAUUGUCUAGUACUCAAAUUGAUUAUUUUGUUAUGACACUGUCACAUCAAACUUAUUGCUAAAGUCUCUAGCAAUAUAGGCUUGACAUAAUUUAUAUCUAAUCAAUGAUAAUUGUGAUCACCGUCAUAGGCGUGCGCAGCCUAUUGCAUUAGGGUGUGCACCCUAAAGCACAAACACACGCCGCGCGCGCGUGUGUGUGUGUGUGUGUGUGUGUGUGUGUGUGUGUGUGUGUAUAUAUAUAUAUAUACAUAUAUAUAUUCACAGACACACACACUCACAGACACACACUCACACUCACAGAAACACACACACACUCACAGACACACACACUCACACACACUGACACACACAUACUCACACACUCACAGACACACACACACACACUCACUGACACACACACUCACAGACACAUACUCACACACUCACAGACACACACUGACACACACUCACAGACUCACACACACAUACUCACACUGACAGACACACACUGACACAUACUCACACACUCACAGACACAUACUCACACACUCACAGACACACACUGACACACACACACUCACACACUGACACAUACACACUCACUGACACACACACUCACAGACACAUACUCACACACUUACAGACACACACUCACAGACACAUACUCACACACUCACACACACUGACACACACAUACUCACACACUCUCAGACACAUACUCACACACUCACAGACACACACACUCACACUCAGACACACACAUACUCACACUCACACUCACAGACACACACUCACAGACACACACUCACACACACUGACACACACACACUGACACACACACACACACUCACUGACACACACACACACUGACACACUGACACAUACUCACACACUCACAGACACACACAAAUAAUUAUAUUUUAAUUUUUUUUUUUUAAAUGUCCACCCAGCCUCCUACCUGGAGUGCUGGUGGACUUGUCCCUGGGGUCCAGUGGGGGCGGGCGCCUCUCUGCAGCUCAGCGCGCGGCGAGGGAGCUCUCUGCUCUCUGUUCUCUGCUUCCUCUCGCCGCGCGGGCUGUCUGCUCGAGCUGGGAGCCGGAAUAUGACGUCAUAUUCCGGCUCCCGGCAUCAGCGCGCGGCGAGAGGAGCAGAGAGCAGAGAGCAGAGAGCUCCCUCGCCGCGGCUGAGCUGCAGGGUGGGGGGAAUCAUCACCUCUUGCCCUCCCAUGACAGGGGCAAGAGGUGAAACGGGGGGCACUGAGUGCCUGCAGGAACAGCGUUCCUGCUCAAAAGAGUGCAGGAACGCUGUUCCUGCAGGACUCAAACCAUAGGGGUGCGCACGGGGAUUAGGGUGUGCCCAGGCACACCCGGCACACCCCGUGCGCACGCCUAUGAUCACCGUAGAAACAAUGUGUGAUUGCUCAUUGUGUAAUGAACAUCUAAUGGCUUCUUGGUAGCCUUGAUUAAUUUUGAGUGGUAAUAUUAAGUGCACUCAUGAAGAGUUUUUACAAGAGGUCAUUUGUGGUGGGAGUGGAAGAGAAAAGGUUUGUAGAAAUCUCCAAUAGCAAUAAAAUAGCAACGCUAUAUUAAAAUACUCUUUCGAUAAAGACCACAGAAGGAAUAGUUAAUAAAUCCCACCCUGAAGUUUAUACGAGAGCGUUUACCCUACAAUAUAUUGACAAUUUUCAACAUUAGCACUUUUGAUUUGGGCUCUGAAAUUCUUAUAUUAAUGAUGUGAGGGCAAUUACCUAGCAUAUUACAACACUCCAGAAUGAUUUUUGAUAAACCACUCUCAUAUACAUUGUUCUACAAUUAUAAUGACAGCACUAUGCUGUAAGUUAUAUAGUCAAACAGUCAAUUAUACAGAUCAACGACCUUUUAAAUGUAUUAUCUUGGCUAAGGCAAUUCACUUUAUCUAUUCAUUACAAUGCAUUUUUUUAUUUUAAAUAAUUACAUUUUACUGUUGGUAAAACAAGAAAAUGUAAAUGUGUAAAUCCAAACACCUGCCACUUAAUCAUCACAUGAUUAAAUAUUUUUUUUUAUUACGCAGUCUAUGAAGAAAAUAGUUAAUUAACCUUCUCUUCUAAUUAUUCUGUGUUGUAAUGUCACUUCCCGAAUGCAAAAUAUUUUCACAAUUUCUAAUAUGAAAUUAAAAUGAUAUAUAUUGCUUGUCCCAAGUCUGACAUUUACUGACAGAGACACAUUCAGCGACAGACAUACAUACACACUCACAAAACAUACACUCUCAUUGACAAACACAAACUCACUAACAGACAUCAAACAGACUCACUAACACACACACACACACUCAGUAAGACACACACAGUAACACUCACUGGCACUCACUAGCAGACACACACACUAACACUCACUCUAACACUCACUCACUCUAACACUCUCACUCUCACUCUCACUCUAACACUCUAACACUCUAACACUAACACAUGUUUGUUUUUAAAAAAAAUUUAAUCCCCCCCAGCCUCCUUACCUUUUGGAGUGCUGGGGGGGAUUCCCUGGGGUCCAGUAGUGCUGGCGGGCUGUCUGGCCGGCGCGCGAGGGAGCACUCAGUGCUUCCUCUUCAGCUCCCUUCAGCUCCCUUCAGCUCCCUUCAGCUCCCUAUAUCAGUGCGGUGCGCGAGGGAGCUGAAGAGGAAGCACUGAGUGCUCCCUCGUGCGCCCGCCUGCCCGACCGGCCACCUGCCUGCCGGGUGUCAGCAGGGCCAGCCUCGGGGGCCCUGGGGUGGUCGGCUCCUGGGCCCCCCCAGGGGAAGAGGCCGUCCCAGUGGGUACACACCGCAGGGGUCGCGGCUGCGACCAGGCCCGGCCGACCAGGGGGCCCGGCCGCCCCUGCGACCCUGCCACUGGCUAAUGACAUCAAAGAUUAGAGCGGAGAAACUUCACGACAAAAAAAUAAAAUAAAAUCCCUACAGUGAAACUGUACAAAAGGUCCCUAACAUUUCUUAUUGAUUUCCUUUCCUCGUUGUUUUUUUUGUUUUUUUUGUUCCUGCACACAUAUAAAGUCAUGGGGAUACAGUAUAAUUGCAAAUUAAUGGUGUGAUUCCUAAAUCCUGUAAAUGCCCAUAAUUUCCAAAAAUGUGAACAUUGUGAUUUAGGUAUAUUUGAGAUGUUUGCUGAAAUUGUCUAGUACUCAAAUUGAUUAUUUUGUUAUGACACUGUCACAUCAAACUUAUUGCUAAAGUCUCUAGCAAUAUAGGCUUGACAUAAUUUAUAUCUAAUCAAUGAUAAUUGUGAUCACCGUAGAAACAAUGUGUGAUUGCUCAUUGUGUAAUGAACAUCUAAUGGCUUCUUGGUAGCCUUGAUUAAUUUUGAGUGGUAAUAUUAAGUGCACUCAUGAAGAGUUUUUACAAGAGGUCAUUUGUGGUGGGAGUGGAAGAGAAAAGGUUUGUAGAAAUCUCCAAUAGCAAUAAAAUAGCAACGCUAUAUUAAAAUACUCUUUCGAUAAAGACCACAGAAGGAAUAGUUAAUAAAUCCCACCCUGAAGUUUAUACGAGAGCGUUUACCCUACAAUAUAUUGACAAUUUUCAACAUUAGCACUUUUGAUUUGGGCUCUGAAAUUCUUAUAUUAAUGAUGUGAGGGCAAUUACCUAGCAUAUUACAACACUCCAGAAUGAUUUUUGAUAAACCACUCUCAUAUACAUUGUUCUACAAUUAUAAUGACAGCACUAUGCUGUAAGUUAUAUAGUCAAACAGUCAAUUAUACAGAUCAACGACCUUUUAAAUGUAUUAUCUUGGCUAAGGCAAUUCACUUUAUCUAUUCAUUACAAUGCAUUUUUUUAUUUUAAAUAAUUACAUUUUACUGUUGGUAAAACAAGAAAAUGUAAAUGUGUAAAUCCAAACACCUGCCACUUAAUCAUCACAUGAUUAAAUAUUUUUUUUUAUUACGCAGUCUAUGAAGAAAAUAGUUAAUUAACCUUCUCUUCUAAUUAUUCUGUGUUGUAAUGUCACUUCCCGAAUGCAAAAUAUUUUCACAAUUUCUAAUAUGAAAUUAAAAUGAUAUAUAUUGCUUGUCCCAAGUCUAUUUUUUCUUCAAUGUAUAGAAGACCUGUUUUUAUGCUUGCAUCAUGUAUCUCAUAUGUGCAUGAGACCUAAUUUUAAAGACUAAAGGCACUUCUUCUUGUAAAAAAAUAAAUAUCUGAACAACUGAGUUUUACCAAUUUUAUAAUAAAAGAAAAUUCAAGGAUUCCAAAGAAAUUAACCACUUUUUUUUCCUUUCUUCUCCAAACUGUCAUGCUUUAAAUCCCUCAAUCUCUUCCCAGCUCAGAAAAAAAGACAAAGGGAUAAACACUUAUCUCUGCAGUAAUCCCUAAAACUCUUUUGGUAAACAAGUUUAAACUCUAGAUUAUAUGUCUAGAAAAUAUUGUUUAUCUGAGAGACUAUCAAAAAUGAUCAGACAUUGUAAUGUGUGAUUUAUGUAAGUACUUCAUGCCUCUAUUCUGCAAACAGUCUGCUCUCCCAGAUUAACAUUUAAUAAACAAAUACAAUCAUUUGGUGUGUGCAUUAACAUCUAGGAUAUAACAAAAUGUUUAGUGCUUUCAGCAUUACGCUAUUCGGAUAUAGGUUCUAAAAUAUGGUUACCGUAUUCUGGAAAGCGGACACCUUCAGUAAUAGAUUCAUGCAGACUGGAAUUUAGUCAAAGGAGUGUGAUGAAGGCCAAGGUGCCACCACUCUGGGUUAAAGCUGCCUGUAGGGAAUAGUUUUUUCACUGGAAUGAUGCACCACAUCCAUGAAAAACACUGAGCACCUGGCCGGUAGUGCUUAUAUUACUGUUCUCAACUUUUUGUGCCCAACUACACUUUUCUGAAAAUUUAAUGUGUUUGAUCAAUUUUUUUUAUUGCUUUUUAAGUAACUAUGAAAAUGUUGACACACCUUAGGAAUUAUAUUGGACAUUAAUAGGAUGAAUUGUAGGGAGAAGUUAUACGGAAUAAUUGGAGUUAUAGGUAGAGGUUAUGUAGAGUAAUAGGAGGAGUUAUGGGGUGAGGUUAUAUGGCAUAACGUGAGGAGUUACAGAGAGAUUAUCUGGAGUAAUGAGAAGGUCAGGGGAAGGCUGGCAGCCUUAGGCCUGGGGGGCAAAUCCAGUCAAGUGGCCCAUUGCACCAAGAGAAGAGUAAAAACACCUUUCCCAUGUGAUUGAAAGGGUGGAGGGGCAGAGACACUGACGGGCACACACCCACUUGCUGAUUUGACAAACACUAACAAACACACACUCACUGACAGGCACACACACCAACACCAACAGAGACACACUGUUACAGGCACUGAUUCACACAUACAGGCAUACUGGCUAACACACACAGACUAACUGGCAGCUGGCAACAGAAAGAAGCAGCGACGUGGGACAUGUCGCUGCCUCUGGUAAGUUUCUGAAGGGGUUUUCACCCCUUCAGCAACUGGGGAUUGGUGGGUGGGUGGGAGGGAGAGGGCACUUGCAGUGCCAGGAAAACAUACUGUUUUCCUGGCACUGGAGUUUCCCUUUAAUGGUCUAUACUAUAAUAGGCAUGUCUUUAAAAACUAAACUUUAUUUUUAUGACUAGUAAAUGUGGUGAAGGAAGGGGUAUCAAUAGGUAGUGUGGGGACAUUGACAAGAGAGGAGCGAUGAUGCAGCAGGCGUAGCUGCGUCCUCAUGGAACACGGCUGAGGGGGCGAUCGAGGGAGCCAACAGAGUGAGGAGAGGAUUGCCCGGUGUGCUAUGCAACUCUGAGGGAAACAGAUAGGCAGGGAGUGGGAGAGCGACCACCAGAUGUUUGCUAAACAAACAACGUUAUUACAGCCAGGGCCGGCCUUAGGUGAUCAGACCCUUGCACGAGCCCAACAUAUGGCGCCUCCCCCUUCAGCAAAAUCCCUGCCCCUUCUACAAUAGCCUUGUUCUGCCUACUACAAAACCCUUCCACAAAACCCCUGCCCCCUUUCUACAAAAACCCUGCCCCCCUUUUUACAAAACCCCUACCCCUUCUACAAAACCCCUGCUCUCCCUUUAAUAAAACCCCUGCCCACCCUUCUACAAAGUUUUUUUUUCUCCCCCUUUAACAAAACACAUGCUAUCAUAUUAUAUAUAUCAACUAUACCGCAAUGUACACAUAAUAUCACUAAAAACCUUCCCCCUCCACCAAAACCACUGCCACCCUCUACAAAAGCCCUGUACUCAUGCUACAGAAACCUCUGCUACUCUUCUACAUAAAACCCUGCUCCCCUUCUAAAAAACCACUGCUCCCCUUCUAUAAAACCCCUGCUCCCCUUCUAUAAAACCCCUGCCCCCCUUAUACUAAACUCCUGCUCCCCUUAUACUAAACUCCUGCACUCUUUACAAACCCCCUGCUCCCCCUUCAACAAAACCCAUGCCCCCUCCACAAAAUCCUUUACCCUGCCACUUACCAGAAAUGCCUGCACCCUCUUCUACAAAACCUCUCCUCUACACCAAAACCCCUAUCCCCUUUUUUUACAAAACCCCUACUCCUUCCUAAACCAAAACCCCUCCCCUUCUACAAAACCCCUUCCCCAAAAUCCCAGCUAGAAAACCUCUGCUCCCCCUUCUGCAAACCCCCCAUCACACAAAAACAACAAUCUAUUUAAUACAAAAAAGCAAUAGUUAAAACAAGAAUAAGCAGACUCCCAUUAAAGCUGGCUGCUCCCUGGACCCUCCUGACAGUGUCCUAGUCUGCUGACCUUGAUACCAAAGCACUGACCUCCUCCCUCACAGUCACUGUGCGGAUCCUUCCGCGAAUGACUUUGGAGGCGGAGCACACUCUUCCUCCGUGCUCUUGACCUCCUCUCUCUCCCGGCCUCUGCUCUCUUCAUAAUUUGCAUGUCAAGUGCACAGCACAAUGCACUUGACUUGCUCUGCACAUGACUUGGGCCGGCCUGUGAGUGACUGAGUGCGAGCUGCUUCAGCCGCCCGGCGCCCCUGUUGCCAUGGUGCCCUGUGUGGCCGCACAUCUCGCACACCCCUAAGGCCGGCCCUUACAUUACAGCUGAUUGUCAGGCAAAGAGCAACGGAGGGAGAACAAACAGAGAACGCCCAUACUACUGGUAGACAGGGAAAAUUUCCAAGCUGCACCUAUACUGGAGUUUAACCUCCCCUCCCCCUUCUCUCCUAGCUUGGUUUUCUUCUCUCUGUUUUGCUUUCUGUUGUCUUGCAAUACGCCUAUUGUGUUACUGACUUCAAGGUGAAGUAGAUAAAGAGAAUAAGAGCGAUACAUAAUAGUAGUGUAUUAAAGCAAAGAGGAAAAACGAGGAAGGGUAGAGUCUAAGAAGAAUAACCCCAAAGACAUCACCAUUUUUAAGGAGCUUAUAAUCUCUAGAGAGAGAUUAAAUAAACUAAGAAACAAAAUGGCCACUACAAAGACACAAAAUGGUAAACCUUUGAAAAAAAGAAAAAAACUAAAAACAAAACAGAAAAGCGCCUUUCCUUUUACUCACCACAUCCCCCAGAUAAUAAGUAAAACCUGGAGGAAUCUCUCCUCUAAAAUAUCUCACUAGAGGGAGAUAUUCACAGAGGACAUAUGGAGGAGAAUCAAGAGUUAAGAGAAGGAAGAAACAAAUAUGACCACCUACUCAGACAUCUAGAUACACAAUUUAGGAAACUGAGAGAAUAAAUCCAAGUCAAUACUCUGGACAUUAAGAAAGAACCGUUGACUCUCAAUCUAUGAAUACAAGAGAUAGAAGAAAAACUAAAUGGAAUGGAACACAAGGAAAAGUCCACAAAAAGGAACACCUGGCACUGGAAAUGAAAAUAGCUGAUAUGGAGAACAAAUUGAUAGACUUGGAAGACCAGUCAAGACAGAACAACUUAAGAAUUAGAGGAGUAUCAGAACAAAUAAAUGCAAAAAACCUGGAGUCCUAUUUAGAGGACUUUAUCAAACAUCUGGAGGUGGAAUGGGACUCCAGAACCCCUAUAACGGAGCUAUGCCAUAGAGUGAAUAAACCUAAAGGGGUCCCAGACCACCUUCCAAGAGAUGUACUGAAAUGCUUCACGUCUUUCAAACUUAAGACGCAAAUACUGAGAGCCAUAAGAAGCAACAAAUGCGCAGAAGAAUAGGAAACCCUGAAAAUAUUUGGCCAACCAGACAAAAGAGAAUAACCUUUUUUUAAUGGUACAUCAAUUCUGAGACAAAGCAGUAUUAAUUUUUGUGGGGAACCCCCAUCGGUAUUUAUCAUAUCACAUGAAGGAAAGUGUAUUCCCUUAAAUCAACCUGAAGAUCUACAAAAAAGCUGGCUAACUGCAAACAAAAUUGGAAGUAGCUCCAAUCACCAGUCAACAAACAGCAAGGUCCCAACUAUUUCAAAUAAAUUGGCACUAGCGACACUCAACUCCUCAAGUAGGGAAGACGAAAGAGAAGAAUAUAUGAAAAUAAGAACUAUGGAUGGAUAUAUAUAUAUAUACACACACACGUAUCUAUUUUUAUUUUUUAUUUAUUUUUUUGGGAGGUGACUAAGAGCACAAGGGGAUAAUGGGAAAACACAAGCAGAUAAGUAAUAAGGAAAACUAGGAACCAAGGGGAAAUAAAACCAAGGAACAAGGAAAAUGUAUAAAUGUAGAUUAUGAUUAGGAGUUGCUCAAGCACAUAUUUAACAUAAGUGUAGCGGAGAGCUGGUAUUUCACAGAUAAACUCCACUAAAGAUCCCAGGGAGGCUCAGGAACAAGUUAUUCAAACACUAUAGAAUAAUAAUAAUCCCAGCAAGCAAGGUAAUCCACGAAUAUUCCCAUAUAGAUCCCAAUGACUGGACGACACAUAGCAUCAAGAGCAGAACUGACUUUUAAUCCGCACAACCUCCUUAUAAAGCUUUCUCCCAUGCAAGGGAGGGAUUCACAUUAAUCAGUACAGUAUCCAAUAGUGUAACAGUUACCUCCCACACAUCUCCUCCCCUCAGUGUGACACAUAAUCCCAUUAAUCAUGCUGUAGUUUUCCCCAAGUUCUGGAUGUACCCCAAAACAAGCAGUUCAAAUAAUACUUGUGGUACCCCCUGGUAGCCCUGAUCUGGGUGACUAACAUAUCCAAAAUACACCCAGGUCGGACCAGGGGUUCGGGAGUUAGGUGGAGGGUGUAAUUUGACCAACCGCACACGAGGUGGUAUUCGAAAAAGGCUCCAUGUGUUUUGGCCUUGCGGUCGGUCUCUGUUCAGGAGUUAAAAGACAUAGAAAUACCUACCAUCCACAGCUAAUCUUCCAUUCGCAUCAAUCCCCUUGUUCGGGACAUUGAUUUUACCAAACGGAGGGCUGACUAGUCCCUCCGUUCUUGAGUUAUAGAACUCUGGAGGUCUCAGCGGUGUUCGGUUGUUUGAGUGUCUGAUUUAAGUUCCAGACACUCGACGACCAAACACUGCUGAGAUUUUUAUGCGUAAGAUGGCCGCCGCACGUGGUUUGUAUGCCGAACGGCGACCACACAGGCACAUACAAUGUAUCAAUUAUGCUGCGGUUUGCAGAGUGUGAACACUACUACUACUCAAUACACCAUGUAAAAGGUCUAUAACUUUUUAGAUUUCUUGAUAAAAAAUCAGGUACAAUUUGUGCCCUUCAAGAAUCUCACUAGAUACAAUCCAAUAAGUUCAACAAAAUACCCCAUCAUUAUAAAUAUGGCUUUGGAAAAUAAAAAAAGAAGCGUGGCAUUUGUUUGCUAAAAAUGUGUUCCUAAAUAUAAACAUAAAAACACUAGACCCAGAGGGCCGCUACGUUAUUUUAGUAUGUGAAAUACUGGUUUAUUAGAUAUGCCAAAAAUUCUACCCAACCAAUUAAAACUAAACCAGCCCAUAACAGAAGUAGAGGGUAAUAAAUCAAUAUAGAAGCUCAAAAUAAACACUGCCCAAACUGCUUUACAAAUCCAUUUUAUAAACUGAUAAAAGACCAAUUAAAAGGAAACUUAUUAUCGUUAAUUACAUAAUGAGAACAGGAGGCUGUCCUGGAGAGUUGAGCGAAUAUUGUUCCCAUCCCCAAAGCAGAUAACAAUCCAGAAUUGAUUAACAACUAUAGACCCAUUUCGUUAAUCAAUACUGGCGUUAAAAUAUUUUCUUCUAUUCUUGAAGAAAAAUUUAAAAUACAGGGAGUGCAGAAUUAUUAGGCAAAUGAGUAUUUUGACCACAUCAUCCUCUUUAUGCAUGUUGUCUUACUCCAAGCUGUAUAGGCUCGAAAGCCUACUACCAAUUAAGCAUAUUAGGUGAUGUGCAUCUCUGUAAUGAGAAGGGGUGUGGUCUAAUGACAUCAACACCCUAUAUCAGGUGUGCAUAAUUAUUAGGCAACUUCCUUUCCUUUGGCAAAAUGGGUCAAAAGAAGGACUUGACAGGCUCAGAAAAGUCAAAAAUAGUGAGAUAUCUUGCAGAGGGAUGCAGCACUCUUAAAAUUGCAAAGCUUCUGAAGCGUGAUCAUCGAACAAUCAAGCGUUUCAUUCAAAAUAGUCAACAGGGUCGCAAGAAGCGUGUGGAAAAACCAAGGCGCAAAAUAACUGCCCAUGAACUGAGAAAAGUCAAGCGUGCAGCUGCCACGAUGCCACUUGCCACCAGUUUGGCCAUAUUUCAGAGCUGCAACAUCACUGGAGUGCCCAAAAGCACAAGGUGUGCAAUACUCAGAGACAUGGCCAAGGUAAGAAAGGCUGAAAGACGACCACCACUGAACAAGACACACAAGCUGAAACGUCAAGACUGGGCCAAGAAAUAUCUCAAGACUGAUUUUUCUAAGGUUUUAUGGACUGAUGAAAUGAGAGUGAGUCUUGAUGGGCCAGAUGGAUUGGCCCGUGGCUGGAUUGGUAAAGGGCAGAGAGCUCCAGUCCGACUCAGACGCCAGCAAGGUGGAGGUGGAGUACUGGUUUGGGCUGGUAUCAUCAAAGAUGAGCUUUUCGGGUUGAGGAUGGAGUCAAGCUCAACUCCCAGUCCUACUGCCAGUUCCUGGAAGACACCUUCUUCAAGCAGUGGUACAGGAAGAAGUCUGCAUCCUUCAAGAAAAACAUGAUUUUCAUGCAGGACAAUGCUCCAUCACACGCGUCCAAGUACUCCACAGCGUGGCUGGCAAGAAAGGGUAUAAAAGAAGAAAAUCUAAUGACAUGGCCUCCUUGUUCACCUGAUCUGAACCCCAUUGAGAACCUGUGGUCCAUCAUCAAAUGUGAGAUUUACAAGGAGGGAAAACAGUACACCUCUCUGAACAGUGUCUGGGAGGCUGUGGUUGCUGCUGCACGCAAUGUUGAUGGUGAACAGAUCAAAACACUGACAGAAUCCAUGGGUGGCAGGCUUUUGAGUGUCCUUGCAAAGAAAGGUGGCUAUAUUGGUCACUGAUUUGUUUUUGUUUUGUUUUUGAAUGUCAGAAAUGUAUAUUUGUGAAUGUUGAGAUGUUAUAUUGGUUUCACUGGUAAUAAUAAAUAAUUGAAAUGGGUAUAUAUUUGUUUUUUGUUAAGUUGCCUAAUAAUUAUGCACAGUAAUAGUCACCUGCACACACAGAUAUCCCCCUAACAUUGCUAUAACUAAAAACAAACUAAAAACUACUUCCAAAAAUAUUCAGCUUUGAUAUUAAUGAGUUUUUUGGGUUCAUUGAGAACAUGGUUGUUGUUCAAUAAUAAAAUUAAUCCUCAAAAAUACAACUUGCCUAAUAAUUCUGCACUCCCUGUAGUUAUACCACAAUUAAUCAACAAUGAUCAAGUAGGAUUCAUACCAAGGAGGUCCUCCAUCAAUAAUCUUAGAAAAAUAAUAAACAUAUUAGAAGAAACAGAGAACAAUUAAACCCCUCUAAUGUUACUGUCAAUAGAUGCAGAGAAAGCGUUUGACAGGGUUGGUUUCAUGUUCGCUACCCUAAAACAAUUUGGAAUUACUGGUUCAAUACUACAAGUUAUAUUCGCUCUCUAGAAUUCUCCAUCAGAAAAAGUUACAGGGUCAGGAUUUACUUCACAAAACUUUAAUAUUAAAAACGGGACAAGGCAAGGGUGCCCCAUUUCUCCUUUAUUGUACAUAAUGUUGUUAAAACCCCUAACGAUUUUAAUAAGACAAUACAAAAAAAUUCAAGGUUUCACUAACGCGUUAAGACAAAUAAAAUUUAAAUAUCUAUGCAGACGAUAUUUUAUUAACAUUAGAAGAACCUAGAGUUAAUGAAGGAGAUAAAUAAAAAAUACUCUAAAGUCUCAGGAUACAAAAUGAAUGAAAGAGAAAUCACUAUUCAUUGCCAAAAUUGAUUUAUUUAGGCAUAGGCAUAACCUCAGAGCUAAAAGACCUAAUAGAAGCCAACUUCUUACCCUUAUUAAAACAAACCAAUAAAAACUUAAGGGACUGGAAAGGUUUGUGUUUCUCUUGGUUGGGUAGACUAUAUAUCUUAAAAGCAUAUAUUUUACCAAAAUGGCUGUAAUUAUGGAGAAUGAUCCCUCUCAACUUCCCCAAAAAUUGGCUUUCUCUACUACACUCAUCCUUCUUUAACUUUGUAUGGGAUGACAAGAAAGCAAGGGUUAAAAUGAAAAAUGUGGCUAGGUCAAGGCAAGAUGGAGGUUUGGGGUGCCCAGAAAUUCUACAAUGUUAUCUGACUAGUAGACUGUUUCAUAUAUUGCUUUCACAAAACAAUGCAUCAACCCAAGAAACAUGGUACAAAAUAGAAAAAGCAAAAACUGGAGAAGGAAACCUAUCCUCACUAUUCUGGGUCUUAGACGUGAAUUAAAAAAAUCAUUAAAGAGGCAUGAACAAAAUCAGAUCUUUCAAAGAAUUAACGAGUUGGUGGGAUAAACUCACAACUGAAAUAGGACUUAGAAUAAUGAAUGUGCUUCCUUUCUGUACCAUUCCAUAUAUGUUAGAUAAUAUAAAAAUAGAUACCUGGAAGAAUGAGGGGAUAAGGGAAUUCAAAGACAUAGUAGCGGAACACAAAAUUAAGCUCUUCAUUUAAAUUAUGGAGGAAUUUAAUAUUCCCUCUAAAGAAACUUUUAAUUAUCUGCAAAUCAAAGGUUUUAUGGCAGACUAUCUCCUUAAAAACAAGGGGGAGAAAAUCAUAAAUCUUAUACACCUUCUCGAACUAAAGAACUACAAAAAUCUACUGGCAAAUGGAUGGAGACAUGACAAACCUAUAGGACUGAUUAAAAAUGGGAAAAUGAAGAAGUGGAUGAGUUCUCUAACUAAAGUAUAUAAACCUAUACAUUGCCUAAACCUCACUGAAAUACAAAUCAAGCUUUCAAAUAGAUGGUAUUUAACACCAAAACAUCUUUAAAAAAAAAAAAAAAAAAUCUACCCAGAGUUGUCAGAUAGGUGUUGGAAAUGUAAUGUUAAUGAAGGCAAUCUGAUCCACAUUUGGUGUCAUUGCGUACCCAUCAAUACAUUUUGGAAAAGAUUAUAAUUAACGUAAUUACUAAAUAACGUAAAUGAAACUAGUCUUUAACCCAUUAAGGACCAAACUUCUGGAAUAAAAGGGAAUCAUGACAUGUCACACAUGUCAUGUGUCCUUAAGGAGUUUAAGCCUGAAGUGGUUUUGUUAAACCUGAAAUGGCCAAAAUGACAAAGUAUUAAUCCAAUGCAACAUAUUAUUAGGACGGAUAAAUUACUUCUAGCACGAAGCUGGAAAACAGGGAAAAUCCCAUGUACUCAAGAAGUAAUAACAAAAGUCAUGUGGCAGGCAAAAAUGGCAAGAGGUAUUUUGGUGAACGUAGGAAGCAAAUACACUCAGAAGACUGGUUUUUAUGGAUAAAGAAAAUGGAAACUAUAAUUUAACAAUUACAAUGGAGUUAAGUCUCCUUUGUUUUUUUUUUCUCUUUUUCUGGCUUUUUUUUUUCUUAGUUCUCUUUCGGUCAAAUAUCAAUAAACCAAGGCCAGAAGUAAUAUUGUUUUUCUCCUCUCUUCUACACUCUUUGCUCAAUACUUAGUGUGUGUAAAGGCCUAUUUCCUGCUACAUAUUUAUGAUGAGAAGAGUACCAAUGCCUUAACUAUAUAAGCAACAGCUAAAAUUGCACAUGGCAGGUACUCAUCUGAAAUAUAAAAAAAUAAAAAAUAAAAAAUGUGGUGAAGGAAAGUAUGGCCUUUUAUGAGGACAAUAUAAUCUGCAUAAGUGCCAACAGUCCAGAAUUUGUUGAGACAGUCUUGCAUUUUGGGAUACUGUCCCAGCAAAUCUAGGUCCCACAUUUUGCAAAUGGCAAAUUUCAAAAUGCAGGAGAAACUGGCCACUAGGGCCAUGCAUCAACCUUUUCAACAGUGUACAUGGUCUGCUUGAGGGGGCAACCCUCUUUACAAAUGGGUACACCACUUUGACAGGCAGGUUAGCUGUCCAUCUCCAUCCCAGAAGGUGUGAAGGAAAUGUUAGCAGUUAUGCACAGGACUACUAUAUCUCAUUAGACUGGUUGAUUAAAAUUUGCACUUCCUGCUGCUUAUUGUAUAGAAUAAUGCUUCUCAGAAUGGUCUAGGGAGUUCUAAAGUAUAUUGUUCCGAAGUACACUUAAUAAAAAGCAUGUUAUUUAAGAGAUUUGUUAGUUUCCCCAAACAAUGACAGCGCAAAAUAAACAUGUAAGUGUUGCUUGGUGUAAUGUAGAGGGAGCACUCAAAUUUUCCACUUUAAUUAUUCAGUGUUCAUUAAAUAAUUAACUAUUGUUUGUAGAUGAGGUUAUAUGCAUUACACAAUGAAGGGUGUGUAUUAUGUCCUUUAGAAACAAUUGUAGCAUAGUAAUCAUGUCCCCUGGUCUGCUUGUACUGUAAAUAUAGUGAGCUUCUUAGAAUUUUAGCCAUUAAAGAGAGAGUUAAAAGGAAUAGCAGCAGUGUUUCCUCUGAGCUUAAAAUUUCAGCCACCUUUUCUAACUCUGACAUUAUAGCCUACAGGUUAUUAUGUGGUCAUCAACUUGGCUUAGAUUGUCUCUUUAUAUUUCGAAUAUAUAUAAAGUGUGUGUCUGUGUAGGUUUAUAAAAGCAGUACAUGACCUAUUUAAGUCCUCGCUGCCCAUAAUGUUUAUUAGUAAAGUAUAUACUGUGACAGAUCCAUCUGUAUGGACUAAGAUUGCUGGAUUCGUCUGUUUUGCCUUUUUCAUGAAUUUACCCGUUCGUAUGCCUUUUGUUUAAGUGAAUGGACUUUUCUGCCGAACGGAACUGCCGAACGGACGGCCACCCAGAAGAGAAGUGUGCUGCUGGUUAACCUAUUGAUCCCAAUUAGAACGUUGCGGUUAACCACAGACACUUCUCAAUUAACCCCUUAAGGACCAAACUUCUGGAAUAAAAGGGAAUCAUGACAUGUCACACAUGUCAUGUGUCCUUAAGGGGUUAAAACCGAAUACAGGGUGGUCGUCGUUCGUAUGUCGACCACGAGGCGGCAGCCAUUUUAAACAAUGCGAAAGACCAGUGGUGUUCGACAUUUAUUUCAUGGAACUGAAAACUGACACUUUUUCAAGCAAACACCGCUGAAGCCACCGACCUCCCUUCUCAAUCGACAGAAGUGUGCGAACACCGGCCAUUCGGGAGGUUUAAAGGCACGAAUGGACUUACCCCAGAUAGCCUUCCCAUGGAGUCAAUCGCAUACCGAAGAACUGUAAUAGACUUUGACUCCAUGGCGUUUGAACUAUGCGUAUGGGAUCUGAGCGCUAUUAGCCAAUAAUAUGCACUCAGAUCCAGGCUAUCUCUGGAUAUGUGAUACGAAUGGGUAGCAUUCGACAAAUGUAAAGUUAUAUAUUUUUGUGUUUUUAUGUGUUGAAUGUAAAAUGGCGAUUUGCCUCUGUCCUGGAGAUAAUUGAAUUACUUCUCAAUUAUCUCCAGGGCAGAGGGGAGGAAUUAUUAUUGCAUGCUAGGAAUAUUUUGUGUCUGUGGGUCCUGAACUGCCAUAUGUCUAUCUGUUGUUACAGUCUCCCAUUUGGUCCCCUAGGGGAGUGUCCACCAAGUGGGAGACCUGCAUAAAUACGGGCAGGUAGCCCACAGUAAAGCCAGUUCAUGUUUUACCCUCAAUGCAGAGCUUGGUCUCGUUAUUGGGGGAGAUUUAUUACCGACGACUAGAGACUGCUGGAUGGGAUUAUUAGCCGCUUGGGAGAUACCUACGUUCGGCUGCUAUUGGCGAUUCGUGAGUUUGGAGCUCGUGAAGUGCCCGUACGGACCCCGUUCGUGAGUUUACAGCGUUCCCUUGCUUGCGGUUCGUAUGAUUAUACUGGAUACACAUGCAGCCUAGGUUAUUGCGAACGGGGAGCGUUCACUAAAUGGUGGUUUGUGCAUUUCAUGCUGAGGGUACCGUAACAUAUACGUGUACUGCAGUUUGCUUUAUUUCCAUUGUCAUAGACUUAAUGUACAGAGGAAAGAGCUUGUACUAACCAUACUAUAAGGCUUCUGGAAAGCACAGAGGAUGUGUCACUCUAUGCUUUUGCAUUUAGUCAGACAUUCAAUGAACACUCUAGUGUUAAUAAUAAAAACACAAUGCUUUCCUGUGGGGAUUUCGGUGAUGCUGGAGGUCCUCACAUAGCGUGAGGAUGUCCAGCGUCAUUUUAAAACACUUAGACAGCCACCAGAGGAGGACUUAACCCUGCAAUGUAAAUAUUGCAGUUUAAUAAAACUGCAAUAGUUACACUUGCAGGGUUAAGGGUAGUAGGAGUUGGCACCCAGACCACUCCAAUGGGCAGAAGUGGUCUGGGUGCCUGGAGUAUCCCUUUAACUCUUAUGGACCAAACUUUUGGAAUAAAAGGGAAUCAUGACAUGUCACACAUAUCAUGUGUCCUUAAGGGGUUAAGUAUACAGGACCACUGCACUCAGGCUACAGAUGAAAUAGUCUGGGGUCACCUUUGCUAUCCUUUUAAUCAUGUAAUUUAUUAAUGUAAAAUUAUCCUUCAGUUCUGCAGCUAGAACUGCAAGGUAUUUCUUAUUAACUGGUGCUGAAAUAUUUUCAUACCAUAAAAACCUACAUUUUUACAAAAUGUUAUCAGUGCAGUUGACUAAUUGCACUUUGUAUGUCACUUUCAUUUUAAUGCUUCUGAAGACCACAGAAUGUUUCACUGAUUGUUUUUUUUUUUUCUUUUUUUUUUAAUGUUUUAAAGAGUGAAAUUAUGUUGCACUCCUACUUUUUGAGGAAUGUCUAAAAAUCCAGUAAGAUCAUGUGUUGGUUGUGAAAAUGUUUAUUUAUCUCUUCUUUAGUAUUAAUUUAUAAAGAAACAAAGCCACAUGGUCAAAUUGAAGUCAAAGAAGACUGUGAAUUUCUUGUCAAAAUGAUACUCUUCACCAGAUAUGCUACAAAGUGUUCAAUCUCUAAAUAGCACUAGACUCUUUCAAACAUUCUGGGAAAACCAGCUGGUAACUUAGAGUGGGGAACUAUUGUAUUGCAACAAUUAUUUGAAACAAUUCUCCUAUAAUAGGUUAGAGGUUCACACACUGCCACAUGAUCUCAAACAUAUUUAGAUAAUCUGCCUCCAUAAAGGAGUAUUCGUUUUUCCUAUUUAUGUGGUGACAACAAAAUGUACCUAUUUGUAUAAUGUAAAUCCUGCUUUAGUGAGGUAAUGCAGCUGUUUGUAGUCAUUGUUCUAUAAAAUGGGUCAAUUAUAUGUGCAGACAUUGCAGCAAUGGAUCUGUAUCAACACAUGGAUUCAAAGGGAUAAGCUUUGAAUUAAGGGCGAUCUGUACAUUGUCAAUACACCUCUAGUAAAAGUUUCUAUAUAAAGCCAUCCAUAUUUGUUGGGAAGUUCUGAUGUUGGUAACAAGGGACAACAAGGGACUGCUUGACAUUUCAGUGAGAAAAUUUAAGCUUGGACUAUGAGUACCAAAAUUAUACCCUAAUAUAACAUUGCACUUAAUGUGUGAUAUUCCAAAACCACUCAAAAUCUCCAAAAAUCUAUAUAGUCUGCGUAGAUAGUUAAAAAUAUCCUUUUAACUUGUGGCCUGCAAUUUUAAUUUCCUUUGCAAAUAUUCCACAAUCCCUGCUGUAUAAGCCUUCAUUUACCAGGAUUCUAAAUUUAUGUAAAAUUUAUGACACCAGUGAAUAUACUUAGCCAUUAAUUCUCAAUUUUGUACAUUUACUUUGGAUAUAUCUCCCUAACUAAAUAAAAUACAUGUUGCAUAUAUUACCAGGAAUUGUCAAUGUUUGAGUCAGAUGUUAAAACAUUCUGAGGACUUUAAGGUGAUUGAAUAGGUUCCUAAAGUCAAGUAUGCAAGUAAGCAAAUGAUUAAAUCAAUAUACAAUAUCAAAAGAUCAGUAUUGUGGCCAUUAACACAAAUGCUGUGUGUGCAUUAUAUCGUUGCAAUCUGCUUGAAUUCAAAUAAUCAUUUAAGAUUAAACGCUGUAACACUUUUUUUUUUGCAUCUUUGCCAAAAAUUAUCCUGGAGAGAACACUUUCUUUCCAUCAUGGCUUAUAACUGCCAUGAUUUACCUUUGGUGCUCAGGUGUACAAAGUGGAAUUGUACCAUACCAUGUGAACUGGUGUGUGAAUGAACUGAUAGCAGCUUUGUUAUGACUGCUAUUUGCUUAUUGGGCAGAACUUCUGAACUGUGACUGGAGGUGAAAAGUCCUAAAAACUCCUGCUGGACAGAUUUCUUUCAGAAAUAAGCAGAAAAUGACUGAAUUGAACAGAAUGAAGACAGGAUGUGGAUUGGCGAUCUCUGUUGAUCAAAUUUUUAUUUUUUUUAAAUGUAUAAUCUUUAUGGAUUUGCUUUUUUUAUACAUUGUUUAUUUCAAAAAAUGUAAGUGUAAAAGGAGGUUACAUUGUAUUUCAACAGCAUUUUAACAUCAGAGAAUGAUAAAUUAUUAUAGUACUGUGAUGAGAGCAAUCUCGCCACAUUGCAUUGGAGAAGCCUGGGUGCUCGCCUGCUGCCUUUAGACUAUGGCCCCAUGUUAAAACGCUUGAUUUUACCCUGCGGAGACACGAAAGCUGGGUCAUUCGGUGCUGGCCCUGUUUGAGCAGUGAUACCCCAGAUAGCUAUGCCAUGGAGCCCAUUCGUAUAAUGAAAGACUAUGGGAAAGACUUUGGCUCCAUGGCAAUUGAACUGUAUGUGUGUGCUCUGACCGCCAUUCAAUAAUAAUGUGCGCUCAGAUCUGAGCUCUCUGGGGAUAUGUUGAAUGUACCUGUUUUGUGCAAUGACUGCACAGUUAUAUGUUUUUAUGUGUUUUAUUGUCUUUUGCUGACAUGUGUUCAAUGGAGUUUUGCCUCUGUCCUUGGAGAUAAUUGGAUUACUUCACAAUUAUCUCCAGGAUAGAAGACUCUGUGGAACUGGUUUUGGGCAGAAAAGCCAUGCUUCCUUUGGUCACAAAGGACUACGAUCGAACCUUUUUUUGCUGAGGGUGCCGUUACAAGCAGUGGUGUAUCCUGGUUUUGUGCUGCCCUAGGCAGGACAAAAUUCAGGCCCCACGCACCAGUCCCCCAACCCUUCCCCCCGCCCCGCCUUCUAAAUACACACACACACACACAUUCACUGACAGAUCCGCAUACACUCGCUAACAGAAACACACACACACACUAAGACACACACUCACUGACACACAAACUCACACUAACAGACACACACACACAGUCAGACACACACUCACUGACACACAGUCAGACACACACAUACACACUAACAGACAAACAGUCAGACACACACACUAACAGACACACACUCUCUAGCAGACACACACACAAACUCACACACAUUAACAGACACACACUCACUGACACACACACUCACUAGCACACACACACAUUCACUGACAGAUCCGCAUACACUCGCUAACAGAAACACACACACACACACUAACAGACACACACUCACUGACAGACACACACAGUCAGACACAUACACACACACACUCACUGACACACAGUCAGACACACACAUACACACUAACAGACAAACAGUCAGACACACACACUAACAGACACACACUCACUAGCAGACACACACACAAACUCACACACACUAACAAACACACAUUAACAGACACACUCACUGACACACACACUCACUAGCAGGCACACACACACUCACUGACACACAGUCAGACACACACAUACACACUAACACUCACUAGCAGACACACACACACAAACUCACACACACACACUAACAAACACACACUCACUGACACACACACUCACACUAACAGACACACACACACUAACAGACACACACACACACUCACAGGCUAACACACACUCACUGACAGUCAGACACACACUCACUCACUAGCAGACACACACACUCACACAGUCAGACACACACACACACACAUUAACAGACACACACUCACUCACAUUAACACUUUUUUUUUUUUUAUUCACUCCCCCCCCCCACCUCCUUACCUCUGGGAGUGCUGGGGGGGAAGGGGUUCAUUACCUCCCUGGUGGUCCAGUGGCUGCUGUGCGGGCGGCGCUGGGCAGGCGGUCAGCGCUGGCGAGGGAGCACUUCCCCUGAGCGGUCCGCUCAGCUCCCUCACGCGCCGCAGAGUGAGGCUGGGAGCCGGGAUAUGACGUCAUCUUCCGGCUCCCAGCCUCACUUUGCGGCGCGCGAGGGAGCUGAGCAGAGCGCUCAGGGGAAGAGCUCCCUCGCCAGCCGCCUGCCCAGCGCCGCCCGCACAGCCCAGCAUGUCAAUUAGCCGCCAGGCUAACAAGACAUUUGCCCUGGGCAUUUGGGGGGCGGCGUUUCUUGCCGCCCCCUGAAAAAUGCCGCCCAAGGCAAAUGCCUUGUUUGCCUCGCGGCUAAAACGCCCCUGGUUACAAGUACAUAUAAUCUUUUUUUCAGGAAAAUCUUUCAUUUAUAAUGUAGCACCAGAUCAAUUUCUAGCAAUGUUUCAUUGUUGUUAUCUUGGAGGUACAAAAGUACAUAUUAUGUGAUAAUUUCUCUUUUGAGUAAACUACAUCAUGUGCCAACUCUCAACUGAUUUCCACUGUUUCACAAUAUUAUUUUUUGUUUUGACAGUGAGCCUGGCAAAAUAUCUAGGAGGUAUACUUGGGGUAGAAAUAUUAAGGUUGUUGUUAGCAAUUGUUCUGCAAAAUAUCUGAAAUAUUUGACCAGUAUUUCUUUAAUUUCUGGCAGCUCCAGAAUAUAUGAAGCAUAGAGCCAUCCUUAAUCCUGGCAUCUCCAACAUUCACUCAUUAUUGUGGGAUAUAUGUGGCAUAUUCUUUUGGGUGUUAAGUACCAGCAAAUUAAUAAUUUUCUACUUGUUUGCCAAUGGGAGAUAAAUUUGACUUGGCUGCAAAUUCUUUAUCCCAGUCUGAUGUCUGAAAUGAUUGCUGUAGUUCUUUUUCAUAUAGGCAAGUUAAGGAUCGUUUCUGAUUGGAAUCAGAGUUUAUCAAUAGUUGGUAGCAUGUAGUGAGUAGUUUCACUUGUACUGAAUUGAUAAAGAUUGGAGUGAUGAAAGAUUAUGGCCAUUAGGAAUGUUGAGUACAUAUGGUUGGAGAAUUAAUUUAAUUUGGAGAUAAGUAAAUAUUUCUCUUCCCGGAAGAGUGUAUUUGUUCUUGAUUUUUCAGAAAGGAAUACAUUUGAUCAUUCUAUAAUAAGUUGUGAAGAUUGAGAAUGCCAGAUUGAUGCCAAUGUUUUAGGUUGAGGUCAGGUGUGUAGAAUUGUAACAUAUAAAGUGGUGCUAAAUAUAGCUGAAAAUAUAGUUUAAGAAAAUUGAAUACCCAGUCUCCAGAUCUUAAGGGCAAAGCACGAAGUUGUCAACAUAUUUCAUACAACACAUCGGCUUCAGUAUUUGGAGUUAAAUGUGCUCUUUCUAAGUAUCACCUUAAAGCAGUGUUUCCCAACCCAGUCCUCAAGGCACACCUACCAGUCCAUGAUUUAGGGAUUACCCAGUUGUGUCUAAGGUGUUUUUACAAAGAAGAAAAAAAACACCUUAGACACAACUGGGUAAUCCCUAAAUCAUGGACUGGUAGGUGUGCCUUGAGGACUGGGUUGGGAAACACUGCCUUAAAGGAACCUUGUUUGUGGUUGUAGUAGCAAAUGUUUGAUGCCACAUGGUAAGCCACGAUAUCUAGAAAUCCCAUACCCCCCAUCUUAGGAGCUCUUUCUAAAUCACCAUGGCUACUCUAGGAGAAUGUUUGUUUGAAUGUCCACAUUUGAAAAAAAGAGUGUGAAUAAAUAGAAGAUCAGUGGUAAUGCAUUACCACUGAUCUUCUAUUUAUUCACACUCUUUUUUUGGGAUCUUGAUUGAGUUACUACAACCAACACAUGAUAAAUUGUGUAUUGUCCAGUUUUUGAGCUGGGUCUUCAGUUCAGUGAUUCAUUUCUUAUGGUUUUCUUGAAUAAGGCGAGAUAAGAGAUGAAGGCCCUGCUCAAACAAGUUUAUAAUCUUACAUGCACACUACAGCCCCUAGCUGUGAACACACCAACAAAUACAAAUACAACCUCAAUACACAUAUGCUCACACAUUCUGAAGCCCCUAGGUGUUCACAUGCACAAAUACAACCCCUUCAAACACACAUAAUUUCUACAGCCCCUAUACAUUCACAUACGCGCACACAUACACUACAACCCAUAGCUACACACAGUAUAACACAAACAGCCUAUCCUACACAUCAGCCCUGUACCAUUUUGUCCUCUAGCAUUCCACUUAUAGGGACACCAGCAAAUUUAGUGNNNNNNNNNNNNNNNNNNNNNNNNNNNNNNNNNNNNNNNNNNNNNNNNNNNNNNNNNNNNNNNNNNNNNNNNNNNNNNNNNNNNNNNNNNNNNNNNNNNNUAAACCUGAAAUGGCCAAAAUGACAAAGUAUUAAUCCAAUGCAACAUAUUAUUAGGACGGCUAAAUUACUUCUAGCACGAAGCUGGAAAACAGGGAAAAUCCCAUGUACUCAAGAAGUAAUAACAAAAGUCAUGUGGCAGGCAAAAAUGGCAAGAGGUAUUUUGGUGAACGUAGGAAGCAGAUACAUUCAGAAGACUGUUUUUUUAUGGAUAAAGAAAAUGGAAACUAUAAUUUAACAAUUACAACGGCGUUAAGUCUCCUUUGUUUUUUUUUCUCUUUUUCUGGCUUUUUUUUUUUUCUUAGUUCUCUUUUGGUCAAAUAUCAAUAAACCAAGGCCAGAAGUAAUAUUGUUUUUCUCCUCUCUUCUACACUCUUUGCUCAAUACUUAAUGUGUGUACAGGCCUAUUUCCUGCUACAUAUUUAUGAUGAGAAGAGUACCAAUGCCUUAACUAUAUAAGCUAUAUGUGCUAAAAUUGCACAUGGCAGGUACUCAUCUGAAAUAUAUAAAAAAAAAAAAAUAUGUGGUGAAGGAAAGUAUGGCCUUUUAUGAGGACAAUAUAAUCUGCAUAAGUGCCAACAGUCCAGAAUUUGUUGAGACAGUCUAACAUUUUGGGAUACUGUCCCAGCAAAUCUAGGUCCCACAUUUUGCAAAUGGCAAAUUUCAAAAUGCAGGAGAAACUGGGCACUAGGGCCAUGCAUCGACCUUUUCAACAGUGUACAUGGUCUGCUUGAGGAGGCAACCUUCUUUACAAAUGGGUACACCACUUUGACAGGCAGGUUAGCUUCCUGCAAAGAGCCUGCUCUCUUCCCUGUCCAUCUCCAUCCCGGAAGGUGUGAAGGAAAUGCACAGGACUACUAUAUCUCAUUAGACUGGUUGAUUUAAAUUUGCACUUCCUGCUGCUUAUUGUAUAGAAUAAUGCUUCUCAGAAUGGUCUAGGGAGUUCUAAAGUAUAUUGUUCCAAAGUACACUUAAUAAAAAGCAUGUUAUUUCAGAGAUUUGUUAGUUUCCCCAAACAAUGACAGCUCAAAAUAAACAUGUAAGUGUUGCUUGGUGUAAUGUAGAGGGAGCACUCAAAUUUUCCACUUUAAUUAUUCAGUGUUCAUUAAAUAAUUAACUAUUGUUUGUAGAUGAGGUUAUAUGCAUUACACAAUGAAGGGUGUGUAUUAUGUCCUUUUAGAAACAAUUGUAGCAUAGUAAUCAUGUCCCCUGGUCUGCUUGUACUGUAAAUAUAGUGAGCUUCUUAGAAUUUUAGCCAUUAAACAGAGAGUUAAAAGGAAUAGCAGCAGUGUUUCCGCUGAGCUUAAAAUUUCAGCCACCUUUUCUAACUCUGACAUUAUAGCCUAAAGGUUAUUAUUUGGUCAUCAACUUGGCUUAGAUUGUCUCUUUAUAUUUCAAAUAUAUAUAAGGUGUGUGUCUGUGUAGGUUUAUAAAAGCAGUACAUGACCUAUUUAAGUCCUCGCUGCCCAUAAUGUUUAUUAGUAAAGUACAUACUGUGACAGAUCCAUCUGUAUGGACUAAGAUUGCUGGAUUCGUCUGUUUUGCCUUUUUCAUGAAUUUACCCGUUCGUAUGCCUUUGUUUAAGUGAAUAGACCUUUCUGCCGAAUGGAACUGCCGAACGGACGGCCACCCAGAAGAGAAUUGUGCUGCUGGUUAACCUAUUGAUCCCAAUUAGAACGUUGCGAUUAACCACAGACACUUCUCAAUUAAAACCGAAUACAGGGUGGUCGUCGUUCGUAUGUCGACCACGAGGCGGCAGCCAUUUUAAACAAUGCGAAAGACCAGCGGUGAUCGACAUUUAUUUCAUGGAACUGAAAACGGACAUUUUUUGAACCGAACACCGCUGAAGCCGCCGACCUCCCUUCUCAAUCGACAGAAGUGUGCGAACACCGGCCGUUCGGGAGGUUUAAAGGCACGAAUGGACUUACCCCAGAUAGCCUUCCCAUGGAGUCCAUCGCAUACCGAAGAACUGUAAUAGACUUUGACUCCAUGGCGAUUGAACUAUGCAUAUGGGAUCUGAGUGCUAUUCGCCAAUAAUAUGCACUCAGAUCCAGGCUAUCUGGGGGUAUGUGAUACGAAUGGGUAGCAUUCGACAAAUGUAAAGUUAUAUAUUUGUAUGUGUUUUUAUGUGUUGAAUGUAAAAUGGCGAUUUGCCUCUGUCCUGGAGAUAAUUGAAUUACUUCUCAAUUAUCUCCAGGGCAGAGGGGAGGAAUUAUUAUUGCAUGCUAGGAAUAUUUUGUGUCUGUGGGUCCUGAACUGCCAUAUGUCUAUCUGUUGUCACAGUCUCCCAUUUGGUCCCCUAGGGGAGUGUCCACCAAGUGGGAGACCUGCAUAAAUACGGUCAGGUAGCCCACAGUAAAGCCAGUUCUUGUCUUACCCUCAAUGCGGAGCUUGGUCUCGUUAUUGGGGGAGAUUUAUUACCGACGACUAGAGACUGCUGGAUGGGAUUAUUAGCCGCUUGGGAGAUACCUGCGUUCGGCUGCUAUUGGUGAUUCGUGAGUUUGGAGCUCGUGAAGUGCCCGUACGGACCCCAUUCGUGAGUUUACAGCGUUCCCUUGCUUGCGGUUCGUAUGAUUAUACUGGAUACACAUGCAGCCUAGGUUAUUGCGAACGGGGAGCAUUCACUAAACGGCGGUUUGUGCAUUUCAUGCUGAGGGUACCGUAACAUAUACGUGUACUGCAGUUUGCUUUAUUUCCAUUGUCAUAAACUUAACGUACAGAGGAAAGAGCUUGUACUAACCAUACUAUAAAGCUUCUGGAAAGCACAGAGGAUGUGUCACUCUAUGCUUUUGCAUUUAGUCAGACAUUCAAUGAACACUCUAGUGUUAAUAAUAAAAAAGCUGUGUUCCUAACGCUAAAGUGUCCCUCUGCAGUGGCCACGCACGCGCAUUAGACUUCCCCAUAGGAAAGCAUUAUAUAAUGCUUUCCUGUGGGGAUUUCGGCGACGCUGUAGGUCCUCACACAGUGUGAGGACGUCCAGCGUCAUUUUAAAACACUUUUCGUGUUCUAUGAACACGGAAGUCUCCUAGUGGCUGUCUGGUAGACAGCCACCAGAGGAGGACUUAACCCUGCAAUGUAAAUAUUGCAGUUUAUGAAAACUGCAAUAGUUACACUUGCAGGGUUAAGGGUAGUAGGAGUUGGCACCCAGACCACUCAAAUGGGCAGAAGUGGUCUGGGUGCCUGGAGUAUCCCUUUAACUCUUAAGGACCAAACUUUUGGAAUAAAAGGGAAUCAUGACAUGUCACACAUAUCAUGUGUCCUUAAGUGUUAAGUAUACAGGACCACUGCACUCAGACUACAGAUGAAAUAGUCUGGGUCACCUUUGCUAUCCUUUUAAUCAUGUAAUUUAUUCAUGUAAAAUUAUCCUUCAGUUCUGCAGCUAGAACUGCAAGGUAUUUCUUAUUAACUGGUGCUGAAAUAUUUUCAUACCAUAAAAACCUACAUUUUUACAAAAUGUUAUCAGUGCAGUUGACUAAUUGCACUUUGUAUGUCACUUUCAUUUUAAUGCUUCUGAAGACCACAGAAUGUUUCACUGAUUGUUUUUUUUCUUUUUUUUAUGUUUUAAAGAGUGAAAUUUUGUUGCACUCCUACUUUUUGAGGAAUGUCUAAAAAUCCAGUAAGAUCAUGUGUUGGUUGUGAAAAUGUGUAUUCAUCUCUUCUUUAGUAUUAAUUUAUAAAUAAACAAAGCCACAUGGUCAAAUUGUAGUCAAAGAAGACUGUAAAUUUCUUGUCAAAAUGAUACUCUUCACCAGAUAUGCUACAAUCUCUAAAUAGCACUAGACUCUUUCACCAGAUAUGCUACAAUCUCUAAAUAGCACUAGACUCUUUCAAACAUUCUGGGAAAAUCAGCAGGCAACUUAGAGUGGGGAACUAUUGUAUUGCAACAAUUAUUUGAAACAAUUCUCCUAUACUAGGUUAGAGGUUCACACACUGACACGUGAUCUCAAACAUAUUUAGAUAAUCUACCUCCAUAAAGAGUAUCCGUUUUUCCUAUUUAUUUGGUGAAAACAAAAUGUACCUAUUUGUAUAAUGUAAAUCCUGCUUUAGUGAGGUAAUGCAGCUGUUUGUAGUCAUUGUUCUAUAAAAUGGGUCAAUUAUAUUGCAGCAAUGCAUCUGUAUCAACACAUGGAUUCAAAGGGAUAAGCUUUGAAUUAAGGGCGAUCUGUACAUUGUCAAUACACCUCUAGUAAAAGUUUCUAUAUAAAGCCAUCCAUAUUUGUUGGGAAGUUCUUAUGUUGGUAACAAGGGGCAACAAGGGACUGCUUGACAUUUCAGUGAGAAAAUUUAAGCUUGGACUAUGAGUACCAAAAUUAUACCCUAAUAUAACAUAGCACUUAAUGUGUGAUAUUCCAAAACCACUCAAAAUCUCCAAAAAUCUAUAUUGUCUGCAUAGAUAGUUAAAAAUAUCCUUUUAACUUGUGGCCUGCAAUUUUAAUUUCCUUUGCAAAUAUUCCACAAUCCGUGCCAGGGCCGGACUGGGGAUACAAAGCAGCCCUGGAAAAAAAAUUUGUGCCAGCCCCAUAAGUCACUGCGCCAUAUAUUGUCGCGUGUAAUAUGUAAGGCUAUGUCUUGCCAGGACAGAUGAUUGAGUAAUAUAUAUAUAUAUAUAUAUUUAUAUAUAUAUAUAUAUAUUGCUUUUUCUAAUAUAAAAUAUUGGUCCUUUCAGGGUAAAACGUUUAAUUAGACAGUAAGCAUACGCACAUGCAGACACAGGCAAUUUCACUGACAUUUCAGUGACACACACAAGCUCAUUGAUACACACACAGCUUAAUGUGGUGGUACUGGUGUCUAUAGCAUGUCCCUACAGGCUUUUCAACGUAAACACUGACUUUUCAGAUAAAAGGCAGUGUUUACAUUGCUUCAAAGUGACACUGCUAGUGACAGUCACUCAGACGGUCACUAGAGGUGCUUCCUGUGUUAGUGCCCUCCCGCGCUGCUGAAUAAGACUGGCGCCGGGAUAUGACGUCAUAUUCCGGCGCCGGUCUCAUUCAGCUGCGUGCUGGGGAGCAGAGCCAGCGCAGCUUGCGCAGCUCCCUCAGCAGCCGCCAGGACAAGUCCGCCAGCGGCCGCCAAAAGACCUCCCCAGGGGAGGGCUGGCAGCCUUAGGCCUGGGGGGCAAAACCAGCCAAGUAGACUGGUGCACCUGCCCAGGAUCAGAGCCGGUGCAAGGAUUUUUGCCGCCCUAGACAAAAUAAAAAUUUGCUGCCCCCACAUGUCACAUCACAAUACCCAUAUGACCUGCCAUAUGAACUAACGCCAGUGCUGCACACAGUGUGUGUUUACAUUAAAAAGCCUGCAGGGACCAGCUAUAGACACCAGAACCACUUCAUUAAGCUAUAGUGUCCCUUUAAUUUGAGGUAAAUUAUAGAUUAGUGUCACUAAUAAUAUACUAGAUUGCCUACUUACAAGCAGAUGAGGAUGAUGAUGGGCUGCAGUUUGGCUCCACUGGUCUGGUGUAGAACAGGAUCUCUGGAGGCUGUUUGCAACUGUGGUCACAAAAUUCAAUGUUCUGGGAGAAUUGGAAGCAGCUCAAUUUUUGGGGGACCCCUUACACAGCUCAAGGUCUGGGCCCCAGGGCCUGACGGUGAGUAUGCCCAUAAGGCCCACUCAUAAGUUCCACCCACCCAUGAGUUCGCUCACAGGGAGAGGAGAGUGUAGGGGAUGUGUUAUGUGUUAUUGUAGAGGAUCUAAUAUGUGUGCUUAUGGUAUGUAGUGUUUAGGGUUACCAGUUUGUGCAGGUGAUGCAGUGUGUUUGUGUGUAGUGGAAGCAGUGUGUGUUUGUGUAUAAGGGAUGUAUUAUGUGUUUCUGGUUGUGUGUAAGGGAUUACAUUGUGUGAAUCUGUGUUUGUAUGCAUAAGGGAUGCAAGGUGUGUGUCUGUAUGUGUGUGCAUGAGAUGCAUUGUGUUUCUGUGUGUAUGUAAGAAAAGAAGUGUGUGUGUUUGCAUGCGUGUGUACGGGUUUGCAUUGUCUGCUUCUGUGUAUGUGUGCAAAGGAUGCAUUGUCUUUGUGUGUAAGGGUUGCAUUGUGUGUGUGUGUGUAAUGGAUGCAUUGUGUGUUUCUCUGUGUGUAAGGGAAGCAUGUUGUGUUUCUGUGUAUGCAUAGGGAUGCAUUGUGUGUGUGUGCGCGCGUAGUGUGAAAGAGCUCCCUGUCUUGGCCCCUGUCCUAUAGAGCUGCCCCUUCUUCUUAUCCCCCCCCUCCCCUCCCCUCUUCUUAUUCCCCUCCCUCCCCUCUUCUUAUUCCCCCCUCCCCUCUUUUUAUUCCCUCCCUCCCCUCUUCUUAUNNNNNNNNNNNNNNNNNNNNNNNNNNNNNNNNNNNNNNNNNNNNNNNNNNNNNNNNNNNNNNNNNNNNNNNNNNNNNNNNNNNNNNNNNNNNNNNNNNNNAGAAGCUGCAGCCGCCUGAGCCUCUUAACAGAGCGCUCGGGCGGCUGCAGUAUUUAAAGGGCCGGCCCCAGGAACGCGGCCGGCCCCCUGGUGCCGCGGCCCACCGGGAAAUUUCCCGGUAUCCCGGUGGGCCAGUCCGGCCCUGAUCCGUGCUGUAUAAGCCUUCAUUUACCAGGAUUCUAAAUUUAUGUAAAAUAUAUGACACCAGUAAAUAUACUUAGCCAUUAAUUCUCAGUUUUGUACAUUUACUUUGGAUAUAUCUCCCUAACUAAAUAAAAUACAUGUUGCAUAUAUUACCAGGAAUUGUCAAUGUUUGAGUCAGAUGUUAAAACAUUCUGAGGACUUUAAGGUGAUUGAAUAGGUUUCUAAAGUCAAGUAUGCAAGUAAGCAAAUGAUUAAAUCAAUAUACAAUAUCAAAAGAUCAGUAUUGUGGCCAUUAACACAAAUGCUGUGUGUGCAUUAUAUCGUUGCAAUCUGCUUGAAUUCAAAUAAUCAUUUAAGAUUAAACGCUGUAACACUUUUCUUUUUUGCAUCUUUGCCAAAAAUUAUCCUGGAGAGAACACUUUCUUUCCAUCAUGGCUUAUAACUGCCAUGAUUUACCUUUGGUGCUCAGGUGUACAAAGUGGAAUUGUACCAUACCAUGUGAACUGGUGUGUGAAUGAACUGAUAGCAGCUUUGUUAUGACUGCUAUUUGCUUAUUGGGCAGAACUUCUGAACUGUGACUGGAGGUGAAAAGUCCUAAAAACUCCUGCUGGACAGAUUUCUUGGAGAAAUAAGCAGAAAAUGACUGAAUUGAACAGAAUGAAGACAGGAUGUGGAUUGGCGAUCUCUGUUGAUCAUUUUUUUUUUAUUUUUUUUUUAAAUGUAUAAUCUUUAUUGAUGUGCUUUUUUUUAUACAUUAUUUCAAAAAAUGUAAGUGUAAAAGGAGGUUACAUUGUAUUUCAACAGCAUUUUAACAUCAGAGAAUGAUAAAUUAUUAUAGUACUGUGAUGAGAGCAAUCUCGCCACAUUGCAUUGGAGAAGCCUGGGUGCUUGCCUGCUGCCUUUAGACUAUGGCCCCAUGUUGAAACGCUUGAUUUUACCCUGCGGAGACACGAAAGCCGGGUCAUUCGGUGCUGGCCCUGUUUGAGCAGUGAUACCCCAGAUAGCUAUGCCAUGGAGCCCAUUCGUAUAAUGAAAGACUUUGGCUCCAUGGCAAUUGAACUGUAUGUGUGUGCUCUGAGCGCCAUUCAGUAAUAAUGUGCGCUCAGAUCUGAGCUCUCUGGGGAUAUGUUGAAUGUACCUGUUUUGUGCAAUGGCUGCACAGUUAUAUGUUUUUAUGUGUUUUAUUGUCUUAUGCUGCCAUGUGUUCAAUGGAGUUUUGCCUCUGUCCUUGGAGAUAAUUGGAUUACUUCACAAUUAUCUCCAGGAUAGAAGACUCUGUGGAACUGGUUUUGGGCAGAAAAACCAUGCUUCCUUUGGUCACAAAGGACUACAAUCUAUCUUUUGAACCAUUGGACCAAUUUGUAUGAAUUUGACAUAUGUUUGUAUUUGGAGUAUGCUGAUUCUGAAUGUGAUGCAUACUUUUCAAGUUAUGAAUAAUGUGGAAAAAUUGUAUUUCUCUGCUUGUGCUAAUAACAUUACCCAUUGUGUAAGGUAAUUGAAUCACAGGCAGAGGGGAGGAAUGUGUGUGGGAGUGUCUGAGUGUAUUGUAUGUGUUUAUUGGUUGUGUUCCAAAACCCUGUGGGUGGUACUAAUGUGUAAGAAUGUGUACAUAAGCAUAAUAAACCCACAGCUCUGUCUGUUCACUGCUUGACCCUCAACACGGAGCUUUGUCUUGUUCUUGGGGGGAUUUAUUGUAUGCUGUUCCAGUUUGACUGCUAGGAGUGUAAACCUAUUCGUAUGGUUUUUCCUAUUCGGCUGUUUACAGCAUUCAUAUGGUUUCCUGUUCGGCGGAUUGGUGUUCUGCAGUAGCUGUGCCUGUGUCUCUGGAAGGGGAAGAUCUCCUAAACGGCAGUUUAACCUUUUUUUUUGCUGAGGGUGCCGUUACAAGUACAUAUAAUUUUUUUUUCAGGACAAUCUUUCAUUUAUAAUGUAGCACCAGAUCAAUUUCUAGCAAUGUUUCAUUGUUGCUAUCUUUGAGGUACAAAAGUACAUAUUAUGUGAUAAUUUCUCUUUUGAGUAAACUUUAUCAUGUGCCAACUCUCAACUGAUUUCCACUGUUUCACAAUAUUAUUUUUUGUUUUGNNNNNNNNNNNNNNNNNNNNNNNNNNNNNNNNNNNNNNNNNNNNNNNNNNNNNNNNNNNNNNNNNNNNNNNNNNNNNNNNNNNNNNNNNNNNNNNNNNNNACAGUGAGCCUGGCAAAAUAUCUAGGAGGUAUACUUGGGGUAGAAAUAUUAAGGUAGUUGUUAGCAAUUGUUCUGCAAAAUAUCUGAAAUAUUUGACCAGUAUUUCUUUAAUUUCUGGCAGCUCCAGAAUAUAUGAAGCGUAGAGCCAUCCUUAAUCCUGGCAUCUCCAACAUUCACUCAUUAUUGUGGGAUAUAUGUGGCAUAUUCUUUUGGGUGUUAAGUACCAGCAAAUUAAUAAUUUUCUACUUGUUUGCCAAUGGGAGAUAAAUUUGACUUGGCUGCAAAUGCUUUAUCCCAGUCUGAUGUUGGAAAUGAUUGCUGUAGUUCUUUUUCAUAUAGGCAAGUUAAGGAUCGUUUCUGAUUGGAAUCAGAGUUUAUCAAUAGUUGGUAGCAUGUAGUGAGUAGUUUCACUUGUACUGAAAUGAUAAAGAUUGGAGUGAUGAAAGAUUAUGGCCAUUAGGAAUGUUGAGUACAUAUGGUUGGAGAAUUAAUUUAAUUUGGAGAUAAGUAAAUAUUUAUUUUCCCGGAAGAGUGUAUUUGUUCUUCAUUUUUCAGAAAGGAAUACAUUUGAUCAUUCUAUAAUAAGUUGUGAAGAUUGAGAAUGCCAGAUUGAUGCCAAUGUUUUAGGUUAAGGUCAGGUGUGUAGAAUUGUAACAUAUAAAGUGGUGCUAAAUAUAGCUGAAAAUAUAGUUUGAGAAAAUUGAAUACCCAGUCUCCAGAUCUUAAGGGCAAAGCACGAAGUUGUCAACAUAUUUCAUACAACACAUCAGCUUCAGUAUUUGGAGUUAAAUGUGCUCUUUCUAAGUAACACCUUAAAGGAACCUUGUUUGUGGUUGUAGUAGCAAAUGUUUGAUGCCACAUGGUAAGCCACGAUAUCUAGAAAUCCCAUACCCCCCAUCUUAGGAGCUCUUUCUAAAUCACCAUGGCUACUCUAGGAGAAUGUUUGUUUGAAUGUCCACAUUUGAAAAAAAGAGUGUGAAUAAAUAGAAGAUCAGUGGUAAUGCACUCAUCUUUAUUGAGUUACUACAACCAACCCAUGAUAAAUUGUGUAUUGUCCAGUUUUUGAGCUGGGUAUUCAGUUCAGUGAUUCAUUUCUUAUGGUUUUCUUGAAUAAGGCGAGAUAAGAGAUGAAGGCCCUGCUCAAACAAGCUUAUAAUCUUACAUGCACACUACAGCCCCUAGCUGUGAACACACCAACAAAUACAAAUACAACCUCAAUACACAUAUGCUCACACAUUCUGAAGCCCCUAGGUGUUCACAUGCACAAAUACAACCCCUUCAAACACACAUAAUUUCUACAGCCCCUAUACAUUCACAUACGCGCACACAUACACUACAACCCAUAGCUACACACAGUAUAACACAAUCAGCCUAUCCUACACAUCAGCCCUGUACCAUUUUUUCCUCUAGUAUUCCACUUAUAGGGACACCAGCAAAUUUAGUGCAAGCAUGUAAUUAAAUGUACUUGUAUUGUGUGAAACAAACAGAUUUUCCCCAUCUGAGAGCACCUCAGCAGGACUCUGUGCAUGGGUUGUUUUGGAGGGCUAUCAAACGGACAUAACAUGCUCCUCCUAUUGGGCUGUUCUGCUUUUGUCCUGGGCCACCCUGUAUCUUAGAUUAUCAUGAUCAGAAUCUUUCAUCUUCUUACUGCAAAUGUUUGUGAGCCCUAUUUCCAAAAAUAAGUUAAGUUUAAAUACUGUUUACACAUUUUGGAGAAAAGUAAUGCACGAACCUCUACAACCACAAAGUUAGCUAUUUUUCCACUAUAUAUUAUCCCCAACAAAACAAGAUUUGCAAACCUCGCAAAUUAGAGCAAGGCACUUUCAAUCCUGUAACUUUUUCUAAUAAAUACGCCAUUCCAUUUGUUAUAAUGCAACAUGUCAUGUAAAAAUGAAAAUCAAAUCACUUUAUAGUGCCUAAAAUUCUAUCUAUGCAAACUUAUUUCUCAAGCUUUAAUUAUAUUGUAAAUCUAGAGUUUAUAUUCCUAUGCUAUUGAUAAAGGAACAAUAUCUGAAGAGUUUACACACCUCUGCCCGUGAUAAUGCGAAGUAAGGCUUUACCCAAACCAAAGCAUACAUUCACAGGCAAUCGAGAAGAGCUGCAUAGUGCUUCUGGGGUGCGGGUUGAGGCAUGUCCAUCUUCUCAUUCACUGGACCAUACUUACACACGCACACAUCAACUUCAAGUCUACAUUUUAAAUGUCUAAGUUUGUUGGCAAUUUUGCUUAAACCCCUUAAGGACACAUGACAUGUGUGACAUGUCAUGAUUCCCUUUUAUUCCAGAAGUUUGGUCCUUCACAUUGUGAAGAUUAAAUAUUAAUACCUACACAAAAUGCAAUUAAUUGGACGGCAGAUAAAUUUUACUGGUUGAUAUAUUUAUAAAUAAGACUUUUUUUAUUUAUACCUAUAUUACUUUCAUCUAAAAGUUAAACUUUGUUUAAAAUUUUGGCACACUCUUAUACAAAUAGAUCUUAUACUAUGAAUGCAAAGUGAUUUUGACUUGGACAUUUAUGAAUCAUAAAUCAAAAUAUAUACUACUAAAGGUGAUAAAUGUGCGUUUUGUCUGAUUAUAUAAAUCAGCUGGAUUCUAUUCUUUUAUCUUUUAUGCCCUAAUUAUUAUUCAUACUCAAUAAGCAACUUCACAGCUUGCAAAAUCCCAUGUGCCAUGUCUUUCACAGCGAGAUGACAAACCCAAGGCUUCUCUUGUCCGUAAGUUUCAAGAAUGGAAAAGCAACUGGCUUUCUAAAUGCAUUAUCUUAAAGAUUUGUCUUCUCUAAAAUUCAAUUUAUCAAGGGAUGUGGAAGGACAAGAUGAGAGAUAAGUUUAGAUAUGUUACAGAACUUGAUGUGUGAUUACAGCCACAGUACUGACAUCUCUUUCUAUUUUUGGAUUUCAUUUACUUUAAUGUUUAACAUUUACACAAGAAGGUGUUGCUGAUUAUUUCACAUUCAUGGCAUUUAAAGUAAAUUAUCCUAUUAACAUUGUAGGCACACUGGUAUACUUAUACUUUUUUAUACCAUAAAGACCUAACCUAAUAACUUGUAUAUACACUAUAUAUUUAAUUGGUGUUCUACAAUGUAUGACCAUAUACUGUAGCUAAAUUCAUAAGUUAAAAAGCUAUUAGUUUGUGAGCUUUGAAGUUGGUGCUUAGUGAAUCGUCUGGAACAAGUGUGUAUAUAUGGAUUAAAAUCACUGAUUAGUGAAGUGAAUUACUGAUUAUAUUAUUACAAAGGCCUCUGUCAAGGGGUGGCAUAUAUUGUGCAGCACGUGAAAUAUCAGCUCUUGAAUUUCAUGUGUUGGAAGGAGAAAAAUGGGGGAGUUAAAAGAUCUGAGUGACUUAAAUAGUGAUGGCUAGAUGACUUGGUCAGAGAAUCUGCAAAAUCUCAAGUCUUGUGGGGUGUUCCUAGGAUACUGUGGUUGGUACCUACCAAAAGUGGUGCAAGGAAGGACAAACAGUGAACCUGCAUCAAGGUCAUGGACUCACUGAGGCAUGUAGACAGCAAAGACUAGCCCGUCUGGUCCAAUCACACAGAAGAGCUACUGGAGCUCAGAUUGCUGAACCACUUAAUGAAAGCCAUGAUAGAAAGGUGUCAGAACACACAGUGCAUUAAUUUGCUGAAUAUGUGGCAAACAACCAUACUGUACUAUUUUUCAGGAAUGGUUUGAGGAACAUGACAAAGAGUUCAAGGCAUUGCCUUGACUUCCAAAUACCCCAGAUCACAAUUCUAUUGAGCACUCGUGGAAUGUUCUGGACCAACAAAUCCGAUCCAUAGAGGCCCCACCUUGCAACUUUCAGUACUUAAAGGAUCUGCUACUAGAGUGUUCAUUCCAGAUGCCACAGGACACAUUCAGAGGUUUUGUGGAGUCCAUGCCUUGAUGCAUCAGAGCUGUUUUAGCAGCACAAGUGGCACCUACAGGAUAUUAGGCAAGCAUAUUUAAAGGUGUGACUGAUCAGUGGAAGUACAUGAGUACAAAUUGAUCUGGUUAAAAGUCUGUCUGUUUUCAAAUUGGAUAAGUCUUGCCAGACUAAUUAUUGAAAAUGUAUUUAAAUCUAAUCAUUAAGUGCAAAAAUAAAUUUAAGUUUUCAUGCAUUUCACCUAUGGUGGUGGUGAUUAGUGUAUAAAAGUAAAGCAUCACUGUUUUCUUUUUCACUGUUUUGCAAUAAAACUACUGUGUGAAAAGCACAUAAAAUGGUGUUAGGAGUUUUUUUCUGACAUACUAACCCCUUAAAUACACCGCUUCAGAAGUAUAAGGCCAGCAUCAUGGAAAAUUACCAUCAUGUGUUUUUUUUAAGAGGUUAGAAAUAAGGAUAUUUGAUAUCCUAUAUACAUAUUGGGGGGGGGGGGAGGCUUUACAUUAUUAUGUAUGUAUUAUUAUUAUGUAUUCCAAUGCUCAAGGAUAUACAGUGAAACAUUGGAAUUUCUAUAUUUUCAUUUCCAUUGUAUCCACUUUCAACAAGGUUAGCAGAUGCAGUCAGUUCUUAUGCUAUUCACUGUUUGGGAAAUUGGAAAAAAAAUACCACUUUAAGCAUAUGUAAAAGGAAAAAUUUAUAGAUUUAUAGUCUUGUUGAUGUUGACUGCCUCAUACGUAAAGUCCUUUUCCUACUACUUAUGAGACAGUAGCUUAUCUUGUCUUCUUGCAGAAUGAAGGAUACAGCUUGUUUUAGCAGACCACGUCUUCUAUUUUAUGCUCACCAGGUCACUUCCUCAACAUACACCCAAGAAAGUUGGUUCUUUCUCCCUGGAGACAAAAUAGAUGCAGUCCCUAUUAAUGAAGCCUGAUUUGUAUAACUUCUAGUGUCAGGAGGUGUGACAUAACUUCCUCCACUGUAAUGAGAUCUGGAUGGAAUCAUUCCUACAAGUAUAGCCAGGGCCGGAUUAACAUAGGGGCUGAUGGAACUGCAGCUCCAGGCCCAUGGAAUAGGCCCAUUGACUUAUAUAAAAAAAAAAAAAAAGUUUAAAAUUUUUUUUUCCCCCACACACUACUCUUAGGGAUUCCACCUGGCUUUUAUUUUAUUGGCACAGCCAGUAUUUGAGGCUGCCUGGCUGGUGCCAAUAUUACAGUGAUACUGGCAAUACAAAUGCUGGUAGUUUAUCUCAGUAUAAACAAGAGAUUACUAUGCAAUACCAGCACUGGCCAGUAGGGGUCGCUGUGUAUGGAGACAGGCAGGGAUAGGAAGUUCCAGCAUAUCUCUCCCUGCCUAUCUAUACUCACUGAUCUGCAGGGGUGCAGCUACAGAGAGUCCAGACCGCAACUCCCACCCUCCAGAGACAGCCUACAGCUCAGGGAAGUAAGGGAUGGGGGGGAAAGGCUGCAAGGAGACAUGGGGACACUGAGACACUAAGGGACAUUGGGAAACAUUAUGACACAGACACAUGGGGACACAUUGUCCCCAUGUCUCCCAGUGCCCCCAGUCUGCCAGUGUCUCACUGUCCCCAUGUCUCCUAGUGCCUCCAUGUCUCCCAGUGCCUCAAGUGUCUCAAUGUCUCCAUCCAAGUUAGUGUCCCUAUUGUCUGUGGCCCUGGUGUCUUCUUGUCCCCAUGUCUCCCAGUGCUCCCAUGUCUCAAUGUCCCCAUGUCCCCCAGCCAGUGUCUCUAGUGUCUGUGUCCUUGGUGUCUGUGUCCCCAUGCGUCACAGCCAGAGUCCCCUAGUCUCCCAGUGUCACUGGUGUUUCCGUGUCCCUAGGUCUCCCCAUGUCCCCAGGUCUUCCCAUCUUCCUAGUGACAUGGGGACCCUGGGAUACAUGGGGACACAGGGAGACAUGGGGCAUUGAGACACUGUGAUACAUAGGAUCACUGGGAGACCUGGGGACACUGGGAGACAUGGGGCACUGAGACACUGAUAUAUAGAAACACUGAGACCUGGAAUAAUCGACACAUGGGGCACUGGGAGACAUGGGGCCACUGGGAGGAAUCCAUCUAUACAGCAGAAUCAAACUAAGUACUUUUUGGUGAUUUUACAGCAUUUUCUCUCAUGUCACUCCUUGUGAUUUACAUCAUGUGAUGUCACCCAUACAUAUUUAAUUAUGCAAAUUAGCAAGGCCGGUAUGUUUUUCCAAGAAAGGUGGCAACCCUAACUACUUUUCACAUACUCUUACUUAAGUAUGGAAACUUAAGAGGUAUGUAUGGGAACAAAACUUGUGUGGACUGGCUGACAAUGAAUAUAGUUAAAGGGACACUAGAGUCACCAGAACAACUACAGCUUGUUGAAUUUGUUCUGGUGAGCAGAAUCAUUACCGUCAGGCUUUUUGCUGUAAACACUGUCUUUUCAGAGAAAAUGGAGUCUUUACAUUACAGCCUAGUGAUAACUUCACUGGCCACUCCUUAGAUGGCUGUUAGAGAUCCUUCCUGGGUCAUGGCUGCCUAAAAUGCAUCCAAACAUUCAGUGUCUCCUCCCUCUGCAUGCAGAUACUGAACUUUCCUAAUAGAGAUUCAUUGAUUCAAUUCAUCUCUAUGAGGAGAUGCUGAUUGGCCAGGGCUGUGUUUGAAUCAUGCUCCUCCUUGUCAGUCUCAGCCAAUCCUAUGGGGAAGCACUGUGAUUGGAUUAGGCCACCACUUCUAAUGAUGUCAGCAGACUGCUUGUUUUUCUAACAGCAGUCUAACAGCAUGCAGAGUUACAGCUUUAGGCUUGAAUACAGUAAGAUUUUGCUAUAUUUAUGGAGGCAUGGGGGGCCCAGGGGGGCUAGAUGGUGGUGUUAACACUAUAGGGUCAUGAAUUCAUGUUUGUGCUCCUGACCCUAUAGUGAUCCUUUAAAGGACCACUAUAGUGCCAGGAAAACAUACUUGCUUUCCUGGCACUAUAGUGCCCUGAGGGUGCCCCCAUCCUCAGGGACAUCCUCCUGCUGGGCUCUGGGGAGAGGAAAAGGGUUAAACUUACCUUUAUUUCCAUCGCCGGGCGGGGAGCUCUCCGCCUCCCAUCCUCCUCUUCGGGUGAAUGCGCAUGCGCAGCAGGAGCUGUGCGCGCAUUCAGCCUGUCUCAUAGGAAAGCAUUUAUAAUGCUUUCCUAUGGACGCUGGCAUCUUCUCACUGUGAUUUUCACAGUGAGAAGCACGCAAAUGCCUCUAGCGGCUGUCAAUGAGACAGCCACUAGAGGCUGGAUUAAACCAUUUAUAAACAUAGCAGUUUCUCUGAAAGUGCUAUGUUUAUAAAAAAAAAGGGUUAAUCCUAGAGGGACCUGGCACCCAGACCACUUCAUUAAGCUGAAGUGGUCUGGGUGCCUAGAGUGGUCAUUUAAGGUAAUGCUGACUUUGGUCUCUCUAACACUGUGGCAUCUUCCCUUUCUUCUACACUCACUACAUACAGCUUUUCUCUGUCCCAAACUAUAUACCAGGAGCUUCUGCCUGCUAGUAAGAAGGUAAGGAGACAAGUGGACCAGCGAGUGCUAGGUGACAGUCCUUAGAAAGCGUUGAGCUUGUGCAUCAUUAGAUGCAUUUAUGCCAAGCUCAGGGUGCUGUCUGCAUAGUAUGCCCUUAGUUUGCCAGCUGCAUGAUUGUCAGGCAGCAUGAAAUGCAUUCAUGCCAGGCUGGCCUUCUAAUUCUUUGAGCAGACAUGUCUUCUUUUUGGGCAUGUUCGCCCCUUUUGGCAGGUUACGUGAUUUGUGUCAGUGGCAUACCCUUUUACCGUGCCCAUUGACUUCCUGCUUGACUGGACACUGCUGUUAGGGGUUAUGGAUUUACUUGAAAGAUGAAAACAUAAAUUAGUGAGAGAUUAGCCUAGGGUAUGUGUUUUCUUUUAGCUGCUGUUUUCUUUCUCUCCAGCACCAUCUCCAUCAGAUACAUGACGCUUGGGAGUGUUUUACUGUUUUUGGUCGAUAUGAUUCUGUAAUUAGGCCCGUCAUAAUUGUCAGCACCAGGCACACUGGGCUCUUAAUCUAGCCCUGAGUAUAGCCCAUUGUAAAUGUGUGAUUUAAAUUACCUACACGUUGGGAUGAUAUGUUUAAAAUUUCGUCCACAUAUGGUUUUGAAUAUAUGCAUUUCUACAAACAAACUAAAUUAUCUGUUUUUUUAAAAUGAACUCCCUUUUUGGUCAUUGUUACAUUAUUUCUUGACAUGACUGGUGUGUAAAUUUCUCAGAACUUCCCUUUAAAUUGUUUCACAUGGGUUUACUUUCUAAAAGCAGGAACAGUUGUAUUGUUUUUCUUUAUAAAUAAACUUGAUAAUAGAUCAAAUUGUCUAUUUGAGGUUGGUGAUGGAUUUUUUAACAUGCUCUUAAGGCCACAUGGUUCAUCAGAAUCUCCAAGCAGGUUUAGGUUUCUGAAAAAAAUCAAGGCAAUCUAUGUAUAUUAAGUUAUCGCACCGGUCUUUGUUCACUAUUUAUUUUUAAUUUUAUUACAGCAGCCCACUAUCUGGAAUACCCUUUAUCUGUGUUUUAUUUUGUUACUUUCUGUCUCCUGGACCAAAGAUUUGGCUAUUCAUAUAAAAAAAAAAAAAGUACACGUUCUGCAACAGAAGCCUAGAUCAAGUAGAUAAGUCACAGAAAAAAAGAAAAAGAAAGUCAUUCUAGUUAAUUGAGCACUGUAGACCCAUAAGGUACUUCAGCUUAUGCCCAUAUAUUAAGAGUAUGGUUCUAAAACUUGUGCUUUAGAUCUCCAUUUAUUAUUAUAAAUUUGUCUUGCGACUUUUGAAUACUUAUACUGACAUCAGUGCUCGUGCUACUGUGUGUAGGUAAUUUAUAUAUAGAGCCGUGUUUCUGCUCUAAAGUCGAACACUCAGUAAUGUAUAUGGUGGUCAAUCUUCAUAUAAGUUGAAAUAGUAAGGUCUCAAUGAGAGAUGCAUGAUAGCUCCCAGGGAUACAAGCAGCUUAUCAAAAAGUAUGGAGCCACUAAAACUGGUCCCAAUACAUUAAGGGAGCCCAUUGACUUAACCCUGCUUAAACCAGGAAUUUUUAAAAGGGAUUUAAUUAUCUCAUCUGAAUAUCUGGGGCCCCAGCAGACAUAGGAGAGCCCCAGGUAUACAUUGAUACCUGAGGAGGCUCCCUGUUGUGAGCAAGGCUUUAACCCUGCACACACUAUAUAUGCAGGGUGUUCUAUGUCGUCCUAAAAGCAUUAAAUCCCACUUUGUGUAAAACGACAUAGAAUGCCCUAAUGUCAUCAAAAUGUUAAAGAGAAACCCUUAAAUUAUGGUGGAAUACGCACAUAAUGCAAGUAUUGGGUUUUGCUCUGUUUCAGAACUUGAAAAAUUAUGUUUUCAUUUUUAGUUUUGUAGUCUUAUUAUUCUGGGUAUAAAUGCAUGAUACAUAAAACACAAAGAAAUGACCAAUGGAUAUAAAAUGCAGAGGACAAAGUAAAGUCCAUAUAUGAAUAUAAUAUAAUUAAAACUAAAUGUAUUUAUAUAUGUUUAAAAAGGAUCAAAAAGACAAAAAUAAACAUAAAGGGGAGCUCCUAAGCUCUAAGUAAGAAAUGGAGCAUACAGGGUUAAGGAGCAAUGGAGGCUGCUUGUUAAAGGAAUGAUAAGAUAGAGACAAUUCACAGAUUUUACUAUUUCCAUGACGUAAAGAAUUUUUUUAAAAACAUAACCAGUACAUAACAUUAGCAGUCUGAGAGUUGAGAGUAGUAUCUCCUUAGAAACAGGAACAGCCAAUCAGGUUCCUCUCUCAAGCAUAAUAGGUUCUGUCAACCAAUCCUAUUCCUCUUUAUUUGCGAUCCCGAAUAAUAAUAACCAUCCAACCGAAAAAAGGGGUCGAGUACAAAGGGAAUAUCUGUAACGAUCUGGAGUAGAUUAGGCUGUAAAAGAGGAAAGAUAUGGUAAUAUUCUAGUAUAAAACUGGGUGUAUGCAUAAAUCACGGGUCAUAUUGAAUAGAAUUUAUUUACUUAAGCCAUAAUGGUUAGGUUUUAAGUAUUGAGAAACAUACCAUAACCGGAGGAAAAAACUCCAUGAUAUCAGGACUUACCGUGAAAUCAACGUAUUCAUAUUCCCUCCCUUGUGGUUAAGUUAGAGUAAUUCCAAACAUAGUAUUGCGGCUCCCUGCCCGCCGCAUGGCACAGCCAUGCCCGACCGGCACGACCUCGCCAAUCUAGCGAGCUUACCUGCUCGUUGGCGAGCCGGGAACCGCUCCUCCGUGUCUUCUGGGCAGUGCGCCCAAAUCAAAGAUGGCGAUGACCACGUGGUCGCGCACAUCACAGGCUCCGCCCCUCAAAUUUAUACUGACCAAUUAGAGCCCAGAGAGGGAUAUUUAAACCCCUAAUUCACUCCAGUUCCUUGCCCUGUCGUGGUUUCCUGUUCCUGGUUCCCGAGAGUGCGUGUACCCUUGUGAUUCUGAUUUCCUGGUAUUCUGAUCUUGGCUCUUCCCUGGUUAUUCCGAUUUCUGGUUCCCCUGACUUUGGCUUGUCUAAACGGUAUUUGAGUAUUUCUGGCUUCCUUGACCUUGGCUUUCCCUUUGACCAUUCUUUAUCUCUAGCGUAUUAGUCCAGCCAUUCUAAGGUCUGGUUUACGCUCUGCCCUUUUAUUUCCUUUCUUUUUAUAUGUAUAUGUUUACAUAGUUUCUGCGUGUUGGACCACACUAGCAGUCAUGACACAUAGCAUGAAGAGCAAGCUCCAUGAUAUCAGGACUUUCCGUGAAAUCAACUUACCCAUAUUCCAUCCUUCUUCGGGAUGGGAGGGAGGGAUAAUACUCGCCUCUGUGUCGUUAAUAAAAUCAUGACUUUACGUCAUGGUAAUAGUAAAAUUUUAUUAAGACACAGAGGCUCCUAUUAUGCUGGUUUAAAGCUGGGAGAUUACCGUUCCCCUGAAGUGUUGAAUGGGUCUAAAGUAGAAGUCACAAAGGGUAGAUCCUGAGGACCAAUCGGCCGCCUUCAAAAUGUCUUCAAGGCGACAACCAAUCGAGGAAGCCUUGGAGGCCAUUGCUCCUUGUACCGAAAGAGGUGAGAAUAGUGAGGUGUCGAUGCCCGCUAGGGCCAUAAUCCAUUUAACCCAGUGAGUCAGGGUAGGGGUAGACACUGGUAAGUGCGGGUUCUGGAAGGAGAUUAAAAAUUUGUGUUUUGCUGGACCUCUUAAAGUGGAAGUGCGAAGUUCAUAAAUUUGUAGGCAUUUGACUGGACAUAAGUACGGUCUGUCAGGGAAUGAUGGGUAUAAGACCUUUUUGAUGACGUCUUCGUUCUUCGAGAUAUAUCGAACGUGAUCCCUUCCAGGCCUCUGACAUCGGAAACCCUCUUGCAGGAUCAAUAUCAAUAUUGCUGAGAUCAGACUCUGAAUCUAAUUGGGCUAGCCGAAUUUGCCCGGCUAGUGGCUCUUUUGCGCCCUCUGUGACCGGUGCAUCGCUUUUGGGUUCAACCUUUUUUCUACUCACCACAACUAUCUGAUAACAGACGGAUGUACUUAAUACUUGUCACUGUUUUACAAUCAACCUAGCUUUUUGCCUUCAUUACAAUAUUAUUUUUUCAGACAGCGACAUUGAAGUCGAUUCAGUGUUUAGCAAGUUCAAUGAAGACUUGGCUAUAUAAUGUUUUUCAGAGACAUUAUCCCUCUGCUAUCCUUUGGUUAUAUGAUUUAAUUGCUACAUUGUAUAUAUUUCCUUGCUGUACUAUCCUAUAGGUAUUAUAUUGUUCAAACUCUCUGUGAGUAUGUUUUUUACUCAACACAACUACCUUGUAACCUAUAUACGAUUUAGAAUUCAUAAUUGUCUCUAUCUUAUCAUUCCUUUAACAAGCAGCCUCCAUUGCUCCUUAAUCCUUUCUACACUAUUUCUACCCCUUUAUUUUGUGUUCAUAAGUUUCCUUUUUUUUUUUAUUUUUUUUUUUUUUGUAUUUUUGGUUCAAUUACUGUUCCUUUUUAAACAUAUAUAUAUAUAUAUAAAUACAUUUAGUUUUAAUUACAUUAUAUUCAUAUAGGGACUUUACUUUGUCCUCUGGAUUUUAUGUCCAUUGGUCAUUUCUUUGUGUUUUAUGUAUUCCAUUUCUACGGUUACCCCCUAUUAAGUUCCCUUUACACACUCUAGACCCAUCAGGGGGUCGCCCCCCUUUUUUCUUUGGGUGUAAAUGUUUAAUGCAGCAGCUACCACUCUUGUGGUAAAUAUUUUUUUUUUUUGCGUUCUCUAGCUAGUGCUGCCUAUCAGGUUGAGAGUUAUACACUGCUUAGACAUAGCGAGUGGUUUGUUUAUUCUAUUUCUUACUUUCUACACACACUUUGUAGAAUCCAGUUACUUUCAAUGUAUGAUUCUAAAUGUUAUGUACCUUCUUUUCAAAAAGUUUUUCUAUCAAAACCCUUUUAGGUUGACCUUUGGUAUUACCCAUUACUUAAUUCUACUACUAUAUAUCAUGAUUAAAUCGGAAACCUUUUACUAUAUUUAUGAUAACCGUUAUUAUCCACAAAGUGAAUUCUACAUUUCAGGCAUGUAUAGUCCUCAUGAUGCAUAAAUAAUAGUUAGAAAAUGUUUGCAAACUUGUUAGAGAUGGCAAGCGUGUGCCAUCGUUAUGAAAAAUCUACAAGUUAUGUUUUUAGUAACUACCGAUCUGAGUAAAAAAGUCUAAAUUUACGUAGACUGUUUGCUACAUUUGACACUGCAGCGUUCUUUCAAUAAAUCUUUAUUUACGCAGGAGUUGGCAUACACAGAAAAAAAAACCCCAGAAUAUUAAAUAUGAAUAUUACAUCCAACACAAAUGUUAUAGAACAUUACAACCCUGAACCACACCGUCAACCCAUGAAACAUGCAUGGACACCCACUGAACCUUCUUCAUAGAAUACUGUUACGGCACCCCUAGGCAUAAAAAGGGGUUAAAAGCCAUUUAGUAGAUCUUCCCCUUCCAGAAACACAGGCACAGCUACUGUAGACACCAAUCCACCGAACCAGAGAAGCAUUUGAAUGCUCUCAAACAUAUGAAUGCUGUAGACAGCUGAAUAGGAAAAACCAUACGAAUAGGUUUACACUCCUAGCAGUCAAACUGGAACAGCAUACAAUAAAUCCCCCCAAGUAUGAGACAAGGCUCCGUUUUGAGGGUCAAGCAGGAACAGACACAGCUGUGGGUUUAUUGUUCUUAUAUACACAUUAGUACCACCCACAGGGUUUUGGAACACAACCAAUAAACACAUACAAUACACUCAGACACUCCCACACAAAAUCCUCCCCUCUGCCUGUGAUACAAUUACCUUACACAAUGGGUAAUGUAAUUAGCACAAGCAGAGAAAUACAAUAUUUCCACAUUAUUCAUAACUUGAAAAGUAUGCAUCACAUUCACAUAAAACUUACAUUUUCAGAAUCAACAUACUCCAAAAUCAUCCAAAUUGGUCCAGUGGUUCAAACGAUAAAUCGUAGUCCUUUGUGACCAAAGGAAGCAUGGCUUUUCUGCCCAAAACCAGUUCCACAGAGUCUUCGAGCCUGCAGAUAAUUGUGAAGUAAUCCAAUUAUCUCCAAGGACAGAGGCAAAACUCCAUUGAACACAUGGCAGCAAAAGACUAUAAAACACAUAAAAACAUAUAACUGUGCAGCCAUUGCACAAAUAGGUACAUGCAACAUAUCCCCAGAUAGCUCCGAUCUGAGCGCACAUUAUUACUGAAUGGCGCUCAGAGCACACACAUACAGUUCAAUUGCCAUGGAGCCAAAGUCUUUCCCAUAGUCUUUCAUUAUAUGAAUGGGCUCCAUGACAUAGCUAUCUGGGGUAUCACCGCUCAAACAGGACACUCACCGAAUGGCCCGGCUUUCGUGUCUUCGCAGGGAAAAAUCAAGCAUUUCAACAUGGGGCCAUAGUCUAAAGGCAGCAGGCGGGCAACCAGGCUCCUCCAAUGCACAGUGGCGAGAUUGGUCUCAUCACAUCUCUCCCCUUUUCCAAACAGACUAACAGGGUAUCUGACCUCCUGCCGGUCAGUGCCCUUGUUAGUCCAGCAGCCCACCCACAAAACACAAUCAGUAAUACAGCCCACCCACAAUAACUGGUUACUACACCUGGGUAGAGGAGAACUUUGUCCAUGUCCAGGUGCCUCACCAUGGCUGUGUGGGGUACUGGUAAGCUGCCUUGGUGGGUUGCUGAGUGGGCAGAGACCACCGAAUGACAUCAACAUGCAAAAGGAAAAGAAGAAUGAGUGAAGACACUACAAAUGAAGCAAAGUAAAGGAAUUAGAGGAAGAGAAGUGGUAAUGAUGUGUUUCUCAUUAAGAACCUUAACCAGAGUAUUUUAUGGAUAUUGAUGGCUAAAAUCAAUCCAGGAAUCCCAUGUUUUUUAAGCAUUAGAUAGGAUAUGGUGGACCAUGGCAGAUAACCAUGGGCGUCUGCAGAAAUGUUUCUGGGGGGUGGGGGGAGGCAGUGGGGGGCAAUUGUAAUGACAUCCAUGCUUUGCCUCUUUGUGACAAUGUCAUGAAGGGGAGGCACACAGUCAUCUUUACCUAAAGUGCAGCCGUGCAAAGGGUUGAAAAACCUGAUGCAAAAGUUUAAUAGAAGAAUCAAGUUGCCAUUUUCUAAAUUUGAUGCACACACUGACACAUACAAAUGCACAGAGACACAGAUACACAUACAUACAAAACACUGACAUUUAUACAGAUACAGACACACAUAUAGAUACAAACACUGCCACAAAUGCAGAUGCACAGACACAAGUAAAAACACUGGCGCACAUGCAGAUGCACAAACACAGGUACAAACACUGACACACAUGCAGAUAAACAGACACACAGAAGCAAACACUGAGACCAGACACACACUGAUACACAUGCAGAUUCACACACUCAUAUGCAAACACUGAUGCAGAUGCACAGACAUACAGAUACUGACACCCAUGCAGAUACACAAACACACAUAUACAAACACUGCCACACAUUUUUUUUAAAUGCAUGACAAUUUGAAUCGCACAAUAAUUUUUGACUACUUGGGCAAAGAUGCAUUUUGCUUCCACCCUCCCCCCAUAAAUGCAUCUUCACCUGUAUGUUUUUUUAAAACCCCCCCUUUUGAAUUUCUUACCCUCUUUUGUGCUUAUCUCAUCUGUUGAAUGUCUUACCCCUUUUUGUGUAUCUUAUCCCCAUUUCCCCUUUGUGUCUUACACCUCCUUAUGUGUAUCUUACCUUUCCUUUGUGUCUUACUUUCCACCAGACUCUUUGUGUGUCACUUACUUUUCCCAUCCUCUUUGUGUGUUUCUCUCCCCCCAGCCCCUCUGUAUGACAUUGUCCCCUUCCCCAGCUCCUCUUUGUGUUACUGUCCCCUUCCCCGAUCUGUCUCACUGCCACCUUCCCAGCUCCUCAGUGUGUGUCAUUGUCCCCUUCCCAAUCCCCUCUGUGUGUCAUUGCCACCUUCCCAGCCACUCGGUGUGUGCAGGGCCAGUGCAAGGAUUUUUGGGUACAUAGGUGAAUAUGUAUCCCCCCCAAAAAAAUAACAUCUUCACCUGCGUGCCUCUUAACUUCACUUUUUGUUUCUUAUCCCCUCUUUUAAAUGUCUUACUUCCUUAGUGUGUCUUACACCUCCCUUGUGUGUCUCUUAUUUCCCCUUUUUGUAUGACUCUUACAUCCUCCCACAUUUUGUGUCUUACUCCUCCCAGCCCCUUUGUGUCUUUUACUCUUCCCAGCUCCUUUGUGUGUGUCUCUCCCCUCCAGCCUCUGUGUGUCUUUUUCCCUUCUCAAGCCCCGCUGUGUGCUUCUUUCACAUCCAGCCCCCCUCCCUUCCCUGUCCCUUAGUGUUCCUACCCCCUCCUUUCCCUGUCCCUUAGUGAUUCUCUCUGCUCCCUGUCCCUUGGUGCCCACCCACACCCCUAGUGGUCACCUNNNNNNNNNNNNNNNNNNNNNNNNNNNNNNNNNNNNNNNNNNNNNNNNNNNNNNNNNNNNNNNNNNNNNNNNNNNNNNNNNNNNNNNNNNNNNNNNNNNNCCCCUUCCUGGUAUGCCUCACACCUCUCUUGUAGCGUGCCCUGAGCGGAGUGGAUCUUGGUACAGGACCUUCAGUUUCCUGUACCCUGCUCUCUGUGAGCACUUCCUGUCAGUCAGGCCAGGUACAGGAAACAGAAGCUCCUAUACUGUGGUCCGCUCCUCUCAGCCGCGCUACACUCAGUGGUGUAUACACACUGUCAGUCACACACACUCAAUAACAAACACACAGACAUCAGUGACAGACACAGACUCACUGAUCUGACACACAUUCAUUCAUUCACAGACACUCACACACACACUAACAGACAUACACAGUGACAGACACUCUAACAUUGACACACACACACUGAAAGUCACACACAGACUCAAGGGCAAACAGACUCUCCCUGAUUUGACAAACACAGAAACACACACACAUUGAGACACACUCAUACAUUCACAUGUACUCACAUACACUUAUAGACACAUACAUUCUCACACACACACAUACACUCACAGACACAAACAUACACACACUCACUAAUUAUUAAUAUUAUUAAAACUAAACAUUUUGCACCCAGCCUCCCUCGCUGGAGAGCUGGCGUGGGUCUCUCGUUGGAGGUCCAGUGGGGCUGCUGUGAGGCAUGCAGCUAAAUUGGCAUCCGAGGCAGGGAGGGAGCUCUGAUCUUCUUGCUCUGCUCCCUCACACCUAGAGGAUUGUCUACUGAUGCCGGGAGCCGGAAUGACAUCAUAUUUCAGCUCCCGCAGCAUUAGCAAACGGCGUGCGAGGAAGUAAAGCAGGUGGAUCAGAGCUCCCUCACCGCCUCGGAUGCCAAUUCAGCCGCACGCUGUGCUGGGGGGUCCAGAAAGUGGUCUGGUAAGUGGGAGGGCUUCCCUUCUGCCGGUCACUGGAAUUUUGCGCCCCCAGAGCCGGUGCGCCUUAUGGACACGCCAGACCUGAGUGUGUAUCACUGUCCCUGUCCCCUUCUCAGACCCUCGGUGUUUUCAAUCUUGUUCUACCCCUCCAUGUGUCUUGUUCUGCCCCCAGCCCCUCCAUGUGUCCUGUUCUGCCCCCAGCCCCUCCAUAUCCUCUGUUCUGACCCUCCAUGUGUCCUGUUAUGCACCCCACAGCACCUGCAUAUCUUCUGUUCUGCCCCCCCAGCCACUCUGUGUUCUGAUCUGCCCCACACACACACUUACCUCUUUCCUUUGUGGGCUGGAAGGAGAGGAGUAGAGUCUGUGGUCUGUAGUAGUUGGGGAAGCAGGGAUCCUUCCGGCUUCCCUUCAGUCUGCAGCAGUAAGGGCAGCAGGUACAGGCUGCAUUUAACCCCACUGCCCUUUAGUCCUACCUCUCAUUUAGCUCCACCUCACCUCCUACGUAGCUCUGCUCCCUCUCUAUGAUUUGGGGCUUUACAAAUUUAGCAUUGCUGAAGGUUGCUUAUCCAUAGGGCAUGCCAUCACAUAUGAUAAAAGGUAUCCUUGGACCUGCACUUUUUCCAACAUAAGGCUAUGCAUCUUUCUUUAAUCAUUCAAGACAUGGAAAAAUAAUUAUGCCUUAUAGUGGCUGUCAAAAACAAAACAAAACGUGUUAAUAUUGUAUUAAUGUAGUAUGUUUGCAGAAUAGAUAUAAGUCCCUGUCAUGCUGUAGUACAAGAAAUUAAAGCAGGUUAAAUAGCAUUCGCUAAUAUGAAAUAACCUACAAAUGUAUCCAUAUGAACCCAAUCCUUAGUUCAUUUCACCCCUGUCAUCCAGCAUAUAAUUAUUUUCAUACAAACAAUAAAACACUUUGGUGACAAAGUAACAAAAACACCAUUUAUGACAUUCGGAAGCACAAAACCAUUUCUUGCCUGAUCUUUGUCAAUUCGGAAAGUAAAGAAAAAAAUAAUUAUUUAUGAAUCGCUUACGAUGAUUACGUUCACUAAUUUUGUAAUAUAAAUGGCCUUGUUACAUAUUGGUUUAGCAUGCAGUGAGCUGCAAAAAGCAGUUUGAGACUGUGUAUCAUUAUGUAGUUAAUGUAGUUGAGAGUAGAUAAAGGUGAAUUUCUGUUUUUCACCAAAGCUUACGUUGUUUUUUGUCUUUUUUCUUCUAAAUCAUCCUGUUCAAGAUUGUAUGUCCAAUUUAGUGAAACUAUUUAACAAGGAAGCAAAUUUAAUAUUUUUCAGAUUUGAGAUGUUUAUAUUAUAUUUUUUUUUUUGUUGGACAAAAUCUUAAUAUGUGAGGAUGAAUGAACCUUGUCCACUUAAACUUUCAAUAAUAUAUUAUCUCUUCCUCGACAUUCCUUUGCAUAUUCUUGAACAUUGCAUACCAGCCCUUUUUAUCCGAGUCUAUAUACAUGAUACUAAUCAGGUCCUGGAUUCAUUCUACAACUGAAAUAUUUUAUCCCGCUUGUUAACUUGAUGUCUGUCCUUUUCAACCUUUUUCACAGCUGUAAAAUACUUUAUUUUAAACCAUAUUAGGUCUUUAUCAAAUUAACACUUUUUUUAAUUUUUUUUAAUGGAUACCAAUACAUGUAGAAGCCAUUAUUAAUCAUACUAUAUCCCACAGCACUGUCCAUGUUGUAGACUCAUUUAGCGUCAAGGUUAAUUUUUAAUGCAUUUUUAAAAUAUUGUGAAAUAUUGCAUUUUUUAAUUAGAUACAAAUUGGUUUAACUGCAAUACCUGGGGGAAACCCUUGAAUUUUAACUGAAAUUAUUAUUUGGACAUUCAUUAAAAGCAAUUUGGAGAAUUUUACCAAUUUAAAAAUUCAAAUAAUGUAUUAUUUAUAGUGCCCUAUUAACAGGUUAGGUGACUGGUUCGUGCUGCAAGGGUUAAAGAAGGUAUUUACUUACAUUUCAGCUUUCAUAACAACCGCCUCCUCCUUGAAGCUCCACCUCGAAGCUCCACCUCUUUGACUAAGAUCAUUGAGAUCAAGAAUCUCAGCAAAUCCAAUGCUUUUCCUUCGAAAAGCAUUAGGAGGCUAGCGUGCAUGCAUGUCAAAAUGCUGCUUUGUGCCAAUCAGAUUAUCUGAUUGAAAUAGGAGAGUUUUACUUUGCUUUUUCACGUAAGCACCUCUUGUGGAUUUCAGUAAGACAACCAUCAGAUGCAGUUAACCUACAAUGUCUUCAGCUGCAGGGAGGGGCAAAAUGUAGCACCCAGCCCACUUAAUUGAGAUGUCUGGGUGCCUAUAGUGUCCCUGUGUUGCAAUGCAACAUAUCUGUCUACAGUGCCUUCCAAAAGUAUUCACCCCCCUUGACUUUUUACCUAUUUUUUAAAAAUUGAAAACAGAAAAUUGGCAUGUGCGUAUGUAUUCACCCCCUUUGUUAUGAAGCUCUGGUGCAACCAAUUACCUUCAGAAGUCACGUAAUUAGUGAAAUUAUGUCCACCUGUGUGCAAUCUAAGUCUAAGUGUCACGUGAUCUGUCAUUACAUAUACACACCUUUUUUUGAAAGGCCCCAGAGGCUGCAACACCUAAGCAAGAGGCACCACUAACCAAACACUGCCAAGAAGACCAAGGAAUUCUCCAAACAAGUAAGGGACAAUGUUGUUGAGCAGUACAAGUCAGGGUUAGGUCAUAACAAAAUAUCCAAAUCUUUGAUGAUCCCCAGGAGCACCACCAACUCUAUCAUAACCAAAUGGAAAGAACAUGGCACAACAGCAAACCUGCCAAGAGACGGCCGCCCACCGAAACUCACAGACCGGGCAAGGAGGGCAUUAAUCAGAAAGGCAGCACAGAGACCUAAGGUAACCCUCGAGGAGCUUCUGAGUUCAACAGCAGAGACUGUACAUAGGACAACAAUAAGCCGUUGGGCCCAUAGAGUUGGGCUUUAUGGCAGAGUGGCCAAAAGAAGGCUAUUACUUUCAGCAAAAAACAAAAUGGCACAUAUUGAGUUUGCGAAAAGGGAGACUCCCAAAAUGUAUGGAGGAAGGUCCUCCGGUCUGAUGAGACUAAAAUUGAACCUUUCAGCCAUCAAAGAAAACGCUAUUUCUGGCGCAAACCCAACACAUCACAUCACCUCACCCAAAGAACACCAUGCUGCCACCACCAUGUUUCACUGUGGGGAUGUUUUUCAGCAGCCAGGACUGGGAAACAGGUCAGAGUUGAGAGAAAGAUGGGUGGUGCUAAAUACAGGGAUAUUCUUGAGAAAAACCUGUACCACUCUGUGCGUAAUUUGAGGCUAGGAUGGAGGUUCACCUUCCAGCAGGACAAUGACCCCAAACACACUGCUAAAGCAAUACUUGAGUGGUUCAAGGGGAAACAUGUAAAUGUGUUGGAAUGGCCUAGUCAAAGCCCAGACCUCAAUCCAAUAGAAAAUCUGUGGUCAGAUUAAAGAUUGCGGUUCACAAGUGCAAACCAUCCAACUUGAAGGAGCUGGAGCAGUUUUGCAAGGAGGAAUGAGCAAAAAUCCCAGUGGUAAGAUGUGGCAAGACUUAUCCAAAGCGACUUGGAGCUGUGAUUGCCUUAAAAGGUGUCUCUACAAAGUAUGGACUUUAGGGGGGAUGAAUAGUUAUGCACAUUGACCUUUUCUGUUAUUUUGUCCUAUUUGUUUGCUGCACAAUAAAAAAUAAAUUAAAAAAACCUUCAAAGUUGCGGGCAUGUUCUGUAAAUUUGUAAAUGGUAGUGGAUUCAGUGCUUAGUGUCUCAAUAGAAUAGUGAAAAGUAUAUAUAAGUAUAGGCAGCAACCUAAAAUUAAGACGUUCCCUCACAGUACGUCAAAAGGGGAAAAUCUGAAAUAUAAAGGGUUAUAGGUCGCGCCAAAAAACCAUAUGCAGAAAACAUAUAGCAAAUAAUAGAACCAUAAAUCAAAACUGAAAUAUCAUCAUGAGAAACUGCUAAAGAUAUAGAAACAAUGUAAUAUGCACUUACAUAUAUCAGUACAUUAGAACAGAAAUAAGUCCUAGAGUAAGCAGAAAAUGGUCAAGUCCACUUGAAAAACUGAAGAAUGGUAAUAGUCCAAACAGAGGUAGAGGAAAUAAUCGAUGUUUCUUGUUCCGGAUAAAAAUAUGCAAAUAGAACAAAAGGAAAUUCCAAUAGUGUAGACUGUAGCUUGAGCUUCUUUAUGAAGAGUCAAAACAAAAGGGUAUCGCUAUUGUGGAGCUUGAACUAGCUCAGGUAUGAUUCGCACUCAGUGGUAUUAGUCCCCCAAUGAUGGGGUGUAGACGUAUAUAGGUGAAGGAAAUCCUCGAGAGAAAAAAGGUAACACAAAAUAGUGCUCACUGUAUGUGUUAAGUUAUAUGUGAAACAAAAUUAUAUGUUGAAUACUCACAUUUGGGUGAGCAGGAUAUACUGCUCACUUGUAUGGCGCAGGUGGUAUAAUCCCCACCUAGGAUUCUUGAGCAAAAGGGUAGUGAUGUAUAUAGAUAUAACCAGGUCCAAAAAUAAAAUAAGACCAGAUAAAAACUAAAAUAAAAGGUAUAUGGCAAGAAAGAAAAAAUAUAUACAAGCCAAUAAUCCUUUAUUAAUACACAUAUAAAAUUAUAAAAUAGCCAAAACACGUUUUGCCACACAGGGCUUUAUCAACUGUCUAAUUGCCUUCCCUCUCUUACGAUAUGAGGAUGAAGGGUUAAGCUCAGCUCUAAGGGGAUGUGCCAUUGGCAUUAUGACGCAGCAUUUUGGACCCACCUCCUGGGGGAGGGCCCCUGUAGAUCUAUGACGCAGCGGUGGGAUCCGCCUCUAUCCUACCCCCUUCCGAUACUCAUACAAGGUAGAGGGGAGGAGUCCCCACCUUCUGACGUAGACGCAGCUUUUUUUCCCCGCCUAUGCCAAGCCUCCCCAUUUACCUGAUAAGAAUCCCCAGCUGAUUAUUGGACUCCAUGGAUUGGCCCCUGGAUCUUUUUAAAAACCAUCACAGUCACAAAGGUAUUUUUAUCCCCUGACGAAGGUGCAAUCUCAACGCACCGAAACAUGCGUCGGGUUCUUUGUUUUGUGUUCUUUUUCACUAAUGGUAGCACUAGGUAUUUAGCACUUCUAUAUUCUUUUCUUUCAGGCCGGAGUUAAUUUAGUUUUUGGGGGAUGUUUUGAGAGAAGUUUCUCCAUUUAUUAGGGACAGUAUAGAACACCCUCGAAGGUGUUUGUUUCAGGAGCUGACAGGACUGUUUAGCUUCGCUCUAUUUGUUGUUGGAGCCUGUUCUAGUAUAUAAGAUUUCUAUACCACCAGUAUAUAGGAUCUCUUAAGGUGUCCGAUUCAAGAGCAGCCAGUUUACUUCUUUCAAUUUUCUAAGUGGGUUUUUGGAGCCUCAUUAGGACAGCUUUAUAUAACCCUUGAGGUGUUCUAUUUAGGAGCUGACAGGGUUUGUAGCACUGCAGUACUUGGUCUGGAGCCUCCCUUUCCCAUUUAACCCUUACAGUGUCCUUUAAUUAUAUGAGUCCAUGGCCUCCUGUAUAGACUUUGAAAUGUGUACUAUUACCAUUUAGCAGUUUUUCUUUUACCAGCCAAUUGCUUUAUUGGUGUGGAUUACCUCUAUUUUAUGUUUAACUUACCUAUGCUCUAUACUUUAUCCCUUUAUAUAGACACUAUCAUUGUCCUUUUUUGCUUCACUGAAUUUGUUCCAUCUAUAGUGCCUCUUUUCCACAAAAUAAAGUGUCUAUUAAUUUUGGCACCUCUUUGGAACAGUUAUAUGUGAUCAGUUAGGUUAGGUCACCCCCACUACCACUCUGUGCUGAUUUACCAUUUACCUAUAGUAUAUAUUUGUAAUCAUUAUUGUCCUUGACUUUUUUCAGAUUUGAGCCUCUCUUCCUGGAGACUCUAACUUAUUAUUUUCGUUUCUUUACAAUAUUUGGGGUACAAGCCACUUUUGGUGGAUCUGGAACCACCAUACUGACCCUGACAUUGUGUGAGAUCGAUACACACAGUCUCUCUCUUUUUUCAUACUGGAGUUUCACUAUAACUUGCAACAUUGAGGCAGAAACAGAAGAGCUGUAUAAAGUCAUCAUCUCAACAUUUUCAAAUCACUGUUUAGUGAAUAGACUCCUAAGUGAAAUCAGAGAGACCAGUGAGAAAUGAAGGGAACGGGAACAGACCAGGAAGACAAUUAGGAAAGGGAUAGAGAGAUUGUUGAGGUAUUUAGAAAACCGAUACAGACUAGGAAACAUUUUUUUACACACACAUUGUCACUUGCACACUCUCACUAACAUACACACACAAUGUCACUUACACACUCUCACUAACACAUGCACUCUUACUGACUUACUCUAACACACACACUCUUACUGACAUUCACCCACACAAUACAAUUACACACUCUCACUAACAUACACACAUACAUGUUACUUACACAGUCUCACUAACACACUCUCUCACUGAAACACAUAUACACACAAACACACACACACACACGCACAAUGUUACUUACACACUCUCACUAACAUACACAAAAUGUUACUUAUACCAGUUUACAUAUAGUCACAAUUUAUUAAAACACCCACAAAUGUAACACACCAAUUUUUAAACAUACACACAAUAACCAGCCCCCCUCAUCCUCCAGAUAUGCCAUACCUGUGUUAGUGAUGUGACUGGAGAAGGUAGGGAUCCAAACUCUAACCUGCAGACAGCUGUCCUUUUUCCUGGAGGGGGAGCAGGAGAGCCACGCACUGUAAGCACAGCCGGUUUCCUGCUCCCUCCAGAGUGCUUCCUGUGUUCACAAGCAGGGGGCAACUGGGAUGCCAGGUCACAUCCCAGCUUCCCCUGCCUGCAGGAAGCAGUGUUCUCUGCCAUGUAGUCUGCAUUUGCAAACAUUUGUGAAACAAAUUGGUCAUUCUGAAGAACUUGGUGAAUUUAAAUGUGGUUCUGUGAUAGAACCACAUAGAUGAUUCAUCCCUGUAAGAUAUUCCACAGUCAAUUAGUAAGGGUAUUAUUAGAAAGUAAAGAGACAAAUGAUGGGAGUAAAAAUGUCAAUGGUCUAAGGCAGAUGAGGGGCAUGUACCCAAACUAUUAUUAUUGGAAAGUAGAAGCGUUAGAGCAGCAACUCAAUCUGUUGAUUCCAUAGCUGAAGAGUUCCAAACUUCCACUGGCAUUAAUAACAGCACAAAAACUGCACAGCGAACACUUCAUAGAAUGGGUCUUUGUGGCUGAGCAGCUGCAUGCAUUCUUCACAUGAUCAAGUACAAUGCCAAUCAUUGGAUAAAGUGGUGUAAAACACGCUGCCACUGCACUCCGGAGCAGUGGAAAUGUGUUCUGUUGAGUGACGAAUCAAGCUUCUCUGUUUAGGAGUCUGAUGGGUGAAUGUGGGACUGUUUUGCAGCAGUUGGGCUGGGCCCCUUUCUACAAGUGAAGGAAAAACUUAAUGCUUCAGCAUACCAACACCUUUUGUACAAUGCUAUGCUUCCAACUUUGUGCACAGUUUGAGGAAAGCCCUGUUCUAAUCUAGCAUCACUGUGCCCCAGUGCACAAAGCAAGGUCCAUAAAGACAUGCUUGGAUGAGUUUGGUGACGAAGAACUUGACUGGCCUGCACAGAGUCCUGACUGCAAUCCCAUCGAACACCUUUUGAGAUGAUAUGGAAUGUAGAUUGCAAGCCAGUCCUUCUAGUACAAUGUCAUUGCCUGACCUCACAAAUGCUCUACUGAAUGAAUGGACAAGAAUUCCCACAGAAGCACUCCAAAAUCUUGUAGAAAACUUCCCCAGUAGAAUGGAAGCUGUUAUUGUUGUAAAGGGGAAAAUAACUGCAUAUUAAUAUAAUGUAUUUAGAAUUCAAUGUUAUUACCGUUCCCAUUGGUGUAAUGGUCCGGUGCCCCAAUACUUUUGUUCAUAUAGUGUGCACUGACACACACACCAAACUCAUGAACUCUAUUACAGCAAAUUGAGAAUGCUUUGAAAGCCAUGUGCUCUGAUUUGAACCAAUAUUUUUAGCUGCAUAUUAUACCUCCCUGGCAGUAAGACAGCCAGGAUGAAACUCCUGACUGCCAGGGAGGUAUAAAAGGGUUCAUUUAUAAAAGUGCUAAUUUCUAUUGAAGUUGCCACGUUUAUAAAAAAACUAUUCGUGAAUAAAGUGCUUCAGCAACCCAAACUACUUUGUUUGUUUGCAGGCUUCCUUUAACCCCUUAAGGACAUAACUUCUGGAAUAAAGGGAGAUCAUGACAGAAUAUUUCCGUCAUGUGUCCUUAAGGGGUUAACUGUAGAUAGGCAUGAAGUCACCUUUUCAGUGUUUGAGCUAACAAGGCAAGUUGUUUCUCAAUGAACACUGUCAUGAUGCUUUUUUAUAAUCUGAAUAAUGCUGAACACUUGAAAGCAACUUUCUGACAUUAAUUACAGUAUGUUGACCUAUAGUACUCUGUCUUAUAUUUUCUCCAGAUACCAAUUAGCUUCAUAAAAGUACUUGAACUCCAUGACUUGCAUUUUAAUAGCUUAAACAAUUCUAUUGUCCUUCCCCCCCUAUUCAAUUACAUCACUUAAAGUACUCUUUGCCAUGAGAGGCAAUUUUAAAUAGGAUUCAAGAGCACUAAAACAGCAGAUGUGAGACCUUUUCUUUCAUAUUUGAGGAUAAAUAAGGGGUAGAACUGCAAAUCCCUUGGAAUAAAAAAGCACCAUUGGAGUUGUAGUCCAGUUUUUGAGCCAACUCUGAUUCAAAGGUUUUUCUCAAGAUGAUCUGGUUAUUUCUAAAUGGCCUCACACCGCUCUCUUGUCAUGUUGGUGUUAUGGACUUGAAUUCUCAUAAGAAAGGUGAAAAAGCAAGGUGUAUAUUCAGGGAGUGCAGUGGAGAGGUUAGUAAACAGGCCCGGACUGGCCAUCGGGCACACCGGGCAAAUGCCUGGUGGGCCGCGGUGGCCAUGGGCCGAGGCCGGCAAGGGAGCUCCCAGGAUCUCUCCUGCCGGUCUAUGCAGGGCCGGUGCUAUCCGAGCGCAGGCCCCGCUGUUUUCCAUGGAGGGCCAGUGGGGAGAUCAAAGAUCUCCCUCACCGGCCCACAUGCUGUCAGAUCUGGAUGCCGGCGGGGAGAGAGGGAGGGAGACAGCCGCCAGGAGAGGAGGACCCGGCGGAGCUCUAACUUGCAGCUCCGCCGAGUUCCUCUCGUGAGAUCUGGCGCGUUACCAUGGCACCUCCCAGGUGCCAGUGUGCCGGUCCCCCCCCCCCUCCCAGGCUAAAGGUAAGAAGGGUGGGGGGGAUUUAAUGCCUUUUUUUUUUUUUUGCCCCCCCAACACACACACAAUCCAUUCUAACAUUUAUACAGCACUCUCACACCCAUCACACACAGCACUCUCACACACAGCACUCUCACACCCAUCACACACAGCACUCUCACACCCAUCACACACAGCACACUGCACCACACACAUACACAAUAAUUCCAAAUAUAUAUAUACACACACACACACUACACUCUUAACAUACACACUCUGGAUCCCCUAUACACACACUAGAUUCCUUGUAAGCAAACACAUACUACACCCCUAAAAACACACAUCAUCACCUAUAUACACACACACACACUAUAGCCUGUAUGCACACACUUGCUAUAUCCCCAAUACACACAUUCUCUAAAGCCCAUAGCCACAUAUGCAUCACAUUACACCACUUUACACCACAAACACAACAUGACUAAAACCAACUUUAUUACACAAUACCACGCCACAAUCAGCUCACUCUACACACACGCAAUACCACAAGCAGGCUCCAAACACAUGCACAAUACUCUUUCCUGGUAUCCAUUUAUAGAGACACCAGAGACAAGUUGCAAGGAAACACAGUUCAAGCAUGUUUUUAAAUUUGCUUACACUGUGCAGAACAAAUACAGGACUUUUUUCUCAUGCUAGAGCUCUUCAGCAGAGCUCUGCGCAUGGUCUGCCCUGGGAGAGCAUUGAGCCAACAUGCUCACUUUGAGAGGGGGCGUGUUUGUCAUUGGUGAUGACAAAACACACCUCCUCUGCCCCGCCCCCUUCUUAGUGGGUUGCUGUGUUAAAAAAAUGCCCCGGCCGAAUUUUUCUCCCAGUCCGGCCCUAUUAGUAAAGGUUUAUUAAAUUACUCCAAUUUCUGGAAAGCCAAAUCUGGUUUGUAUAAAAGGACUGUUUGUCAAACUCAAUCUACUUUGUGACAUUGGCUGCGAGUUUUUAUGUAGGUCGUUGAUCAUUUUAGAGUGAAGCCCCAUCCAUUUAAGCAUUCUAAUUGCUUUAUAAGAUUAUGGUUAUUCUGGAUCAAUCUGUGUACUGCAAAAUAUUUACAUAAUAUAAAAUUACAUAUAUUUUUGAGAGGGGGAAUAUUGUAGAAACAAAUCUUUAUAUCUUUAUUAACACUACAGCGUUAAGUAUACAGAUAUGUAUUCCUAGUGCUAUAGAGCCCCAGUCACCAUUUAGGUGACGAGGGCUCCGUUCCGUGGUGUAUAAAUUGUUAAUUAGCCAUUUAUUUGCUUACCUUAAUCCAGCGCCGGGCUCUCUCGACACUUGUGACCUCUCCUCCUCCUCUUCCUCCCGAGUGGAGCCGAAUGUCAUGCGCGCCAGAGGUGUGCACGCAUUCAAACCUGCCCAUAGGAAAGCAUUACUCAAUGCUUUCCUAUGGGGAUCUUUUUUGACGCUGGACUCCAUGAGGACAUCAUGCGUCAAAUAAGUGCGAUAUACUGUGUGCAAAUUGCGGAAGCAGCCUUUAGUAGCUGUCAGGGAGACAACCACUAGAGAUUGGAUUAUCCCUGCAGUGUAAACCUAGCAGUUUCUCUGAAGUUGCUAUGUUUUCAACUGCAGGGUUAAAACUAGCGGGACCUGGCACCCAGACCACUUCAUUGAGCUGAAGUGGUCUGGGUGCCUAUAGUGGUCCUUUAAAUAUAUAAAUAUAGAUUAUAUUUAUUUAACUGUUCCUCAUUUUUUCCAUCUAUUGAAACCUUCUUACUUGAUCAGUGAAUAAGAUCAACAUUUAGUAACUGGCCCCUAGCCAUCAAUCAUUUAUUUAUCCCAUCCAUUCAUUUUUUUUUAUUUAUUUUUUUUUAAUUUUAUUUACAAGUUUGUUUUAUGGUGCCCAGGCANNNNNNNNNNNNNNNNNNNNNNNNNNNNNNNNNNNNNNNNNNNNNNNNNNNNNNNNNNNNNNNNNNNNNNNNNNNNNNNNNNNNNNNNNNNNNNNNNNNNAAAUCUGGGUAACACUUUAAUUAUUGGAGAUUUUAAUUACCCAGAUAUAAAUUGGGACAGAGGGACUAGUGCCUCAGCAAAAGGAAUUAGGUUUUUAAACUUGUUAAAUGACACCUUCAUGUCACAACUUGUACAAGCACCAACUAGAAUGGAUGCUUGUCUGAACCUGGUUUUAACAAACAACGUUGAUCUUUUGACCAACAUUCAAGUAGGUGAGCACUUGGGAAAUAGUGAUCACAAUAUAGUGUCCUUUGAAAUAAACUCCAAAAAACAAAAGCACAUGGGGAAUACUAAAACAUAUAAUUUUAAAAAGGCCAAUUUCAAUAAGUUAAGGGAAGCUUUACAAUAUAUUGACUGGCAUAAACUCUUUAGUGAAAAGAAUACUGAGGAUAAAUGGAUCAUCUUCCAACAAAUAUUACAAAGGUACAUUUCUCAGUAUGUACCAUUGGGAAAUAAAUAUAAAAGAAACAAAUUAAAACCAACAUGGCUUAGUAGAGAAGCAAAACAAGAGAUUACAACUAAGAGAAGGGCAUUUAAAGCAUUUAAAUCGGACAAAUCAGAUGCAUCUUAUAAAAGAUAUAAGGAUGCAAAUAAUGCGUGCAAAAAGGCAAUUAGACUUGCUAAACUUCAAAAUGAAAUAAUGUUAGCUGAAGAGAGCAAAACCAACCCCAAAGCAUUUUUUAAGUACAUAAAUUCUAAAAAAAAACCAAAAUGAAAGUGUAGGUACACUAAAAAUUGAAACGGGGGUGUUAAUUAAUGAAGACCAGGAAAAGGCAGGAAUUUUAAAUAACUUUUUCUCCUCCGUAUAUAUUAAGGAAGAACCCAUGGCAAUAGAUGUGCAAAUGAUUGCUACUAAAAACUUGCAGAAUAAUUGUAAUUGGUUAACUCAAGACAAGGUGCUGCAGCAACUAAAGAAAGUUAAUAUAAACAAAGCUCCAGGGCCUGACGGUAUCCAACCACGUGUACUUAAGGAACUAAGUGCAGAAAUAAGUGAACCUCUGUUUUUAAUCUUUCAAGAUUCUUUUCUUUCAGUAAGUGUUCCGGAGGAUUGGAGGAAGGCAGAUGUGGUUCCUAUAUUCAAAAAGGGUUCAAAAUCCUUGCCUGGAAAUUAUAGACCUGUGAGCUUAACUUCUGUGCCUGGUAAAAUAUUUGAAAGUUUAUUAAGGGAUAAUAUUCAAGAAUUCCUUGAGAAGAACAUGGUUAUCAGCAAAAAUCAGCAUGGUUUUAUGAAGCACAGGUCAUGCCAAACUAACUUGAUUGCGUUCUACAAAGAAGUAAGUAGAAGUAUAGAUCAGGGUGUUGCCGUGGAUGUGAUCUUUUUGGAUUUUGCCAAGGCAUUUGAUACAGUUCCACACAAUAGAUUAGUGUUCAAACUCAAGGAAAUCGGUCUAGAUGAAAAUGCUUGUUCUUGGGUAGAACAUUGGCUUAAAACAGAGUACAAAGAGUUGUCAUUAAUGGUAAAUUUUCAAGCUGGACAGAGGUGGCAAGUGGUGUCCCUCAGGGGUCUGUUCUGGGACCCUUUCUAUUUAACAUGUUUAUAAAUGAUCUUGAAGACCGCAUUGAAAGUCAUGUUUCAGUGUUUGCAGAUGACACAAAACUUUGUAAAACAAUAUAAUGUGAGCAAGAUAUUACUUUGCUGCAGAGGGAUUUAGAUAGACUGGGAGACUGGGCACUCAAAUGGCAGAUGAAAUUUAAUGUUGAAAAGUGCAAAGUUAUGCACUUCGGCGUAAAGAAUACACAAGCAACGUAUACCCUUAAUGGAAGCGAAUUAGGGAUAACAACACAUGAAAAGGACUUGGGAAUUGUUAUAGACAACAAACUAUGCAACAAUGUGCAAUGUCAAUCAGCAGUGGCCAAGGCCAGUAAGGUAUUGUCAUGCAUGAAAAAGGGCAUUCAUUCUCGGACAAGAAUAUAAUUUUGCCUCUUUAUAAAUCACUGGUAAGACCCCAUAUUGAAUAUGCUGUGCAAUUUUGGGCACCUGUUCUAAAGAAGGAUAUUAUGGCACUAGAAAAAGUGCAGAGGCGGGCUACAAAAUUAAUAAAAGGAAUGGAACAUAUCGGCUAUGAAGAAAGGUUAACAAAUUUAAACCUAUUUAGUUUAGAAAACGUCGCCUGAGAGGGGAUAUGAUAACAUUAUACAAAUAUAUUCGGGGCCAAUACAAACCAUUGUGUGGAAAUCUAUUCACAAACCGGACUUUACAUAGGACACGAGGCCAUGCAUUUAGACUGGAAGAAAGAAGAUUUCAUCUAAGGCAAAGGAAAGGUUUUUUUACUGUAAGAACAAUCAGGAUGUGGAAUUCUCUGCCUGAGGAAGUGGUUUUAUCAGAGUCCAUACAGAUGUUCAAACGGCUACUAGAUGCAUACUUGCAAGAACAGAAUAUUCAAGGAUAUAAUCUUUCAAUGUAGGGUAAUAACUGCUUGAUCCAAGGAUAAAUCUGACUGCCAUUCUGGGGUCAAGAAGGAAUUUUUUUCCUAGCUUGUUGCAAAAUUGUGUUUCAAACUGGGUUUUUUUGCCUUCUUUUGGAUCAACAGCAAAAAACAAAUGUGAGGAAGGCUGAACUUGAUGGACGCAAGUCUCUUUUCAGCUAUGUAACUAUGUAACUAUGUAAAAGUCUAGAUUUACGUAGACUGUUUGCUACAUUUGGCACUGCAGCGUUCUUUCAAUAAAUCUUUAUUUACGCAGGAGUUGGCAUACACAGAAAAAAAACCCCCAGAAUAUUAAAUAUGAAUAUUACAUCCAACACAAACGUUAUAGAACAUUAUAACCAUGAACCACAGAGUCAACCCAUGAAACAUGCAUGGACACCCACUGAACCUUCUUUAUAGAAUACUGUUACGGCACCCCCAGGCAUAAAAAGGGAUUAAAAGCAGUUUAGUAGAUCUUCCCCUUCCAGAGACACAGGCACAGCUACUGUAGACACCAAUCCACCGAACCGGAGAAGCAUAUGAAUGCUCUCAAACAUACGAAUGCUGUAGACAGCUGAAUAGGAAAAACCAUACGAAUAGGUUUACACUCCUAGCAGUCAAACUGGAACAGCAUUCAAUAAAUCCCCCCCAAGUAUGAGACAAGGCUCAGUUUUGAGGGUCAAGCAGGAACAGACACAGCUGUGGGUUUAUUGUUCUUAAAUACACAUUAGUACCACCCACAGGGUUUUGGAACACAACCAAUAAACACCUACAAUACACUCAGACACUCCCACACAAAAUCCUCCCCUCUGCCUGUGAUACAAUUACCUUACACAAUGGGUAAUGUAAUUAGCACAAGCAGAGAAAUACAAUAUUUCCACAUUAUUCAUAACUUGAAAAGUAUGCAGCACAUUCACAUUUUCAGAAUCAACAUACUCCAAAUACAAACAUAUGUCAAAAUCAUCCAAAUUGGUCCAGUGGUUCAAACGAUAGAUCGUAGUCCUUUGUGACCAAAAGAAGCAUGGCUUUUCUGCCCAAAACCAGUUCCACAGAGUCUUCUAUCCUGGAGAUAAUUGUGAAGUAAUCCAAUUAUCUCCAAGGACAGAGGCAAAACUCCAUUGAACACAUGGCAGCAAAAGACAAUAAAACACAUAAAAACAUAUAACUGUGCAGCCAUUGCACAAAUAGGUACAUGCAACAUAUCCCCAGAUAGCUCCGAUCUGAGCGGUCAGUGCCCUUGUUAGUCCAGCAGCCCACCCACAAAACACAAUCAAUAAUACAGCCCACUCACAAUAACUGGUUACUACACCUGGGUAGAGGAGAACUUUGUCCAUGUCCAGGUGCCUCACCAUGGCUGUGUGGGGUACUGGUAAGCUGCCUUGGUGGGUUGCUGAGUGGGCAGAGACCACCGAAUGACCCGGCUCUCGUGUCUUCGCAGGGGAAAAUCAAGCGUUUCAACAUGGGGCCAAAGUCUAAAAGCAGCAGGCGGGCAACCAGGCUCCUCCAAUGCACAGUGGCGAGAUUGGUCACAAAUACUAAAACACAAAAUCAAUGAGAAGAUUCAUCAACAUGCAAAAGGAAAAGUAGAAUGAGUGAAGACGCUACAAAUGAAGCAAAGGAUAGGAAUUAGAGGAAGAGAAGUGGGAAUGAUGUGUUUCUCAUUAAGAACCUUAACCAGAGUAUUUUAUGGAUAUUGAUGGCUAAAAUCAAUCCAGGAAUCCCAUGUUUUUUAAGCAUUAGAUAGGAUAUGGUGGACCAUGGCAGAUAACCAUGGGCGUCUGCAGAAAUGUUUCUGGGGGGCGGGGGAGGAGGCGGUGGGGGGCAAUUGUAAUGACAUCCAUGCUUUGCCUCUUUGUGACAAUGUCAUGAAGGGGAGGCACACAGUCAUCUUUACCUAAAGUGCAGCCAUGCAAAGGGUUAAAAAACCUGAUGCAAAAGUUCAAUAGAAGAAUCAAGUUGCCAUUUUCUAAAUUUGAUGCACACACUGACACAUACAAAUGCACAGAGACACAGAUACACAUACAUACAAAACACUGACAUUUAUACAGAUACAGACACACAUAUAGAUACAAACACUGCCACAAAUGCAGCUGCACAGACACAAGUAAAAACACUGGCGCACAUGCAAAUGCACAAACACAGGUACAAACACUGACACACAUGCAGAUACACAGACACACAGAAGCAAACACUGACCAGACACACACUGAUACACAUGCAGAUUCACACACUCAUAUGCAAACACUGAUGCAGAUGCACAGACAUACAGAUACUGACACCCAUGCAGAUACACAAACACACAUAUACAAACACUGCCACACAUUUUUUUAAAUGCAUGACAAUUUGAAUCGCACAAUAAUUUUUGACUACUUGGGCAAAGAUGCAUUUUGCUUCCACCCUCCCCCCAUAAAUGCAUCUUCACCUGUAUAUUUUUUUAAAACCCCCCCUUUUGAAUUUCUUACCCUCUUUUGUGCUUAUCUCAUCUGUUGAAUAUCUUACCCCUUUUUGUGUAUCUUAUCCCCAUUUCCCCUUUGUGUCUUACACCUCCUUAUGUGUAUCUUACCUUUCCUCUUUGUGUCUUACUUUCCACCAGACUCUUUGUGUGUCACUUACUUUUCCCAUCCUCUUUGUGUGUUUCUCUCCCCCCAGCCCCUCUGUAUGACAUUGUCCCCUUCCCCAGCUCCUCUUUGUGUUACUGUCCCCUUCCCCGAUCUGUCUCACUGCCACCUUCCCAGCUCCUCGGUGUGUGUCAUUGUCCCCUUCCCAAUCCCCUCUGUGUGUCAUUGCCACCUUCCCAGCCACUCAGUGUGUGCAGGGCCAGUGCAAGGAUUUUUGGGUACAUAGGUGAAGAUGUAUCCCCCCCAAAAAAAUAACAUCUUCACCUGCGUGCCUCUUAACUUCACUUUUUGUUUCUUAUCCCCUCUUUUAAAUGUCUUACUUCCUUAGUGUGUCUUACACCUCCCUUGUGUGUCUCUUAUUUCCCCUUUUUGUAUGACUCUUACAUCCUCCCACAUUUUGUGUCUUACUCCUCCCAGCCCCUUUGUGUCUUUUACUCUUCCCAGCUCCUUUGUGUGUGUCUCUCCCCUCCAGCCUCUCUGUGUGUCUUUUUCCCUUCUCAAGCCCCGCUGUGUGCUUCUUUCACAUCCAGCCCCCCUUCCUUCCCUAUCCCUUAGUGUUCCUACCCCCUCCUUUCCCUGUCCCUUAGUGAUUCUCUCCGCUCCCUGUCCCUUGGUGCCCACCCACACCCCUAGUGGUCACCUCCCCUUCCUGGUAUGCCUCACACCUCUCUUGUAGCGUGCCCUGAGUGGAGUGGAUCCUGGUACAAGACCUUCAGUUUCCUGUACCCUGCUCUCUGUGAGCACUUCCUGUCAGUCAGGCCAGGUACAGGAAACAGAAGCUCCUAUACUGCGGUCUGCUCCUCUCAGCCGCGCUACACUCAGUGGUGUUUACACACUGUCAGUCACACACACUCAAUAACAAACACACAGACAUCAGUGACAGACACAGACUCACUGAUCUGACACACAUUCAUUCAUUCACAGACACUCACACACACACUAACAGACAUACACAGUGACACACACUAACAUUGACACACACACACUGAAAGUCACACACAGACUCAAGGGCAAACAGACUCUCCCUGAUUUGACAAACACAUCAACAGAAACACACACACAUUGCGACACACUCAUACAUUCACAUGUACUCACAUACACUCAUAGACACAUACAUUCUCACGCACACAUACACACACAUACACUCACAGACACAAACAUACACACACUCACUAAUUAUUAAUAUUAUUAAAACUAAACAUUUUGCACCCAGCCAGGUUAAUUUUUAAUGCAUUUUUAAAAUAUUGUGAAAUAUUGCAUUUGUUAAUUAGAUACAAAUUGGUUUAACUGCAAUACUUGGGGGAAACCCUUGAAUUUUAACUGAAAUUAUUUGGAGGUCCAGUGGAGGUCCAGUGGGGAUGCUGUGAGGCAUGCAGCUAAAUUGGCAGGGAGGGAGCUCUGAUCUUCUUGCUCUGCUCCCUCACACCUAGAGGAUUGUCUACUGAUGCCGGGAGCCGUAAUGACAUCAUAUUUCAGCUCCCGCAGCAUUAGCAAACGGCGUGCGAGGAAGCAAAGCAGGUGGAUCAGAGCUCCCUCACCGCCUCGGAUGCCAAUUCAGCCGCACGCUGUGCUGUGGGGUCCAGAAGGUGGUCUGGUAGGUGGGAGGGCUUCCCUUCUGCCGGUCACUGGAAUUUUGCACCCCCAGAGCUGGUGUGCCUUAUGGACACGCCAGACCUGAGUGUGUAUCACUGUCCCUGUCCCCUUCUCAGACCCUUGGUGUAAUUUUCCUCUUCCACAGCCUGUCUGUGUCAUUGUCACCUUCCCAGCCCCUCAGUGUAUGACACAGUCACCUUCCCCAGCCCCUCUGUGUGUCUCUGUCCCAUUCUCAGCCCCUCUGUGUCUUUUUGCCCUUUCCCAGCCCUUCAGUGUGUGUCAUUGUCCAUUUCUCAGCCCUCUGUUGUGGUCCCCUUCUCAGCUAUUCUGUUUGUCUCUGCUCCCCAGCCCUACUUUUUUUUUGUUUUUUCCCCCCUUUCCUAGCCCAUCCAUGUGUCUCAUUCUCCCCCCCAGAACCUCUGUGUCUUAUUCUUCCCUCCAGACCCUCCAUGUAUCCUAUUCUUUCCCUCUAUGUGUCCUGUUCUGCCCCCAGCCCCUUCAUAUCUUCUGUUUUGCCCCCCAUGUGUCCUGUUCUGCCUGCAGCCCCUCUAUAUCUUCUGUUAUGCCCCCCCAGCCCCUCCAUAUGCCCUUUUCUGCCCCCAAUGUGUCCUGUUCUGCCAGCCCCUCCAUGUGUCCUGUUCUGCCCCUCCAUGUGUCCUGUUCUGCCCCUCCAUGUGUCCUGUUCUGCUCCUCCAUGUGUCCUGUUCUGCCCCCUGCCCCUCCAUGUGUCUUGUUCUACCCCUCCAUGUGUCUUGUUCUGCACCCAGCCCCUCCAUGUGUCCUGUUCUGCCCCCAGCCCCUCCAUAUCUUCUGUUCUGACCCUCCAUGUGUCCUGUUAUGCACCCCACAGCACCUGCAUAUCUUCUGUUCUGCCCCCCAGCCACUCUGUGUUCUGACCUGCCCCACACACACACUUACCUCUUUCCUUUGUGGGCUGGAAGGGGAGGAGUAGAGUCUGUGGUCUGUAGUAGUUGGGGAAGCAGGGAUCCUUCCUGCUUCCCUUCAGUCUGCAGCAGUAAGGGCAGCAGGUACAGGCUGCAUUUAACCCCACUGCCCUUUAGUCCCACCUCUCAUUUAGCUCCACCUCACCUCCUACGUAGCUCUGCUCCCUCUCUAUGAUUUGGGGCUUUACAAAUUUAGCAUUGCUGAAGGUUGCUUAUCCAUAGGGCAUGCCAUCACAUAUGAUAAAAGGUAUCCUUGGACCUGCACUUUUUCCAACAUAAGGCUAUGCAUCUUUCUUUAAUCAUUCAAGACAUGAAAAAAUAAUUAUGCCUUAUAGUGGCUGUCAAAAACAAAACAAAACGCGUUAAUAUUGUAUUAAUGUAGUAUGUUUGCAGAAUAGAUAUGUCACUGUCAUGCUGUAGUACAAGAAAUUAAAGCAGGUUAAAUAGCAUUCGCUAAUAUGAAAUAACCUACAAAUGUAUCCAUAUGAACCCAAUCCUUAGUUCAUUUCACCCCUGUCAUCCAGCAUAUAAUUAUUUUCAUUCAAACAAUAAAACACUUUGGUGACAAAGUAGCAAAAACACCAUUUAUGACAUUCGGAAGCACAAAACCAUUUCUUGCCUGAUCUUUGUCAAUUCGGAAAGUAAAGAAAAAAAUAAUUAUUUAUGAAUCGCUUACCAUGAUUACGUUCACUAAUUUUGUAAUAUAAAUGGCCUUGUUACAUAUUGGUUUAGCAUGCAGUGAGCUGCAAAAAGCAGUUUGAGACUGUGUAUCAUUAUGUAGUUAAUGUAGUUGAGAGUAGAUAAAGGUGAAUUUCUGUUUUUCACCAAAGCUUACAUUGUUUUUUGUCUUUUUUCUUCUAAAUCAUCCUGUUCAAGAUUGUAUGUCCAAUUUAGUGAAACUAUUUAACAAGGAAGCAAAUUUAAUAUUUUUCAGAUUUGAGAUGUUUAUAUUAUAUUUUUUUUUGUUGGACAAAAUCUUAAUAUGUGAGGAUGAAUGAACCUUGUCCACUUAAACUUUCAAUAAUAUAUUAUCUCUUCCUCAACAUUCCUUUGCAUAUUCUUGAACAUUGCAUACCAGCCCUUUUAUCAGAGUCUAGACACAUGAUACUAAUCAGGUCCUGGAUUCAUUCUACAACUGAAAUAUUUUAUCCCUCUUGUUAACUUAAGACUUUAUUUUAAACCAUAUUAAGCCUUUAUCAAAUUAACACUUUUUUUUUUUUUUUUUUUUUAAUGGAUACCAAUACAUGUAGAAGCCAUUAUUAAUCAUACUAUAUCCCACAGCACUGUCCAUGUUAUAGACUCAUUUAGCGUCAAGGUUAAUUUUUAAUGCGUUUUUAAAAUAUUGUGAAAUAUUGCAUUUGUUAAUUAGAUACAAAUUGGUUUAACUGCAAUACUUGGGGGAAACCCUUGAAUUUUAACUGAAAUUAUUAUUUGGACAUUCAUUAAAAGCAAUUUGGAGAAUUUUACCAAUUUCAAAAUUCAAAUAAUUUAUUAUUUAUAGUGCCCUAUUAACAGGUUAGGUGACUGGUUCGUGCUGCAAGGGUUAAAGAAGGUAUUUACUUACCUUUCAGCUUUCAUAACAACCGUCUCCUCCUUGAAGCUCCACCUCGAAGCUCCACCUCUUUGACUAAGAUCAUUGAGAUCAAGAAUCUCAGCAAAUCCAAUGCUUUUCCUUCGAAAAGCAUUAGGAGGCUAGCGUGCAUGCAUGUCAAAAUGCUGCUUUGUGCCAAUCAGAUUAUCUGAUUGAAAUAGGAGAGUUUUACUUUGCUUUUUCACGUAAGCACCUCUUGUGGAUUUCAGUAAGACAACCAUCAGAUGCAGUUAACCUACAAUGUCUUCAGCUGCAGUGAGGGGCAAAAUGUAGCACCCAGCCAACUUAAUUGAGAUGGUCUAGGUGCCUAUAGUGUCCCUUUUAAACAUUGCUGUGUUGCAAUGCAACAUAUCUGUCUACAGUGCCUUGCAAAAGUAUUCACCCCCUUGACUUUUUACCUAUUUUGUUACAUUACAGCCUUCAGUUCAAUGUUUUAUUAAUCUGAAUUUUAUGUGAUGGAUCAGAACACAAUAGCCUAAGUUGGUGAAGUGAAAUGAGAAAAAUAUAUACAUAAAACUAUUUUAAAAAAAUAGAAAACAGAUAAUUGGCAUGUGCGUAUGUAUUCACCCCCUUUGUUAUGAAGCUCUGGUGCAACCAAUUACCUUCAGAAGUCACGUAAUUAGUGAAAUGAUGUCCACCUGUGUGCAAUCUAAGUCUAAGUGUCACAUGAUCUGUCAUUACAUAUACACACCUUUUUUUGAAAGGCCCCAGAGGCUGCAACACCUAAGCAAGAGGCACCACUAACCAAACACUGCCAAGAAGACCAAGGAAUUCUCCAAACAAGUAAGGGACAAUGUUGUUGAGCAGUACAAGUCAGGGUUAGGUCAUAACAAAAUAUCCAAAUCUUUGAUGAUCCCCAGGAGCACCACCAAAUCGAUCAUAACCAAAUGCAAAGAACAUGGCACAAGAGCAAACCUGCCAAGAGACGGCCGCCCACCGAAACUCACAGACCGGGCAAGGAGGGCAUUAAUCAGAGAGGCAGCUGUUCUGGAGGAGCUUCUGAGUUCAACAGCAGAGACUGGAGUAUCUGUACAUAGGACAACAAUAAGCCGUACGCUCCAUAGAGUUGGGCUUUAUGGCAGAGUGGCCAAAAGAAGGCUAUUACUUUCAGCAAAAAACGAAAUGGCACGUAUUGAGUUUGCGAAAAGGGAGACUCCCAAAAUGUAUGGAGGAAGGUGCUCUGGUCUGAGACUAAAAUUUUACUUUUCAGCCAUCAAAGAAAACGCUAUUUCUGGCGCAAACCCAACACAUCACAUCACCUCACCCAAAGAACACCAUGCUGCCACCACCAUGUUUCACUGUGGGGAUGUUUUUCAGCAGCCGGGACUGGGAAACAGGUCAGAGUUGAGGGAAAGAUGGGUGGUGCUAAAUACAGGGAUAUUCUUGAGAAAAACCUGUACCACUCUGUGCGUAAUUUGAGGCUAGGAUGGAGGUUCAUCUUCCAGCAGGACAAUGACCCCAAACACACUGCUAAAGCAACACUCGAGUGGUUCAAGGGGAAACAUGUAAAUGUGUUGGAAUGGCCUAGUCAAAGCCCAGACCUCAAUCCAAUAGAAAAUCUGUGGUCAGAUUAAAGAUUGCUGUUCACAAGUGCAAACCAUCCAACUUGAAGGAGCUGGAGCAGUUUUGCAAGGAGGAAUGAGAAAAAAUCCCAGUGGUAAGAUGUGGCAAGACUUAUCCAAAGCGACUUGGAGCUGUGAUUAACUCAAAAGGUGGCUCUACAAAGUAUGGACUUUAGGGGGGAUGAAUAGUUAUGCACAUUGACUUUUUCUGUUAUUUUGUCCUAUUUGUUUGCUGCACAAUAAAAAAUAAAUAAAAAAAAACCUUCAAAGUUGCGGGCAUGUUCUGUAAAUUUGUAAAUGGUAGUGGAUUCAGCGCUUAGUGUCUCAAUAGAAUAGUGAAAAGUAUAUAUAAGUAUAGGCAGCAACCUAAAAUUAAGACAUUCCCUCACAGUACAUCAAAAGGGGAAAAUCUGAAAUAUAAAGGGUUAUAGGUCGCGUCAAAAAACCAUAUGCAGAAAACAUAUAGCAAAUAAUAGAACCAUAAAUCAAAACUGAAAUAUCAUCAUGAGAAACUGCUAAAGAUAUAGAAACAAUGUAAUAUGUACUUACAUAUAUCAGUACAUUAGAACAGAAAUAAGUCCUAGAGUAAGCAGAAAAUGGUCAAGUCCACUUGAAAAACUGAAGAAUGGUAAUCGUCCAAACAGAGGUAGAGGAAAUAAUUGAUGUUUCUUGUUCCGGAUAAAAAUAUGCAAAUAGAACAAAAGGAAAUUCCAAUAGUGUAGACUGUAGCUUGAGCUUCUUUAUGAAGAGUCAAAACAAAAGGGUAUCGCACUCACCUAUUGUGGAGCUUGAACUAGCUCAGGUAUUAUUCGCACUCAGUGGUAUUAGUCCCCCAAUGAUGGGGUGUAGACGUAUAUAGGUGAAGGAAAUCCUUGAGAGAAAAAAGGUAACACAAAAUAGUGCUCACUGUAUAAGUGUUAAGUUAUACGUGAAAUAAAAUUAUAUGUUGAAUACUCACAUUUGGGUGAGCAGGAUAUACUGCUCACUUAUAUGGCGCAGGUGGUAUAAUCCCCACCUAGGGUUCUUGAGCAAAAGGGUAGUGAUGUAUAUAGAUAUAACCAGGUCCAAAAAUAAAAUAAGACAAGAUAAAAACUAAAAUAAAAGGUAUAUGGCAAGAAAGAAAAAAUAUAUACUAGCCAAUAAUCCUUUAUUAAUACACAUAUAAAAUUAUAAAAUAGUCAAAACACAUUUCGCCACACAGGGCUUUAUCAACUGUCUAAUUGCCUUCCCUCUAUUACGAUAUGAGGAUGAAGGGUUAAGCUCAGCUCUAAGGGGAUGUGCCAUUGGCAUUAUGACGUGGCAUUUUGGACCCACCUCCUGGGGGAGGGCACCUGUAGAUCUAUGACGCAGCGGUGGGAUCCGCCUCUAUCCCACUCCCUUCCGAUACUCAAACAAGGUAGAGGGGAGGAGUCCCCACCUUCUGAUGUAGACGCAGCUUUUUUUCCCUGCCUAUGCCAAGCCUCCCCAUUUACCUGAUAAGAAUCCCCAGCUGAUUAUUGGACUCCACGGAUUGGCCCCUGGAUCUUUUUAAAAACCAUCACAGUCACAAAGGUAUUUUUAGCCCCUGACGAAGGUGCAACCUCCACGCACCGAAACGUGCGUCGGGUUCUUUGUUUUGUGUUCUUUUUCACUAAUGGUAGCACUAGGUAUUUAGCACUUCUAUAUUCUUUUCUUUCAGGCCGGAGUUUAUUUAGUUUUUGGGGGAUGUUUUGAGAGAAGUUUCUCCAUUUAUUAGGGACAGUAUAGAACACCGUCGAAGGUGUUUGUCUCAGGAGCUGGCAGGACUGUUUAGCUUUGCUCUAUUUGUUGUUGGAGCCUGUUCUAGUAUACAAGAUUUCUAUACCACCAGUAUAUAGGAUCUCUUAAGGUGUCCGAUUCAAGAGCAGUCAGUUUACUUCUUUCAAUUUGCUAAGUGGGUUUUUGGAGCCUCAUUAGGACAGCUUUAUACACCCCUUGAGGUGUUCUAUUUAGGAGCUGACAGGGUUUGUAGCACUGCAGUAUUUGGUCUGAAGCCUCCCUUUCCUAUUUAACCCUUACAGCGUCCUUUAAUUAUAUGAGUCCAUGACCUCCUGUAUAGACUUUGAAAUGUGUACUAUUACCAUUUAGCAGUUUUUCUUUUACUAGCCAAUUUCUUUAUUGGUGUGGAUUACCUCUAUUUUAUGUUUAACUGCCCUAUGCUCUAUACUUUAUCCCUUUAUAUAGAAACUAUCAUUGUCCUUUUUUGCUUCACUGAAUUUGUUCCAUCUAUAGUGCCUCUUUUCCACAAAAUAAAGUGUCUAUUAAUUUUGGCACCUCUUUGGAACGGUUAUAUGUGAUCAAUUAGGUUAGGUCACCCCCACUACCACUCCGUGCUGAUUUACCUUUUACCUAUAGUAUAUAUUUGUAAUCAUUAUUGUCCUUGACUUUUUUCAAAACCAGAUUUGAGCCUCUCUUCCUGGAGACUCUAACUUAUUAUUUUCGUUUCUUUACAAUAUUUGGGGUACAAGCCACUUUUGGUGGAUCUGGAACCACCAUACUGACCUCUGUGCGUUCGAUUCCCACAUUGUGUGAGAUCGAUACACACAGUCUCUCUCUUUUUUCAUACUGGAGUUUCACUAUAACUUGCAACAUUGAGGCAGAAACAGAAGAGCUGUAUAAAGUCAUCAUCUCAACAUUUUCAAAUCACUGUUUAGUGAAUAAACUCCUAAGUGAAAUCAGAGAGACCAGUGAGAAAUGAAGGGAAAGGGAACAGACCAGGAAGGCAAUUAGGAAAGGGAUAGAGAGAUUGUUGAGGUAUUUAGGAAACCGAUACAGACUAGGAAACAUUUUUUUACACACACAUUGUCACUUGCAUACUCUCACUAACAUACACACACAAUGUCACUUACACACUCUCACUAACACAUGCACUCUUACUGACACACACACACAAUGCCAAUUACACACUCUCACUAACAUACACACUGUUACUGACUUACACACUCUAACACACACACACUUACUGACAUUCACCCACACAAUGCAAUUACACACUCUCAAUAACAUACACACAUACAUGUUACUUACACAGUCUCACUAACACACACUCUCACUGACACACAUAUACACACACACAAUGUUAUUUACACACUCUCACUAACAAACACACAAUGUUACUUAUACCAGUUUACAUAUAGUCACAAUUUAUUAAAACACCCACAAAUGUAACACACCAAUUUUUAAACAUACAUACAAUAACCAGCCCCCCUCAUCCUCCAGAUAUGCCAUACCUUUUUUUCCUGGAGGGGGAACAGGAGAGCCACGCACUGUAAGCACAGCCGGUUUCCUGCUCCCUCCAGAGUGCUUCCUGUGUUCACAAGCAGGGGGCAACUGGGAUGCCAGGUCACAUCCCAGCUUCCCCUGCCUGCAGGAAGCAGUGUUCUCUGCCAUGUAGUCUGCAUUUGCAAACAUUUGUGAAACAAAUUGGUCAUUCUGAAGAACUCUGUGAAUUCAAAUGUGGUUCUGUGAUAGAACCACAUAGAUGAUUCAUCCCUGUAAGAUAUUCCACAGUCCAUUAGUAAGGGUAUUAUUAGAAAGUAAAGAGACAAAUGAUGGGAGUAAAAAUGUCAAUGGUCUAAGGCAGAUGAGGGGCAUGUACCCAAACUAUUAUUAUUGGAAAGUAGAAGCGUUAGAGCAGCAACUCAAUCUGUUGAUUCCAUAGCUGAAGAGUUCCAAACUUCCACUGGCAUUAAUAACAGCACAAAAACUGCGCAUCGAACAUUUCAUAGAAUGGGUUUUUGUGGCUGAGCAGCUGCAUGCAUUCUUCACAUGACCAAGUACAAUGCCAAUCAUUGGAUAAAGUGGUGUAAAACACGCUGCCACUGCACUCCGGAGCAGUGGAAAUGUGUUCUGUUGAGUGACGAAUCAAGCUUCUCUGUUUAGGAGUCUGAUGGGUGAAUGUGGGACUGUUUUGCAGCAGUUGGGCUAGGCCCCUUUCUACAAGUGAAGGAAAAACUUAAUGCUUCAGCAUACCAACACCUUUUGUACAAUGCUAUGCUUCCAACUUUGUGCACAGUUUGAGGAAAGCCCUGUUCUAAUCUAGCAUCACUGUGCCCCAGCGCACAAAGCAAUGUCCAUAAAGACAUGCUUGGAUGAGUUUGGUGAGGAAGAACUUGACUGGCCUGCACAGAGUCCUGACCGCAAUCCCAUCGAACACCUUUUGAGAUGAUAUGGAAUGUAGAUUGCAAGCCAGUCCUUCUAGUACAAUGUCAGUGCCUGACCUCACAAAUGCUCUACUGAAUGAAUGGACAAAAAUUCGCACAGAAGCACUCCAAAAUCUUGUUGAAAACUUCCCCAGUAGAAUGGAAGCUGUUAUUGUUGUAAAGGGGAAAAUAACUGCAUAUUAAUAUAAUGUAUUUAGAAUUCAAUGUUAUUACCGUUCCCGUUGGUGUAAUGGUCCGGUGCCCCAAUACUUUUGUUCAUAUAGUGUGCACUGACACACACACAUCACCCACCCACCCAUGAACUCUAUUACAGCAAAUUGAGAAUGCUUUGAAAGCCAUGUGCUCUGAGUAUGAACCAAUAUUUUUAGCUGCAUAUUAUACCUCCCUGGCAGUAAGACAGCCAGGAUGAAACUCCUGACUGCCAGGGAGAUAUAAAAGGGUUAAUUUAUAAAAGUGCUAAUUUCUAUUGAAGUUGCCACUUUUAUAAAAAACUAUUCAUGAAUAAACAAGUGCUUCAGCAACCCAAACUGCUUUGUGUGUUUGCAGGCUUCCUUUAACUGUAGAUAGGCAUGAAGUCACCUUUUCAGUGUUUGAGCUCACAAGGCAAGUUGUUUCUCAAUGAACACUGUCAUGAUGCUUUUUUUAUAAUCUGAAUAAUGCUGAACACUUGAAAGCAACUUUCUGACAUUAAUUACAGUAUGUUGACCUAUAGUACUCUGUCUUAUAUUUUCUCCAGAUACCAAUUAGCUUCAUAAAAGUACUUGAACUCCAUGACUUGCAUUUUAAUAGCUUAAACAAUUCUAUUGUCCUUCCCCCCCUAUUCAAUUACAUCACUUAAAGUACUCUUUGCCAUGAGAGGCAAUUUUAAAUAGGAUUCAAGAGCACUAAAACAGCAGAUGUGAGACCUUUUCUUUCAUAUUUGAGGAUAAAUAAGGGGUGACCAAUGGUAGAACUGCAAAUCCCUUGGAAUAAAAAAGCACCAUUGGAGUUGUAGUCCAGUUUUUGGGGAUCUACCUUUUGAGCCAACUCUGAUUCAAAGGUUUUUCUCAAGAUGAUCUGGUUAUUUCUAAAUGGCCUCACACCGCUCUCUUGUCAUGUUGGUGUUAUGGACUUGAAUUCUCAUAAGAAAGGUGAAAAAGCAAGGUGUAUAUUCAGGGAGUGCAGUGGAGAGGUUAGUAAACAGGCCCGGACUGGCUAUCGGGCAAACCGGGCAAAUGCCCGGUGGGCCGCGGUGGCCAUGGGCCGAGGCCAGCAGGGGAGGUCCCAGGAUCUCCCCUGCCGGUCUAUGCANNNNNNNNNNNNNNNNNNNNNNNNNNNNNNNNNNNNNNNNNNNNNNNNNNNNNNNNNNNNNNNNNNNNNNNNNNNNNNNNNNNNNNNNNNNNNNNNNNNNGGGCCGGCGCUAUCCGAGAGCCGGCCCCGCUGUUUUCCAUGGAGGGCCAGUGGGGAGAUCAAAGAUCUCCCUCACCGGCCCACAUGCUGUCAGAUCUGGCCGCCGGCAGGGAGAGAGGGAGGGAGACAGCCGCCAGGAGAGGAGGACCCAGCGGAGCUCUAACUUGCAGAUCCGCCGGGUUCCUCUCGCGAGAUCCGGCGCGUUACCAUGGCAACACGCCGGUCUCGCAAGAGUGAACUCUAGCCCCACAGGCUAGAGUUCACUCACCCACGAGGACCACCAGGGAACACUGCCUCCCAGGUGCCAGCGUGCCAUUCCCCCCCCUCCCAGGCUAAAGGGAGGGGGGUAUUUAAUGCCUAUUUUUUUUUCUUUUGCCCCCCCAACACACACAAUCCAUUCUAACAUUUAUACAGCACUCACACCAAUCACACACAGCACUCUCACACACAGCACUCUCACACCCAUCACACACAGCACUCACAGACAUCACACACAGCACUCUCAUUCACACCACUCUCACACACAUCACACACAGCACUCUCACACCCAUCACACUCAGCACUCUCUCACACACGGCACUCUCUCACACACCCCACUCUCUCACACACGGCACUCUCACACACACAUACUGCACCCCUCACAUACACACAGAACUCCCCCAACACACUGCACCACACACAUACACAAUACUUCCAAGUGUGUGUGUGUAUAUAUAUAUAUAUAUAUAUAUAUAUACCCACACACACACACACACACACACACUACACUCUUAACAUACACACUCUGGAUCCCCUAUACAUACACUAGAUUCCUUGUAAGCAAACACAUACUACACCCCUAAACACACACAUCAUCACCUAUACACACACACGCACACUAUAGCCUCUAUGCACACACUUGCUAUAUCCCCAAUACACACAUUCUCUAAAGCCCAUAGCCACAUAUGCAUCACAUUACACCACUUUACACCACAAACACAACAUGACUAAAACCAACCUUAUUACACAAUACCACACCACAAUCAGCUCACUCUACACACACGCAAUACCACAAGCAGGCUCCAAACACAUGCACAAUACCUUUCCUAGCCCUUUUGUCUCCUGGUAUCCAUUUAUAGAGACACCAGAGACAAGUUGCAAGGAAACACAGUGCAAGCAUGUUAUUAAAUUUGCUUGCACUGUGCAGAACAAAUACAGAGCUUUUUUCUCAUGCUAGAGCUCUUCAGCAGAGCUCUGCGCAUGGUCUGCCCUGGAAGAGCAUUGAACCAACAUGCUCACUUUGAGAGGGGGCGUGUUUGUCAUUGGUGAUGACAAAACACACCUCCUCUGCCCCGCCACCUUCUUAGUGGGCUGCUGUGUUAAAAAAAUGCCCGGGCCGAAUAUUUCUCCCAGUCCAGCCCUGUUAGUAAAGUUUUAUUAAAUUACUCCAAUUUCUGGAAAGCCAAAUCUGGUUUGUAUAAAAGGACUGGUUGUCAAACUCCAUCUACUUUGUGACAUUGGCUGCGAGUUUUAUGUAGGUCGUUGAUCAUUUUAGAGUGAAGCCCCAUCCAUUUAAGCAUUCUAAUUGCUUUAUAAGAUUUAGAAUAGAAAAGUGAAUGUGGUUAUUCUGGAUUAAUCUGUGUACUGCAAAAUAUUUACAUAAUAUAAAAUUACAUAUAUUUUUGAGAGGGGGAACAUUUUCCCACUAUUUGGUUCGCCGAUCAAUUAAGAAAAAGUAACCAGUAGAGUGAAACACAAGAACUGUAAAAACAAAUCUUUAUAUUUUUAUUAACACUACAGCGUUAGGUAUACAAAUAUGUAUUCCUAGUGCUAUAGAGCCCCAGUCACCAUUUAGGUGAUGAGGGCUCCUUUCCGUGGCGUAUAAAUUGUUAAUUAGCCAUUUAUUUGCUUACCUUAAUCCAGCGCCGGGCUCCCUCGACACUUGUGACCUCUCCUCCUCCUCCUCCUCCCAAGUGGAGCCGAAUGUCAUACGCGCCCAGAGGUGUGCACGCAUUCAAACCCGCCCAUAGGAAAGCAUUACUCAAUGCUUUCCUAUGGGGAUCUUUUUUGACGCUGGACUCCAUGAGGACAUCAUGCGUUAAAUAAGUGCGAUAUACUGUGUGCAAAUUGCGGAAGCGGCCUCUAGUAGCUGUCAGGGAGACAACCACUAGAGACUGGAUUAUCCCUGCAGUGUAAACCUAGCAGUUUCUCUGAAGUUGCUAUGUUUUCAGCUGCAGGGUUAAAACUAGCAGGACCUGGCACCCAGACCACUUCAUUGAGCUGAAGUGGUCUGGGUGUCUAUAGUGGUCCUUUAAAUAUAUAAAUAUAGAUUAUAUUUAUUUAACUGUUCUUCAUUUUUUCCAUCUAUUGAAACCUUCUUACUUGAUCAGUGAAUAAGAUCAACAUUUAGUAACUGUCCCCUAGCCAUCAAUCAUUUAUUUAUCCCAUCCAUUAAUUUUUUUUUUUUUUACAAGUUUGUUUUAUGGUGCCCAGGCAGGAAUUCAGAAUCACAAAUCAAAACGAACAUGUUUAGCCACUGUGCAACUAAUUUGGUUAGUGGUUUGGGUAUACUUUAGGUUGGAAUACAGGAAUCAGAACCCUGUAUCCUUAAGGGCUUAAAUGUGAUGCAGCAGCUUAACAUAAUAAUGACUGUGAUAAUAGGACUUGGUACAGCAGGUGAGAAGCUUUUAGUAGGAUAUGGUGAGUAUCAGAAUGAAAAGCCAUCUGUUUUUAGUAGGUGAAUAAAAAAAAUAAAUACAUUUUUAUAUAUAUAUAUAUAUAUAUAUAUAUAUAUAUAUAUAUUUAUCUAUGUUGUUGAUUUAAGCUGCAUAAACUCAUUCAGGGAGCAAGCAAUGCGUAUACAUGCCUUAGGCCUCGUUAAUGCGAAGGGUUUCCCUGUAGAAAUGUGUACAGUAAUUAUUCAAAAUUGUAACUCACAUUACCGAGUUUAAAUCAAUAGAGGCAAGUUGAUUUUAUAGACAUGUAUUCUUGCUUUUUGACUAUACAUGUACAACUUUUUUUAAUUUUUAUUAUUUAUUCAUUAAUUUCUUUCUGGGAUGAACACACAUCAAAACUGUGUGACCAUUAAUUCUGCUUUUUUUUUUUUUCUGCAAUCUUUAACCCUAGAUCCUUUUUCAAUAUGUUGUGACAAGCAGAACAAACAAAAUACAAUUUAAUUUCUACAAGUUUUAAAUGCAGAUCUCUUCGAUGGGCAUUUAAAACAGAUUUAGCAAAUAAGUUGCUUAAUGUCUCUAAAAUGUCCCUAGGCUUUUGUCCCAACGAUUUAUUCUAUUACAGUGCAAACUGCUUUGUCAUUCUAUUUUCUCAACAAAUGUGCAUUUUUUUGUUUUAAUUUCCAAAAAACCUUUAAUGUCCUGAGCAUCUCUAACUUAAUUUUAAAUACUAUGUCUAUUAAACCAAUUCACUGUUUUGUUUUAUUUUUCCUAAACUAAACAACAGUCGAUGCAGUUCCUAUAUUAAUCCACUGACUGGUAUAUACACUGAACAAAAUUAUAAACGCAACACUUUCGUUUUUGCCCCCAUUUUUCAUGAGCUGAACUCAAAGAUCUAAGACUUUUUCUAUGUACACAAAAGGCCUAUUUCUCUCAAAUAUUGUUCAUAAAUCUGUCUAAAUCUGUGUUAGUGAGCACUACUCCUUUACCGAGAUAAUCCAUCCACCUCACAGGUGUGGCAUAUCAGGAUGCUGAUUAGACAGCAUGGUUAUUGCAAAGGUGUGCCUUAGGCUGGCCAUAAUAAAAGGCCACUCUAAAAUGUGCAAGACAUGACAAGUUCAGGUUUUUAAGUGUGAAUUUUCAUGGAGGGUUUUGAUGCGUCCGUGUCCCACUUUGGAGCACUUGAGCAGGGUAUAUAUUAUAACUACACCAUAAAGGCAUACUAUUUCUUAAAGAAGACAUCCCAGGGCAUUUCAAAAGGCAUAUUUUGAACCAUAGCAUGGGAUAAUUUUUCCACUAGCUUGUACGAAGUGUAGUGAUAAUCAGCAUUUUUUUCUACCUUUUUGACACACAAAGUGAGUUUGCACAGUAUAUUUUGCAAAUCGUAUGUGUACCACAACUGUAUAAUACUACAUAUGUUGCUCAGCUAUGUCGACUGAGUAUAACAAUAUGCCAAUAUGUACCUUUGUCAGGUAUAUGUGGACAUGGAAGGGGCACAUUUGAGACAGUCAUUCCAGUUUUUUUCAAACUUUGAAUUUUUAUGCAGUGUCCAUCUUCCAUUUUGGAGUAGUUUAGCUGGUUGGUUAUUCACACAUACAUACUUCCCCACAAACACAUACUAUUUAUUAAAGAAUACACCCAGAGGUAAUUCAAAAGGCAAAUUUUGAACCUUAGCGUUGGUUCAUUUUUUCUCUAGUUUGUUCCAGGUGUAAUGGUAAUGAGCAUUUUUUUAAACUUUUUUUUAGAACUAGUUUUUAAACUUUUUUUUGCUUAUUCAUUUUUUAAACUUUCCUAAACUUUCUUCAAACUUUAUUUUUUACAGAUUUAACAUUUUUAUAAAAACAUAUUUUUUUACCGUUAGCCCCAAGCUAGCAGUAAGCAGCACUAACCGUAAGUUCCUCAAUUUCCCAUAACUCCCACCCACCCCAGCUAGCAAAAUAUAUCAUUUUAAAAUAUUUAAAUUAAUUAAUUAAAUAAAUUGAAUCCAUGAGGGUUAAAAAAACAAAUAAAAGUUAACCCUAAGAGGUUAAAAAAUAUAUCAGAUCACUGUAUAAUACUGUGAUCUGUAUUUUGAUCACUGUAGGUAGUGAUCAACUGGCAGGGAAGAGGAUAAUUUUUAUUAGGACUGGGUAAAAGGGGGGGAUUUUUUUUUUUACAGACUGUCAGUGCGAUCGCUGCUGCAGGGGCAGCGCAAACGGGUGCUCCCGGGCUGUCUCUAAUAAAAAGGCAGACCAGAGGAGUGUUAAUCCCGCGAUCGCCAUGAUCUGGGGUUAACUUUACCGCAUGACGGACCUGGUCCGUCAUUCGGCAUUAACUGCUUCCCCGCCAUGACGGACAGAGUUCCAUUAUCCGGUGGGAAAGGGUUAAAGUUGAAUGAUAGGAUUGCAGAUUCUUAUUAAUUAAAAGUAAGAUAAUAUCAGAUAAGAACAGUGCGUCCCAUCCCAUAGUAUUAUACUGCAUCACAUUCAACAAGGUAUGUAGGGGGUUAAGAUGCCUUCAACAGGGAGUUGAGACCUAAGGGUUUGUAGCCUGCAUGUCUGCUAUAGAAGCUAAAGCCCCCACAUAUACAUAUAACCAGUGUAAAACUUGACAGUUGGGGGAGGGAGUCAUGGGAGAGACAGUGCAUCAGGGGUUUAAAUCCCGCUGGGCCGCAGGAUCAAGGCAAGUGCACGUAAGUGACAUUAAACAAUGCUCCUGUGAACACACCACAUGUGGCUUUGGAAAUAGUAUAAAGUAAGUAAAUGAGAAAAAUGAACUGAAACCAAUAAAUUAAAUGAUAUAUAAAAACACAAACUAAAUUUCAGUUUGGAAGACAUUCAGGGUUUUGAAGCAGAUGAUGGGUCCCCUCACAGAGCUGUCGACACAAAUGGGUGAAUUCUCUCAGGGUCCCAGACAGUCAGAGUCACUGUGGCCACAGGAAUAGAUGAUAUAGUGGCAGAGGCUGAUAUUUUCUCCAAGGCAUCUCAAGUCCCUCGGUAUUAGGCUGCAUGGCGGGCCCCACCAGUAUAGUACUUUGUGAAUAGUGAAUUCCUUAGUUAGGGGGCACAGAGAGUGCUCCUCAAAAUGAAUCAGUGAUUUAUUACGGACAGCUGCCAUAAAAGCGAGUCAGUCCUGGCUCUGCUGAAACCGAAUCAUAAUGUCCCUGCUUGUCCCAGAGUCGCGAUUUGUCAGCUUUGGUAUCCAGAACCAGGCGUUUGCCUGUUUGGCGGUGAAGAGGUGGGUAAGUAGCCUGCAGAGAAAAUAAGGAAGAUCUGCUGCCUCUACUUUAUCUGUCAAGCAGCAUAUUUUCACGUUAUUUCAUUGCCUUCUAUCUUUAAAGCCUGCCAUACGGUCUUGAAUUUGUGUCUGAGAGCGGUACAGUGCCUGUAGUUUGUGUUCUAGGCUGGAGAUGCGGGUCUCAUGAGCUGUGGUAUUCAGCUCUGUGGUGUGGAGGCGUGCUGAUACUCCAUUGACACUGCUCCUGGGGCUUAUGUCGGUUGCAAUGUUUUGGCGGAGUUCAUCUAAGAGGCAUCUCAGCUUCUCCUCCAUGACAGGUUGCUGUGCACCUGGCUUGGGAUGUGAGGCAGGAUAGUUUCUCACAGGUUAGGACACAGGUAAAAUUUCUGCAAAGGAGGCCUCGCUAGAUGCCCUGGAAGGCCCGUCCAAUUAUGAUGCCAUUACAGUCAUUCAGGAGGUAUGUGGCCUUUACAAUAGAUUGCCAAUAUCGGCGGUUACUGGAGGUUUGUCAGCUUUAUAAUUCUUUCUUCUGUAUCCCAUAUCUUGGUCAAGGGGAUCAGUACAAGUUGGGGUAAGAGGAGUUGGAAAAACAUUGCUUUUUAUUCUGUUUUUGUAGAUUUGCACAUGGAAAUGCGUUCUGUUAGUAUGGCCGCUGGCUCCACCAUCCGUUUAUCUGCACUUUUAUUGGUACACUUUCUUUAGCACUAUUUCACCACUGUUUAUUAUUUUUAACAAUUUAAAUAAUGAAGAAAAUAUCAACAGUAUAAUAAAGAUAAAAGUACAAAAGUAGAAGAUUCAUUAAUCUGCGUACAAUAAAAAAUAAAAGAAAGCUUGUCUGUCUCAACCUUUUAAUAAUUUAGAUUAUCUACUGCAAAUCUAAAGUAAAUCAAUUAUAAUGUAACCUGUAAUAAGCACUUCCUACAAAUGAAUAAAGUAAUUUACUAGAAUACAUCUAAAGAGCAGCAUUUUAAGAGUAAAUGAAUACUAGUUUUCCAAUUAGGGUAAUACCAUUAUGUAAAUCACUGCACUGCGAGCUGUGGGAAACACACAUAUCAAACUUGCGUACUUAAUCUAAUAAAAAUGAAUAUUGUGAGUGCGAACUAUUAGUAGAGUCACUGUAAAUAGAAUUAAAGGAAGUUCUGCUAAAUUAAAGGGUUUCUCCAACCACCAUGACCACUUAAGAGAUUUAAAGUGGUCAUGGUGGUAAGUGUCAGUAUGUGCAGUGUUUCAGCUUGAAAUACUGCUCAUACUUAGUUAUUGCUAAUUGUGUGCUGGGGGCUAGUUGCACCACCAGCAUACAUGACAUUGGCAGUCCAGAACUAUGCACUGCACGUGACCUUGCUGAUCCACUCCAGGUUUCCCGGGGAAAUUUAGAGAUACCAAUAAAAAUAAUUUAUAUGUGUACGGAUGUGUAGAUGAGAAUGUGUGAUUUUGUGUGUGUGUAUAUAUAUAUAUAUAUAUAUAUAUGUAAUCUAUAUUCUAAAAAUAGUUUCUCACCCCUCCUGGGUUUUAUUUAAUCCUCAUUCUCAGGUCCUCUACCAGAUGUAUGAAGGUUAUGUGCAGUAUCUUAGCUGUUAUUAGAAAUGAACUCUUCUGGACAGCGAUCUCAGAUCUUUUUACUCCAGUUUUAGGUUUAUUUUUUCUGAUUAUUUUACUAUUCAUUAUAUUUACAAAAUAAGAAAAACAAUCAUUAUUACUAUGGAAAAAAUUAAUGAAAAAAAGAUGCAUUUAUUAUUUCCAAUUUUUGCAGAUAACCAUUUGGAGGACCUAUACCAGGUCUGUGGUGUUCUGAACCAACAUGGAUUACAUAACUUAAAAGUAGAAUUGUAUAUAGUGAAUGAAAUUAGCUUUCCAAGCCAAUUUUUCUUAAAAAAGAAAAAAAAUUGGUACACCGAAAUUUCAGUAAAUUGUUGUCUCAACCCAAUAGGAUUUCAAUACUGAGUCGCCAAUUCAGAAACCGAAUCAGAAGAACUGUAAAGUACUUGAAAAUGGGCCAAUUAGUAUGCUGCAAAAUAUCUCUCUCUCUCUCCAUCUCUUUCUAUCUCUCAUCUUUAUGUAAAUUUUUAUGAGAAAUAGAUAUACUAGAGCUAUAGAUAGGAAGGGGAUUUGACUAGGUCACAAGUUUAAAUUGACUUCCACAUGUCUUCUUCAUUAUGUUUCUUAGUCUAAAAUGCCUUGUGUUUUUUGUGCUUUGUAACAAGUAUUGUCAAUGAACCAAGUUUUCAGCACAUUUGUCUCUAUAUAUUUAUCAAUCUUCGCUUUAGGAUUUAGAUACAACAAUAAGCACCCUUCAGUGAGCACUACCCUUCAGUCUGCCGGCGGCCGGGUACAGGAAACAGAAGUUCCUAUCCCGCGUUCCUGCGCCGCCCGACCACGCUACAUAGGAAGGAAGAGGAGGGUAAGGACCACUAGGGGAGGGGGGGAGUAAGGACCACUAGGGGAGGGGAGUAAGGACCACAGGGGAAGAGGAGUAAGGACCACAGGGGAAAAGGAGUAAGGACCAUAGGGGAGGAGGGGGGAGUAAGGACCACUGGGGGUGAGUGGAUGGGAAGUAAGGACCACUGGGGAAGGGGUGAAGGAACACAGGGGAGGGAGGUGGGGAAAGUAAGGACCACUGGGGAGGGAGAGGGGGGGAGUAAGGACAACUGGGGAAGAGUGGGGGAGUAAGGACCAUUGGAGGAGGGGGUGGAGUAAGGACCACUGGAGAAGGGGGGUGAAGGAACACAGGGGGAUGGGGAGUAAGGACCAUUGAGGGAGGAGGGGGGAGGUCCACUAAUGGGUUUGGGAGAGAUGGAGGACCACUAAGUGGGAGAGGGGGAGUGAGAAGACCACCAAGGGGGGACUGCAGAGGGACAGGGGGCCAAGGGAGAGCACUAAGGGACAGAAGGGGAGAACACGGAGGGACAGGCACCCCUUACAGACACACACUGCAUUCAAUUACAUACACAGAAAAACACCUUGCACCCCUUACUUACACACACACACACACACACACCCAGAAACAUACAAUGCAUUCCUUACACGCAAACACACACUACAUCCCUUACACAAAUUGGUAUCCCUAUACACUACAUUCUAUAAGAACACACACACAUUGCAUCCCCUACAAUAACACAUAAAACAUCCCCUACACACAUACACUCCACUUCAUGUGAGAGAACUCAUGGGUGGGCCAUGUAGGUGGAUUUAUGGGUGGGCAUUGUAGGCAUACCCAAGAUCAAGCCCUGGGGGCCCAGACCUUGAGCUGUGUAAGGGGCCCUAAAAAUGGAGCUGUUUCCUGUUCGUUAAUUGUUGUGAGCACUGUUAAAAAUAGUCUCCAGAGAGCCUCUUCUACACCAGACCUGUGGAGCCAGACUGAGCCCAUCAUCAGCCUCUUGUCCCCAUCUGGUGGUAAGUAGGCAAUCCAAUAUAUUAUUAGUGGCGCUAAUCUCUAAUUUACCUCACAUUAAAUGGAUACUAUAGUCACCAGAAGCACUACAGCAUAAUGUCUAUAGCCUGUGCCUGUAGGCUUUUUAAUGUAAACACACUGUCUUUUCAGAUAAAAGACACUUUGUGAAGACUGGCGUUGGCCCAUAUGGCAGAACGUAUGGGCGGAGCAUUGUAAUGUCACAUGGUGGGAAGGACAUAUGGGGGGGCGGCAAAUUUUUUGCCCUGCACUAGAAUGAAAGCACCGCCAGCAUUCAAAAGUGACCAAAACAUCAGCCAGGAAGCAUAGGAACUGAGAAGUGGUCUGUGUUCACCACCUGCAGAACCACUCCUUUAUUGGGGGGUGUCUUGCUAAUUGCCUUUAAUUUCCACCUGCUGUCUAUCCCAUUUGCACAACAGCAUGUGAAAUUGAUUGUCACUCAGUGUUGCUUCCUAAGUGGACAGUUUGGUUUCACAGAAGUGUGAUUGACUUGGAGUUACAUUGUGUUGUUUAAGUCUUCCCUGUAUGUGUGUGUGUGUGUGUAUGUAUGUAUGUAUAUGUGUAUAUAUAUAUAUAUAUUAGAUAGAGAGAGAGAGAGGGAUAUAGAGGGCAUGCAUUUUAAAAUUCAGUUAAGGUGGUAGUAAGCACUGUGUAUUUGUAUGUAUCCAAAGAAAUCAAAUGGCCAGAAGGGGUUUAUUUGGGAGAUCUUAGAAGGUGGUUAAAUAAUGACCUGUGAAAAGAAAAUGACGGAAUUGAAUGAGUUUGUUUUUCAAAAUGGACAAAAUCAGACCUGGUGGGAACUGCCUAUUAUGAUUGAUUUAAGUCAGGGAUGAUGUGUUAUUGAACUUUUCUACAUUAAUUUUUUAACCUCACAAAUACAUACAAGUUAGUAAAAAUAUUUCAAAGUGACCAUUUCCCUUUAACCCCUUAAGGACCAAACUUCUGAAAUAAAAGGGAAUCAUGACAUGUCACACAUGUCAUGUGUCCUUAAGGGGUUAACAAUAAAUACCAAAUGUAUUCUCUAAAAGAUUUUUAAUAUGAACAGUUUAUCAACAAUUCUUUCUCUGGCUAAAACUGUAUAUCAAAAGGGUAUUAAACCGUAGCAUAUUAAAGUAAAUUAAAAAAUGCAUUGAGAAAUUUUUCCAUCCCUUUUAUAACGUGAAUGAUUAAUAUCCUGCACAAUAAUCAAUUAUAACUUUUUGUAGCAGUAACCAUCCACUUACAGAGUUACGUGCCCCUUAUGCUUUAAAUUAUUACAGCUUCUAAAUACUUUUAAUACCUUUUAAUCAUCCAACCCUAUUCACGAAUGACACUUUUUUGAAUUGUUAUUUGUAAUUCAAAGGACAUAUUGGCAAUGUAACAGAUUAUUACUACUAAUGGAAAGCUUUAAAGGCAAUAUUAAAAAUAAAGCAUAAACUUUAAUGAGUCUGGUUUAUGCACCUCACUAGAAUUUGUGUGUUUAUGGCCUUCUACAUUUUACUGUAGGAGUGCAUUUUUAUAGAACAGUCAAUACCGGAGAGAAAUUGUCAUCCAUUAUUAGUAAAGUAUGUUGACUGGGUUCAAAGCAUCUUGAUCUUAACAUUUAAUCUCUUCUUAGGAAACCAUGGCUGAAAGAGCAAAAUGUUGUGGCUCAGCUUUCUAUAUUUAGUGGUGGUUUAUCCAGUUUUGUACUUAGUGCUAACCUCCUCUGAGAACAUAUGUUUUAAUACUCUCUAAUCUGUGAGGUUAAUUUGCAUGCUGCCUGUGUAUAAAGAAGGUAAUCCUGUAGUUGUAAUGUAAAAACAACAAAAACGUGUGUACAUUCGAUUUAUUUUUAGAUAAUUUGACACACAAUUAGAUACAAUUUCUGAAAAAAUACUGAUAAAAACAAAUGGCUAUUUACUGUUGCUGCAAAUGAUCCAAACGCUAUAAUAGAAUACAGUGGGACCUUGGUUUACAAACGCCUCGGUUAACAUUAUUUUUGGUUUACAAAUGAAAAUCCAUUGAAAAUAAUGCCUCGGUUUACAAAUUUGUUUCGCAAUACAAAGCAAGUUUCCCCAGGAUGCAUUGCACCUGGGAGGUUUAUAGCACUGCCCCCUGCAUGCUGGAGCCUGUGGGUAGCACAUGGUGUCGAGUGUGGAGGUGUUGGAGCGGCUUUUGUAUUGAGUUUUGUUGCCAUUCUGGAAAUUGUUGGCAGUUGUUUUGGAACUUUUUGGUGGGAGCUGAGCUUCAUCGUUUGCAUGCCUUUCAUUGUGUGUUCUGCAUUGUGGGUUGGUUUCCAUGCCAGCUCAUUUUGACUUUUUUCUGACCUCCAGAAUGGAUUAAUUGGUUUUCAUUGCAUUCCUAGGGGAAACUGUGUUUUGGUUUACAAGUAUUUCGAAAUAAGAAACGUCAAGGAGAACACAUUACAUUUGUAAACCGAGGUCCCACUAUAUAUGUCUUGCUGAUAGAAACAUCUAUGUUCUGUUUCAUGAAAGCUUCUAAAAAUGUACUUUCGUACUCUAAAAAUCCAAAAGUAAAAGUCCUAAAAUUCCACAUUGUUGCUCUAUUGGCAAGAUUUGGGAUAACAUGCUGGUUGAUUAAGUUAAGCUUUUUCAUAAAUUAAAUAUAUUAUGCAUUGCAGAAACUGCUUCCAAAACAGUAACAAAUCUGUCCAACAAAGGAAAAACUUAAGUGUCCUAAGCAAAGGUUUCUUCCUCCUAAUCUAAAAAAGCUAAAUGUUGCAUGUUGAAUAUUAUGUGUAUAAUAUACAGUACAUGCAUUAUACAUUAUAUUAUGUAUUUUGUUUUCUACUUGCUUGUUCAAUAUUCCAGAGUCCCAUACUGGACAGCCUUCACAUCUUUGCCAUUAUUUCUGUAAAGAAUUGAGACAUGGGGACAUGGAAAGACAAUAUUUUUCAUCUAAGCAGCUUGAAAUGAUUUACAGAGUUUUUAAGGAAAUUUUUCAUUUUACCUUUUAUGGAAAAAAAAAAAAGGAAAAAAAACCCACACAAAAGGCUUUUAAUGGGACCAGAUAUCACCCUAAGAUGACCUGAAAAUACAAAUGGCACAAAUAGUGUCUUGUUUCUCCUUAAUGUGAAUAAAGAGAAAUCUGUGUUUAUCUUUUAAACUCAAAAGUCAAUGGAGAUAUAAUGUAUUACAUUUCUUGGGUCUGAUGAAGGUAAAAUAAAUAAAUACAUUAUAUAUAUAUAUACACACACACCAUUAACACUAAAUGUUAAACUCUGAAAUGUGAACAACAGACAAGCUUCAAGAGCAGGAAAAGGUGUGUUAAAUACAGCAAGCAUGUAUGCUUAAAUAUACACUCCAAGCUUGCUGUAGUGGUUAUGGGAUCAGGAGUGCCUUGGUGCAUGCCUAGUGUAAGUAGCUGAACUGUUUGCUAAAAUGUUUGCUUCUUAACUAGGGUCUACCAGGCACGGUCUCCCUCCUGGGACUCUGGAUCAGAAGCUCCUGCUAGGCACUUCCCUAAAUUCUCCCGAGCUAAGCCCUUCACUGCCAGACUUUGUUCUGAACAGAGAGCUUCUGGCUGCAGAGAGGCAGGAAGUGAUGCUAGUAGGAUGCCAAAUAAGAUGUCAAACUGUUGGCAAGUGGUUUUACUACUUACAUAGAGGUGUGCAAGGGCACUUUUAGUGUUCCUUUAACCUUAAACCUUGGAUAAUUUAAUCAGGUCCUUGUCAUGCUGAACAGAAUUGCCUAUUCUUUAUGUGAAAUUCAUGUGUGAUAAGAUCUAACACAACUGCCAGGGACCCCAAUACAAUCACAUACUUCUUACAUGUUCUUUCUAGUAACCCAUUUUUAAAACAAAUGGCACAUUGAACCAGUGAUCAUCUAUCCUGUGAUGUCGCGGCAAUCUAGGGAAACAAACCUGGGGUUGUUCAACAAGGUUUUAAACAAAGACAGUACCAUGGAAUCAAGAACAAUUGGGGGGGAUGCAGUGGCAGAACUAAAAUUGCCCUGGUGUAAGAAUUUUUUUGGGGUUGCUGGCAAGGAUUGACUAAUGAUCUACCAUUUGCCCAUCCUUGCAGGGAGUACCAAGCACUGAGCAGUGUUUGAAUGUAUGAAUGCUUUAGCAUGGAGUAUGUGUGUGUGAAUGUAGGUGUGUAGUGUUGUGUAAUAUUAUACUGUUGCCAAUUAAAAUCAGUUUACUGGUGUGUAGUGUUUGCCUUUGAAUGUAGGGUUGUGUGUAGUGUUGAUGUUUGAAUACAGGGGUGUAUUUGUGUGUAGUGUUCAUACUGCUACGGACACACAUGGACACAUCCGGAUAAAUGGACACACAUAUGGAUACAUAGACCCACAAAUACGCACACUGACACACAUAGAGAUACAGACUGACACUAACACACAUACAAAGUGCACAAACUAACAUACACACACUAAUCUCGAUAAAGAUACAAACACACUAAUAAACAUACAGAUACAAAGAUAUACAAACACACUGACACACAUGCAGAUACAGACACCAGAUAAACAUAAUGUAACUCAUACAGUUACAAACACUUAAAUGCAUACAGAUACACAGACAACACAUAGAUACACAUGAGCACACAUUUACAUGCAGAUGUACAUACAGACACACAUACAGAUAAAACACAGCUGCUGAUGAUUUUGACCAUUUGCCCACUGACAAAGAAAUGAUCAGUCUAUAAUGGUAGGUGUAUUUUAACAGUGAGAGACAGAAUAACAAAAAAAAUAAUAAUCCAGAAAAUCACCUGUCAAAAAAAGUUAUAAAUUAAUUUGCAUGUCAAUGAGUGGAAUAAGUAGUUGACCCCUUCGACUUAGUACUUGGUGGCAAAACCCUUGUUUGCAAUCACAGAGGUCAGACGUUUCUUGUAGUUGGCCACUAGGUUUGCACAAAUCUCAGGAGGGAUUUUGUCCCACUCCUCUUUGUAGAUCCUCUCAAAGUCAUUAAGGUUUCGAAGCUGACAUUUGGCAACAUUAAGCUGCCUCCACAGAUUUUCUAUGGCAUUAAAGGAGCACUAUAGGGUCAGGAACACAAACAUGUAUUUCUGACCCUAUAGGGUUAAAACCACCAUCUAGCCACCCUGGUCCCUCCAUGCUUCCCUAAAAAAUUAAAAAUUUUACUUGUAUUCAAGUAUGGAGCUGCUAGCUCUGGCUCUGUUUCCUUUAGACCUGCCCAAAGCCUGCUGACCUCAGCAGAAGUAGUAGCCUGAUCCAAUCACAAUGCUUCUCCAUAGGAUUGGCUGAGACUGACAAAGAAGCAGAUCAUGGGCAGAGCCAGCAUGAUUCAAACACAGUCCUGGCCAAUCAGCAUCUCUUCAUAGAGAUGAAUUGAAUCAAUGAAUCUCUAUGAGGAAAGUUCAGUGUCUGCAUGCAGAGGGAGGUGACACUGAAUGUUUGGAUGCAUUUUAGGCAGCCAUGACCCAGAAAGGGUCUCGAACAGCCGUCUAAGGAGUGGCCAGUGAAGUUAUCACUAGGCUGCAAUGGAAACACUGCAUUUUCUUGGAAAAGACAGUGUUCACAGCAAAAAGCAUGUAGGUAAUGAUUCUACACAACAGGACAAAUUCAAUAAGCUGUAGUUGUUCUGGUGACUAUAGUGUCCCUUUAAAGGGACUCUCCAGUGCCAAGAAAACAAUCCAUUUUCCUGGCACUGCAGGUCCCCUCUCCCUCCCACCUCCCAUCCCCGGUUGCUGAAGGGGUCAAAACCCCUUCAGUAACUUACCAGAGGCAGCGACAAUGUCCCUCAAUGCUGCUUCUUGGUUUGCCCACGCUCCUUCCCGUCACCAUGUCAGCCGGCCGGGGAGACUUAUUAUGCCCGCCGGCGGAGAGACCUAAUGCGCAUGCGCGGCAAUGUAGACCUCCCCAUAGGAAAAUAUUGAAAAUGCUUUCCUAUGGGGAUUUUAGCGACGCUGGAGGUCCUUAGAUAGCGUGUGGACAUCCAGCGACGUUAUAGCACAGAAAAUCUGUGCUAUAAUCUCAGAAGUGCCCUCUAGUGGUUGUCUAGUAGACAGCCAAUAGAGGAGGCGUUAACCCUGCAAGGUAAUUAUUGCAGUUUAUAAAAAUUGCAAUAGUUACAGUUGCAGGGUUAAGAUUAGUGGGAGUUGGCACCAAGACCACUCCAAUGGGCAGAAGUGAUCUAGGUGCCUGGAGUGUCCCUUUAAGGUCUGGAGACUGGCUAGGCUACUCCAGGACCGUAAUGUGCUUCUUCUUGAGCCAUUCCUUUGUUGCUUUGGCUGUGUGUUUUGGGUCAUUGUAAUGAUGGAAUACCCAUCCACGACCCAUUUUCAAUGCCAUGGCUGAGGGAAGGAGGUUCUCAUCCAAGAUUUGACGGUACAUGGCUCCAUCCAUCGUCCCUUUGAUGCGGUGCAGUUGUUCUGUCCCCUUAGCAGAAAAACACACCUAAAGCAUAUUGUUUCCACCUCCAUGUGUGACAGUGGGGAUGGUGUUCUUGGGGUCAUAGGCAGCAUUCCUCCUCCUCCAAACACGGCGAGUUGAGCUGAUGCCAACAAGCUUGAUUUUGGUCUCAUCUGACCACAACACUUUCACCCAGUUCUCCUCUGAAUUAUUCAGAUGUUCAUUGGCAGACUUCAGAUGGGCCUGUACAUGUGCUUUCUUGUGCAGGGGGGCCUUGGGGGCACUGCAGGAUUUCAGUCAUUCAUGGUGUAGUGUGUUACCAAUUGUUUUCUUGGUGACUAUGGUCCCAACUGCCUUGAGAUCAUUAACAGGAUCCUCCGGUGUAGUUUUGGGCUGAUUUCUCACCAUUCUAAUGAUCAUUGAAACUCCACGAGGUAAGAUUUUGCAUGGAGCACCAGUCCGAGGGAGCCUGUUUGUGUUUCUUCCAUUUGCGAAUAAUCGCACCAACUAUUGUCACCUUCUCCACAAGCUGCUUGGCAAUUGUCUUGUAGACCAUUCCAGCCUUGUGAAGGUCUACAGUAUUGUCCCUGACAUCCUUGGACAGCUCUUUGGUCUUGGCCAUGGUGGAGAGUUUGGAAUCUGAUUGAUUGAUUGCUUCUGUGUACAGGUGUCUUUUAUACCAGUAACGAGCUGAGAUUAGGAGCACUCCCUUUAAAAGAGUGCCCCUAAUCUCAGCUCGUUACUGGUAUAAAAGACACCUGGGAGCCAGAAAUUGUGCUGAUUGAUAGGGGAUACUAUACUUAUUUCACUCAUUGAUAUGCAAAUCAAUUUAUAAAAUUUUUGACAUGCGUUUUUCUGCAUUUUUUUUGUUGUUAUUCUGUCUCUCACUGUUAGAAUACACCUACCAUCAAAAUUAUAGACUGAUCGUUUCUUUGUCAGUGGAAAAACAUUCAAAAUCAGCAGGUGUUCAAAUACUUUUUCCCCUCAAUGUACAUGCAAAAUUACAAAUAAUUCCUUUAGAAUGUAUUUAUUUAGAAGUUAUAACAAUGUUAUAGGAAACUUUCAGAGUUUAGCUAGAAUUUUCUUCACACAGAGUGUAAAACAGAGCUUUGCAGCUUCAACACAGAUAACAAACACACACACAGAUACACCUACAGACACACAGAUAACACCCAGAAAGACAACACAAACACACAGAUAACAACACAUACAUGCAAAGAUCACAUUACUUUUUUAUAGUCAUCCCUCUUCUUCCAUACCUUUUUGGUGCAGAGGGGUGGCCUGGGGUACAGUGUCAUCUGGCUGAGUGUGAUAGGACUCUGCUCUCUGCUCUUUCCCUUCUCUCUGGUCCUGGCUCUUAGUCAUCUCCCUCCUCUUUUGCCCUCCUGCCUCUCCCAUGCAGCCCAUUGGUAUGCUGGGAAAAAGUGAAUUUACUCAGACCAGUGUGCACGGUUGCGCUGUUUAAUGGGGUCAGCGCCCCUGAUCAGAGAUGGCCAUUGGGUGGCCCCAAGUGCAUGGGCUCCCUGAUCUUGCCAUUGACCAGAAAAUUGCGUGUAUUCACUUGUACCUACUACAGCUGUCUUGAUGAGGUUGUGAAAUCCACUAAAUGUUAUCUCUCUUGAACGAAGAGGAGACUCCCCGAUCAUUUACUCUGUGAGUGUCCUAUAACUUUUAGAUUUUUUUUUUUCUCCCAGCUUUCAACUUGAAGCAUUUUGGUGGUUUUAUAUAUGUACUGCACAUUGCAAGAACUAUCUCCCUUAAAAGGUAGGGACUAUACCCAACUCAUUCCAAGUGGUAGUUUGGACACAUUAUUGUAUUGCAACUUUGUUGAUUGUAUCACUGAUUCCAGACAGUGGUUACAUUGAUCUAGCACACACAGUGAACUUCAAUAUGUUUUACUUUUUGUUACUCUUUAUUUUACCCUUUGGUGAUAUGUUUUAUUAAAUUUGGAUACAUUGUCUUUUAUGUGCUUCUUAUAUUGUAUGCUUGGCGUGCUUUUUAAAAAAAAAAAAAUUAUUUUAUCUUUAGCAUUUAUAUUGUGUAUUUCUGCUUUUUAUUGCUAAUACGUUUUAUAUUUCAUAGUUUCCACAUUGUUGUAUUUUCAUGCUUCAUAUGAAUAUUAUCGAUUAUUCUUUCUAUUGCUUUGUCAUUUUUUAAAUUGUAUUAUUUAUUUAUUUUCUUCUUCGAUAUUUGCUCCUGGUAUUAGUUUUAUUAUAUAGUUUUUAUUUCUGUACUAUUAAAUAAAGAUUUUUUGGUGACUGCCUUUUUUACUUUUUUUUUUUACCAAUUAGUCGAUAAUUACUUUAGUUUUAUAUCUUUUAUAUUGAGUAUGGUUGUUCCUUACUCUAGCAUGGUUUUAUUAUAUAUAGUAUUUAUAAUAUACAGUAAAGCACAAGCCUAUCUUUGCCCCAUGUAAACACCUGUUUUUGCCUUGAUAAAUCUCCCCCAAUGUAUCUUGAAUUGUGAAGUCCUUGUAGUUGAACAAACAUUACUUAAAACUAAAAGCAACAUAUGUGUGUAUACAGCAAUUACAGCAAAACAUAUGAAAUUAUCCCAAUCUGUGCAUGAAAGUUUGACAAUAAGUAAAUGUGUGCUCUGGGCUUGAUGCAUUUCUUUCAAAAUGUCAUUGCUAUGACUUGAAUUAUAUAUAUUUUUUAUUUUAUUUUCUAUGGCUUUUCUUCUUUGGCUAAUGAUACAUUUGUGCUGUUCUCUGAAUCUAGUGUUUUGUUUGGCAUAAUUAAUUUUCCAGUUGAAGAUAUUUUAAAAAUACGAUGUUCUUGAUAACUCUUGCAAUUUCCAUUCAUAUGAUUUUUUUUUUGAUUUUUUUUUUACAAAUGCUGAAACAAUUUAAAUUGAGUGGCUUUUUCUCUACAGUACAGGACUUGGCAAAAAUGUCCAUAUUUUAGAAUUAUUUCAAUCACUCCAUUGCUGUCAGUAGAGUUAUAGAGGACAUCAUCUUAGAGGACAUGUGCAGACAUUCUCUCAUUUUUAGGUUAGGAAAGGUUAAUCCAUCAUGCAUGACCUCUAUUAACAUGAGAUAUAGUAUAUUUUUAUAGAAAAUGUGAAUAGGUUCGUUUGCCAGAAUGUCUGUACAUAAACCUUAUACUACACAGAGUAAUGAAUAAAGCUAUUUUUGAGCUGGCUAUAUUAGGGUUUAAAGGGGCAAUGGUGUAACUCAACACAUAUCACAUUGCCCAUUGACAUCCUUUAUUUGAUAUUUUAUGAAUUACAAUCAUUUCUAGAAUACAUUCAAAACAAGUAUAUUGGUGACAUCGCCAACUUAACUCAAAUGGGGCAAAUUUGUUUGGUGGGUUCACCAUUUACAAAGUAAACUUCAUAAGAUACUCUUAUGUUCUUAUGAAAUAUAGAUGAUUCUUGAGAUAAACAUAGGGUAAAAUUACAGCCUUUAGUUGGCCUCUUUGUCAUCAUCCUUGUUCUCUGUCAACACCAGGUAAGGGUCUAUUUAAAUAUUAGAUUUUAAAAACUAAUUUGAAUGAAUAUACAUUGGUGUAAAUUGUAUAGCUUUAUAUUUUUGUAUGUUUUUUUUGGAGGGGGGCUUUUACAUAGGAAAAUCAACAUAAUACAGCAAUAACAUGAAAAUGACAUGAGGCACAUUUUAAGACAGAAAGUCUACAAGUGUUAUUACUUAGAGCUGUAGGUGCUUCACUAAACAGUCAAUAUAUAUCUACUUGAAAAUAUAAAAUUAUGCAUAGCAUACUCAAGCAAUAUAACCUAGUUUAAGAAAAUAUAACGAGUUGACCUAGCAGAGUUGGCCUAGGAGAAGUGAAUGCAGACAUAAUAGAGGGCUUUUAUAUGAGAAUAACCAAUUUAUUUUCAAGCAAAAAUAGGUGUAUACAUACAAAUAUAGAAGCUCUACAUGGCCUAUCUGUCACAGAGUGAAAGGGCCAGCCCUCAAAUGGUUGUUUAACCCACAGAUCCCAGAUUGACAAGUAUUUUCUAUAUUUCUUCUCUAAUAAUCAUUUAAAUUCUUCUAGUUUUCUGAAGCUUACCAAUUUUUAGAGUUGGAAGGUGUGACAAAAUACUGCAUUUUAUUGUCCCAGUUAAUUCCCCUGUGUUCGGUAGGUGCAUCUACCGAACACCGACCACUCCUUGACUCAUUGAACUUCAAAGAAACCACAAACGUAAGUGCUCUCCCUAUGGAGCAUACUCAUGCAGUCUUACUGUUCAAUUAUCUGCAAUGUUGGAGUUAAAGAAACAAUUUAGGGUCAGGAACACAAACAUGUUAAAUUUACUAUUUAGACCCACCACCCCUCGCACUCCUAAAUAUAGUAAAAUCUUACCCUAUUUUCAUUCUACCAGCACUGGCUCUUCCCCCAAUCAGCCUUGUUGGCUGACAUAAUCACAAGUGAUGAUAGGAAAGCAUUGGCUGAGAUUGUGAAGGAGACAAGGCUGGAGCCAAAUGUCAGCUUGGCCAAUCAGCAUUUCCUCAUAGAGAUGCAUUAAAUCAAUGCAUCUCUAUGGGGAAAGUUCAGUGAUAUUGAAGAUCAGUACCACAGGAAGCACCUCCUGUGGCCUUCUGAGGAGUAAACACUGGAGGUGUUCCUAGGGAGCAGUGUAAACACUGUCUUUUUUCUGAAAAGGCAGUGUUUGCAACUAUAUACCUUCAGGGACUGACUGUACUCACCAGAACAAUUACAUUAAGCUGUAGUUGUUUUAGUGACUGUAGUGUCCCUUUAAAUAACUUUUUUCUUUUUAUGCAGUCCUAGCCACAAACAUGCUGUCUGUGACUCACACCACCAGUGUGAAAAAAUCCAAUGUUAACUUGACUGCUCAGUAAAUUCUAAUUAAAACAGAAUAUGCAAUAAUAGAAGUUUAAACAUUAGAUCUCUCUUUACAGGAUUUGUUUAGACAAGCUUUGUUAGUCAAAUGCAGGAGGUGUGACUAGGGUUGCUUAAACAAAAUUAUUUAUUUCCUAAAUGGCAGAGUAUUGAUCAAUGAGACUGCAGGGGCAUGAACUAUACACUAAAACUGCUUCAUUAAGCUAAAAUGUUUUGGUGCCUGUAGUUUCUCUUUAAGUUGUGAAUAAGCCGAUCGGUCUAUAGACAUUAUCUAUAGACAUUAAAUAUAUGCCCAGAUUAGGAGUGAGUAGUAAUAGAAAGAACAGAUGUGUUUGAGAAUUUUGGAUAACAUUGCAUGUCAGUUGAUCUUGGAAAAAAGAGCCCAUGCCACAAACAGGAUUAUGGGUUACUGGACAUAAAAGGGAGAUGGCAGAUAAGAAAUCAAAACCACCCCAUAUCACCCGUCAAAACAUCAAAGUGGAGUGAUUGUGGGAUGGGGUGGUGUUUAUUAGACAUGUGCAUGGGAACAAAAAUGUUUCAGUUUUAGUAAUUCCAAAAUUUGUUUCAGUGAAAUUCAGAAAUUUAGCAAUUUGGAAUGAACCAAAAUUAAUCUGAGAAUUUUCAGAAACAUCCAAAAUUCAGACAUUGGCUAUUCCCUAUAUAGUAGAUAUAUCCCCAAAUUUAGUACCCUUAUAUGUGAUGCCCUUUUGAGGAUACCUCAUUUUAUAUUCUUUGUAGGACAAUCCAACAUAAUGGUUAGGGGUAUUGGAUAUCUAUAAAACAGAAACAUAGAAUGUUAAUGCAGAUAAGAACCAUUUGGCCCAUCUAGUCUGCCCAGUUUUCUUAAGUUUUCUUAUCUUAAGUUUAGUAUAGCAUUAUGCCUACCCCACACAUGCUUAAACUACCUCACUGUGUUAACCUCCCUCACUGUGUUAACCUCUACCACGUCAACAGGAAGGCUAUACAACAGGACCCUAAGAAGAGCAAAAUUAAUUUCAUUUGCUGUUUCCGUUGCUUAGUAGAUGUGUUCAUAAUUUGAUAUCCUUAUUGAUCUGAACAUUUUUGGACUCAUUAAUUUUCAUAUGUUCUUCUGUUUCAUAUCCUAUGGGGACAAUCAAUUUCAAGGACUUUUAACAGAAACUAAUUAUUAAUGGAUACUUGGAGACUGUCACUCAUCAGAAAAAAUAUCCUGGUGUAUUAUUAAUUGUUCUGUGACAUAACCUCUAUAUUCUCCUACUGGCUUCUGUAUGUAUAGAUUGUUUUUCCACAUUAAGUGUUUGCAACCUUUUUUUCUGAUACUAUCUAUUAUCAUAAUGUAUUUUGUGGUAUAUUGCUUAAGGUCAUUUAGUCCAGCUGUCUUGCUUUUUGGAUAUAGGUUAUUAUGCAGAAAUUCAGUAGGUAAAUGUCAGGCUCCCGCGGGCGGCUGCGAGGGGAGGCUGCACUCCGCUCGCAGUACUCACCCUCCAGCCGUCCGCGGUCCCCUCCGCCUCGUGGGUACGGCGAGCGGCAUCCUUCCAGCCUCGGAUGCCGCCCGCCGUUCCCUCCACGUCCCCCAGCGGCAGCAUGCAUGACGCUGCACGCUGGGAGACCGCCCAGGUUUAUACACGCCGGGGUCAGUCACCUGACCCGGCGUUAAAGGCACAGUGCCUCAAUCACAGUGGGAGGUCUAAAUAUCUCCCACGUGUGAUUGUUAAUUCUGAUUGGAAAUCAUCCAAUCAGAAUUAACCUGAUGGUUUAAAUACUUACCUUUCCUGUUCCUCCUUGCCCUGUUGUGGUCUUUGCUUGCUAGUAUUGCUACUUACCUUGUGCUUCUGGUUACGUACUCUCUGGCUUGUUUAUCUGACUCUGUGACUUUCUCCUACCCUUUGACCUCGGCUCGUUUCACGUUAUUCUGUCUUCUGGUUCCCCUUUACUCGGCUUGUCUCCUGACUAUUCUGUGUGUGCUUAGCCCGGCCACUCUAAGGUCCGGUACGGCACCUUUUGUGUGUGUGUGUGCCAGCGUGUUGGGUUCCCCGAAUCGUGACAUUACAACAGGGCCAUAAUGGAACCUGCUGACAUACCACAGCUCCUAGUUAAUCAAGAGGCUAGAAUGGAUGGCUUAGACCACCGUAUGGAUCAGUUUGCUCAAGCUUUACAAACCAUUCUGGCUCGUACUGCACACUUGCAACCGGCCGUUCAGGAGGCUGCUGCUGCUGUGCCCGAACCCAUUCCCACUCCAGUACCUGUUCCCGCUCAUGUAGUUCACAUGACGCCGCCACAGCGCUACAGUGGUGACCCAGCAUUGUGUCGUGGUUUCCUCAACCAAAUCGACAUCCAUUUGGUGAUGAAUCCACGCUCCUAUCCCACUGACAGAUCUAAAAUUGCCUUUUUGAUAAACCACUUGUCCGGGAGAGCUUUAGCAUGGGCCAACCCCAUUUGGGAAAAUACGUCUCCUAUGUCCUUUGCUGAUUUUCUGACAGCUUUCAGACGCACGUUUGAUCAACCCGGUAGGGUUGCUUCUGCUGGCAAGGCUCUGCUUAGGGUCCGACAGGGUAACAGGUCUGUAGCAGAUUACACUAUCGAAUUUCGUACUCUAGCAGCUGAAGUGGUUUGGAAUAAUGACGCCCUCGUAACAGCCUUUCAGGAGGGUCUGGCCGCUUAUAUACUGGAUGAAAUAGCAUCCAGGGAAUUACCUGCUCUUCUAGAUGAUGUUAUAGACUAUGUGAUUCUUAUAGAUAACCGUAUUAGAGAGAGGCGUAGCCAAAGACGGUUGGAUACACGGGUGUUACCUGCUCUACCCAGUACUUCCCUGCUAGCGUUACCCGCUCCUGUGCAGCCAUCCCCUGAACCCAUGCAGUUGGGUGCUACGGGGUUAACAGAGGCCGAAAGAGCGUACCGUAGAAGGGAGGGGUUAUGACUUUAUUGUGGGAAGAGGGGGCAUCACUGUAAAGCCUGCCCUAAAGUACAGGGAAACUGCAGCACCUAAGGCCUAGAGAGGGGUCGGCCUCGGGUGUUAUGACUUUGUCCCCUCAUAUGUCCAUCUCUAGACCGUUUAUUACGGUUUCUCUCUUGGUCAAUAAAACCACUAUAACAACCAAAGCCCUGAUCGAUUCAGGUGCGGCAGACAACCUUAUGGAUGAGACCUUUGCCAAAACCACAGCCCUGAAUUUGAUCCGAAAGCAGACACCCUUGGCCGUUGAGGCCAUAGAUGGUAGACCACUGGAGAAACCUCUGGUGACGCAUGAAACCCAGGAAAUAGUUAUGUCUGUGGGUGUUUUGCACAAAGAGAAGUUAACCUUCCAAAUAAUUGACUCCCCAACAGCCUCCAUCGUUCUAGGUUUUCCCUGGUUAGUUAAACACAACCCUGUUCUUGAUUGGGGUUGUUUAGACAUACUCUCCUUGGGGGAAUCUUGUCAGCGAGACUGUGUGGCUCAUGUACGUCCUGUCUGUUUACUUAACGUACCCACGGCUAAACCACUCUCGGUUUCUGUGCCCUCUGUUUAUGCGGACCUUGCCUUGGUUUUUGAAAAGAGGGAGGCAGAUAAGCUACCUCCACAUCGUGAGUAUGAUUGUGCCAUAAACCUCUUACCGGGCACUAUGCCUCCUAGGGGAAAGGUCUACCCUCUUUCUGAAAAAGAGAACCAAAUCAUGGAGGAGUACAUACAGAAAUCCCUAAGAAAAGGUUUUAUUAGAAGGUCCUCCUCUCCUGCUGGUGCUGGUUUCUUUUUUGUGGCUAAGAAGGAGGGUGAUUUGAGGCCAUGUAUAGACUACAGGGGUCUGAACAAUAUAACGGUUAAAAACGCCUACCCUAUCCCCCUCAUCACUGAGUUGUUUGAUCGUGUUAAAGGUUCUAAAUUUUUCACCAAAUUAGACCUCAGGGGGGCUUAUAACCUUGUCCGUAUAAAGGAGAAUGACGAGUGGAAGACAGCCUUCAACACACGCAGUGGGCAUUACGAAUAUCUGGUCAUGCCUUUUGGAUUGUGUAAUGCUCCUGCCGUGUUUCAGGACCUCAUAAAUGAUGUCCUUAGGGAUCUAUUGCAUGUCUGUGCUGUAGUGUACCUUGACGACAUACUUGUGUAUUCUCCUGAUUUGAAGUCACACCAUAACCAUGUUAGGAUGGUGCUCAAAAGGCUAUUGCAGAAUGGACUCUACUGUAAGUUAGAAAAAUGUUUAUUCGAUCAGACCUCUGUGCAAUUCCUAGGAUAUAUCAUUACUGAACAGGGUUUCAGUAUGGAUCCUGCUAAAUUGGAAGCUAUAAUGUCCUGGCCACUUCCCCAAGGACUAAAGGCUAUCCAGCGUUUUAUAGGAUUUGCCAACUAUUAUAGGAAAUUUAUAAAAAACUUUUCACCACUCAUAUCUCCCAUAACGAAGUUGACAAAAAAAGGUCUACAUCCUAGGGUUUGGACUCCUGAAGCCCUUAAGGCCUUCGAAACCCUCAAGAAGGCAUUUGCCUCUGCUCCAGUGCUGCACCACCCUGAUCCUUCUCUUCCCUUUGUUAUGGAAGUAGACGCCUCGGAGUCAGGUGUGGGAGCCGUACUGUCACAGAGGUUGUCUUAUGACAAACCCCUCCAUCCCUGUUGUUAUUUUUCUAAAAGGUUGUCUGAUUCAGAGAAGAAUUAUGAUGUUGGGAAUAGGGAACUAUUAGCUAUUGUGUUAGCUUUCAAGGAAUGGAGGUACUUAUUAGAGGGUUCUAGACACAAAAUUAUGGUUAUAACAGAUCAUAAGAAUCUAUCCUAUAUUGCUGAUGCUAGAAGGUUAUCUGCCCGGCAGGCUAGAUGGUCUCUAUUUCUCUCACGCUUCCAAUAUGUUAUCACCUAUAGACCUGGUUGCCGUAAUGCCAAAGCUGACGCCAUCUCUCGGCAGCAUGAACCAGUAGAAUUUGUUAACCCGACUCCUGAACCUAUUGUACCUGAGUCUCAGAUAAUAGCUGCUACCCGUUUGGUUGUUUCUUCACCUUUCCUUAACAGUAUUAAGACAUACCAAACCCAGGCACCCCCUGAGACGCCAGUUGGUAAACUAUACGUUGAAGCUAAUGACAGAAAAAAGUUGUUAACUUUAUUUCACACAGCCAAAACUGCUGGUCAUCCGGGGGUUACCAAAACCUACAAAGGCCUCCUUGAACAGUUCUGGUGGCCUUCACUCAAGCGAGACGUAGUGGAUUUUGUUCAGGCUUGUCAGGUCUGCACGCAAUGUAAGUCCCUUAAUGUGAGACCCCAGGGUUUUCUGAUGCCUCUAUCUAUACCCAAGAAACCAUGGACCCACUUAUCCAUGGAUUUCAUUGUAGACCUGCCUCUUUCUGAUGGUCAGACGGUGAUACUGACUGUGACGGAUAGGUUCUCUAAAAUGGCGCACUUCAUUCCGCUUAAGAAACUGCCUUCUGCGGUCCAGUUGGCUCAGGUAUUUGCCAAAGAAGUGUUCCGAUUGCAUGGGGUACCCCAGGAUAUCGUAUCUGACAGGGGCCCUCAAUUUGUCUCUCGGUUCUGGAGGGGCUUUUGUGCUGAGAUGGGGGUAUCCUUGUCGUUUUCUUCCUCCUAUCACCCGCAAUCUAAUGGUGCGGCCGAACGUGCUAAUCAGUCUGUGGAAUUGUAUUUGCGCUGCUUCACUAAUGCGCACCAGGAUGACUGGUCUCGCCUUCUUCCGUGGGCUGAAUUUGCCAGGAAUACGGUGUCUCAUUCGUCUACUGGCUUAAGUCCUUUUGAGGUUGCUUAUGGGUUUCGUCCUUCUGUCCUUCCCGGUGCGUUCUCCGACAAGGGAAUGCCCGCCUUGGACCAGCACCUCGCCUCUUUGCGGAAGACGUGGGAUCAAGUCCAUGUUGCGCUGUCUCGUUCAGCAGCUGCUCAGAAAAAGUUUGCUGAUCGCCGUAGGGUUGCGGCCCCUUCCUAUGUUCCGGGUGAUAGGGUAUGGUUGUCCUCCCGGAACCUCCGUCUCAAGGUUCCCUCGAUGAAAUUUGCCCCCAGGUUUCUUGGUCCCUUCAAGGUGUUACGUAGGGUUAAUCCCGUUUCCUACUCCCUUGAUUUGCCUCCUUCCAUGCAUGUCCCGAACACGUUUCACGUCUCGCUUUUGAAACCCUUGCUGUGUAACCGGUUCUCUCGUCCCCUCGGGCGGCCCGUUUCCCCUCGAGCUGUCUCUGACGACGUGUACGAGGUGGCUGCCCUUCUCGACUCUCGUGUUUCUAGGGGUCGGCUGCAAUAUUUGGUGGACUGGAAGGGGUACGGCCCUGAGGAGCGGUCCUGGGUUUCAAGCUCCGAUGUGCACGCUCCCUCUUUGGUCCGCUCCUUUCAUGCCCGCUUUCCUUUGAAGCCUUCCGCUUCCCACCCCCUGGGCGGUCUUCGAGGGGGGGGUAAUGUCAGGCUCCCGCGGGCGGCUGCGAGGGGAGGCUGCACUCCGCUCGCAGUACUCACCCUCCAGCCGUCCGCGGUCCCCUCCGCCUCGUGGGUACGGCGAGCGGCAUCCUUCCAGCCUCGGAUGCCGCCCGCCGUUCCCUCCACGUCCCCCAGCGGCAGCAUGCAUGACGCUGCACGCUGGGAGACCGCCCAGGGUUUAUACACGCCGGGGUCAGUCACCUGACCCGGCGUUAAAGGCAAAGUGCCACAAUCACAGUGGGAGGUCUAAAUAUCUCCCACGUGUGAUUGUUAAUUCUGAUUGGAAAUCAUCCAAUCAGAAUUAACCUGAUGGUUUAAAUACUUACCUUUCCUGUUCCUCCUUGCCCUGUUGUGGUCUUUGCUUGCUAGUAUUGCUACUUACCUUGUGCUUCUGGUUACGUACUCUCUGGCUUGUUUAUCUGACUCUGUGACUUUCUCCUACCCUUUGACCUCGGCUCGUUUUACGUUAUUCUGUCUUCUGGUUCCCCUUUACUCGGCUUGUCUCCUGACUAUUCUGUGUGUGCUUAGCCCGGCCACUCUAAGGUCCGGUACGGCACCUUUUGUGUGUGUGUGUGUGUGUGUGCCAGCGUGUUGGGUUCCCCGAAUCGUGACAGUAAAGACCAUAUACUUUUUCUUAGCAAUACAAAUUUUUGCAGCUGUCCAGAUUCGGAUAAUACAUUUAAGUGACUAACACUACAUUGAGAAAUGUGUUUGUGUUUAAUUUUUUUUUUUUUUUUAAAACAGAUCUGGACUGGUUAUAGCAAGGAGCCUCAUAAUUUGCAGAGUCUGUAUUGUUGAAAUUGUUUCUAAAUAUUUUAAAGGAGGAGAGAAGAACAUCCAAACCAGUGCUAGACCAAUGCCAGUGCUAGAUUUGCCACUAGUUGUUUAAGAGUUGUGAAAACAUUUGUUUUGGACCGUUUGUCUAAAUCAAAUGUCUUUGAAUCCACACCUGGAUGAAUCAAUGAUCCAGGAUUUACCUGUGGAGUCUUAGUCAUUGAAUAAAGCUCCACAGGUAAAUGCCAGAUCAUCAAUUCGUCCAUGCAUUUGAUCUGGAUAAACUGUCCAAAACAAAAUUUUGGCCUAGUCUACUGUUUAUUUCUGUGUGCAAGGAUAAAAAUUAGACUGCUCCUAGCCUACACAGUUAUGAUAUGAUAUAAAGUGAAAGUUCUACAUAAACUUUAAUUUGUAGGCCAAGGUAUCCAACCUGGAAACAUAUCAAACUUUGAGAAUUUUUAAGAUUAUUUAUUUAGGCCUUAAAUUUGAAAUGCGCUCUGAAUUUUAUUUGGAUUUCCAAGAUCUCUUGUGUAAAGGAACACUAUAGGGUCANNNNNNNNNNNNNNNNNNNNNNNNNNNNNNNNNNNNNNNNNNNNNNNNNNNNNNNNNNNNNNNNNNNNNNNNNNNNNNNNNNNNNNNNNNNNNNNNNNNNAUAUUUUUUACUUUUUGUUACUCUUUAUUUUACCCUUUGGUGAUAUGUUUUAUUAAAUUUGGAUACAUUGUCUUUUAUGUGCUUCUUAUAUUGUAUGCUUGGCGUGCUUUUUAAAAAAAAAAAAAAAUUAUUUUAUCUUUAGCAUUUAUAUUGUGUAUUUCUGCUUUUUAUUGCCAAUACGUUUUAUAUUUCAUAGUUUCCACAUUGUUGUAUUUUCAUGCUUCAUAUGAAUAUUAUCUAUUAUUCUUUCUAUUGCUUUGUCAUUUUUUAAAUUGUAUUAUUUAUUUAUUUUCUUCUUCGAUAUUUGCUCCUGGUAUUAGUUUUAUUAUAUAGUUUUUAUUUCUGUACUAUUAAAUAAAGAUUUUUUGGUGACUGCCUUUUUUACUUUUUUUUUUUUACCAAUUAGUCGAUAAUUACUUUAGUUUUAUAUCUUUUAUAUUGAGUAUGGUUGUUCCUUACUCUAGCAUGGUUUUAUUAUAUAUAGUAUUUAUAAUAUACAGUAAAGCACAAGCCUAUCUUUGCCCCAUGUAAACACCUGUUUUUGCCUUGAUAAAUCUCCCCCAAUGUAUCUUGAAUUGUGAAGUCCUUGUAGUUGAACAAACAUAACUUAAAACUAAAAGCAACAUAUGUGUGUAUACAGCAAUUACAGCAAAACAUAUGAAAUUAUCCCAAUCUGUGCAUGAAAGUUUGACAAUAAGUAAAUGUGUGCUCUGGGCUUGAUGCAUUUCUUUCAAAAUGUCAUUGCUAUGACUUGAAUUAUAUAUAUUUUUUAUUUUAUUUUCUAUGGCUUUUCUUCUUUGGCUAAUGAUACAUUUGUGCUGUUCUCUGAAUCUAGUGUUUUGUUUGGCAUAAUUAAUUUUCCAGUUGAAGAUAUUUUAAAAAUACGAUGUUCUUAAUAACUCUUGCAAUUUCCAUUCAUAUGAUUUUUUUUUUUUGAUUUUUUUUUUACAAAUGCUGAAACAAUUUAAAUUGAGUGGCUUUUUCUCUACAGUACAGGACUUGGCAAAAAUGUCCAUAUUUUAGAAUUAUUUCAAUCACUCCAUUGCUGUCAGUUGUGAUGUAGAGUUAUAAAGGACAUCAUCUUAGAGGACAUGUGCAGACAUUCUCUCAUUUUUAGGUUAGGAAAGGUUAAUCCAUCAUGCAUGACCUCUAUUAACAUGAGAUAUAGUAUAUUUUUAUAGAAAAUGUGAAUAGGUUCGUUUGCCAGAAUGUCUGUACAUAAACCUUAUACUACACAGAGUAAUGAAUAAAGCUAUUUUUGAGCUGGCUAUAUUAGGGUUUAAAGGGGCAAUGGUGUAACUCAACACAUAUCACAUUGCCCAUUGACAUCCUUUAUUUGAUAUUUUAUGAAUUACAAUCAUUUCUAGAAUACAUUCAAAACAAGUAUAUUGGUGACAUCGCCAACUUAACUCAAAUGGGGCAAAUUUGUUUGGUGGGUUCACCAUUUACAAAGUAAACUUCAUAAGAUACUCUUAUGUUCUUAUGAAAUAUAGAUGAUUCUUGAGAUAAACAUAGGGUAAAAAUACAGCCUUUAGUUGGCCUCUUUGUCAUCAUCCUUGUUCUCUGUCAACACCAGGUAAGGGUCUAUUUAAAUAUUAGAUUUUAAAAACUAAUUUGAAUGAAUAUACAUUGGUGUAAAUUGUAUAGCUUUAUAUUUUUGUAUGUUUUUUUUGGAGGGGGGCUUUUACAUAGGAAAAUCAACAUAAUACAGCAAUAACAUGAAAAUGACAUGAGGCACAUUUUAAGACAGAAAGUCUACAAGUGUUAUUACUUAGAGCUGUAGGUGCUUCACUAAACAGUCAAUAUAUAUCUACUUGAAAAUAUAAAAUUAUGCAUAGCAUACUCAAGCAAUAUAACCUAGUUUAAGAAAAUAUAACGAGUUGACCCAGCAGAGUUGGCCUAGGAGAAGUGAAUGCAGACAUAAUAGAGGGCUUUUAUAUGAGAAUAACCAAUUUAUUUUCAAGCAAAAAUAGGUGUAUACAUACAAAUAUAGAAGCUCUACAUGGCCUAUCUGUCACAGAGUGAAAGGGCCAGCCCUCAAAUGGUUGUUUAACCCACAGAUCCCAGAUUGACAAGUAUUUUCUAUAUUUCUUCUCUAAUAAUCAUUUAAAUUCUUCUAGUUUUCUGAAGCUUACCAAUUUUUAGAGUUGGAAGGUGUGACAAAAUACUGCAUUUUAUUGUCCCAGUUAAUUCCCCUGUGUUCGGUAGGUGCAUCUACCGAACACCGACCACUCCUUGACUCAUUGAACUUCAAAGAAACCACAAACGUAAGUGCUCUCCCUAUGGAGCAUACUCAUGCAGUCUUACUGUUCAAUUAUCUGCAAUGUUGGAGUUAAAGAAACAAUUUAGGGUCAGGAACACAAACAUGUUAAAUUUACUAUUUAGACCCACCACCCCUCGCACUCCUAAAUAUAGUAAAAUCUUACCCUAUUUUCAUUCUACCAGCACUGGCUCUUCCCCCAAUCAGCCUUGUUGGCUGACAUAAUCACAAGUGAUGAUAGGAAAGCAUUGGCUGAGAUUGUGAAGGAGACAAGGCUGGAGCCAAAUGUCAGCUUGGCCAAUCAGCAUUUCCUCAUAGAGAUGCAUUAAAUCAAUGCAUCUCUAUGGGGAAAGUUCAGUGAUAUUGAAGAUCAGUACCACAGGAAGCACCUCCUGUGGCCUUCUGAGGAGUAAACACUGGAGGUGUUCCUAGGGAGCAGUGUAAACACUGUCUUUUUUCUGAAAAGGCAGUGUUUGCAACUAUAUACCUUCAGGGACUGACUGUACUCACCAGAACAAUUACAUUAAGCUGUAGUUGUUUUAGUGACUGUAGUGUCCCUUUAAAUAACUUUUUUCUUUUUAUGCAGUCCUAGCCACAAACAUGCUGUCUGUGACUCACACCACCAGUGUGAAAAAAUCCAAUGUUAACUUGACUGCUCAGUAAAUUCUAAUUAAAACAGAAUAUGCAAUAAUAGAAGUUUAAACAUUAGAUCUCUCUUUACAGGAUUUGUUUAGACAAGCUUUGUUAGUCAAAUGCAGGAGGUGUGACUAGGGUUGCUUAAACAAAAUUAUUUAUUUCCUAAAUGGCAGAGUAUUGAUCAAUGAGACUGCAGGGGCAUGAACUAUACACUAAAACUGCUUCAUUAAGCUAAAAUGUUUUGGUGCCUGUAGUUUCUCUUUAAGUUGUGAAUAAGCCGAUCGGUCUAUAGACAUUAUCUAUAGACAUUAAAUAUAUGCCCAGAUUAGGAGUGAGUAGUAAUAGAAAGAACAGAUGUGUUUGAGAAUUUUGGAUAACAUUGCAUGUCAGUUGAUCUUGGAAAAAAGAGCCCAUGCCACAAACAGGAUUAUGGGUUACUGGACAUAAAAGGGAGAUGGCAGAUAAGAAAUCAAAACCACCCCAUAUCACCCGUCAAAACAUCAAAGUGGAGUGAUUGUGGGAUGGGGUGGUGUUUAUUAGACAUGUGCAUGGGAACAAAAAUGUUUCAGUUUUAGUAAUUCCAAAAUUUGUUUCAGUGAAAUUCAGAAAUUUAGCAAUUUGGAAUGAACCAAAAUUAAUCUGAGAAUUUUCAGAAACAUCCAAAAUUCAGACAUUGGCUAUUCCCUAUAUAGUAGAUAUAUCCCCAAAUUUAGUACCCUUAUAUGUGAUGCCCUUUUGAGGAUACCUCAUUUUAUAUUCUUUGUAGGACAAUCCAACAUAAUGGUUAGGGGUAUUGGAUAUCUAUAAAACAGAAACAUAGAAUGUUAAUGCAGAUAAGAACCAUUUGGCCCAUCUAGUCUGCCCAGUUUUCUUAAGUUUUCUUAUCUUAAGUUUAGUAUAGCAUUAUGCCUACCCCACACAUGCUUAAACUACCUCACUGUGUUAACCUCCCUCACUGUGUUAACCUCUACCACGUCAACAGGAAGGCUAUACAACAGGACCCUAAGAAGAGCAAAAUUAAUUUCAUUUGCUGUUUCCGUUGCUUAGUAGAUGUGUUCAUAAUUUGAUAUCCUUAUUGAUCUGAACAUUUUUGGACUCAUUAAUUUUCAUAUGUUCUUCUGUUUCAUAUCCUAUGGGGACAAUCAAUUUCAAGGACUUUUAACAGAAACUAAUUAUUAAUGGAUACUUGGAGACUGUCACUCAUCAGAAAAAAUAUCCUGGUGUAUUAUUAAUUGUUCUGUGACAUAACCUCUAUAUUCUCCUACUGGCUUCUGUAUGUAUAGAUUGUUUUUCCACAUUAAGUGUUUGCAACCUUUUUUUCUGAUACUAUCUAUUAUCAUAAUGUAUUUUGUGGUAUAUUGCUUAAGGUCAUUUAGUCCAGCUGUCUUGCUUUUUGGAUAUAGGUUAUUAUGCAGAAAUUCAGUAGGUAAAGACCAUAUACUUUUUCUUAGCAAUACAAAUUUUUGCAGCUGUCCAGAUUCGGAUAAUACAUUUAAGUGACUAACACUACAUUGAGAAAUGUGUUUGUGUUUAAUUUUUUUUUUUUUUUUUAAACAGAUCUGGACUGGUUAUAGCAAGGAGCCUCAUAAUUUGCAGAGUCUGUAUUGUUGAAAUUGUUUCUAAAUAUUUUAAAGGAGGAGAGAAGAACAUCCAAACCAGUGCUAGACCAAUGCCAGUGCUAGAUUUGCCACUAGUUGUUUAAGAGUUGUGAAAACAUUUGUUUUGGACCGUUUGUCUAAAUCAAAUGUCUUUGAAUCCACACCUGGAUGAAUCAAUGAUCCAGGAUUUACCUGUGGAGUCUUAGUCAUUGAAUAAAGCUCCACAGGUAAAUGCCAGAUCAUCAAUUCGUCCAUGCAUUUGAUCUAGAUAAACUGUCCAAAACAAAAUUUUGGCCUAGUCUACUGUUUAUUUCUGUGUGCAGGGAUAAAAAUUAGACUGCUCCUAGCCUACACAGUUAUGAUAUAAAGUGAAAGUUCUACAUAAACUUUAAUUUGUAGGCCAAGGUAUCCAACCUGGAAACAUAUCAAACUUUGAGAAUUUUUUAAGAUUAGUUAUUUAGGCCUUAAAUUUGAAAUGCACUCUGAAUUUUAUUUGGAUUUCCAAGAUCUCUCGUGUAAAGGAACACUAUAGGGUCAGAAUUACAAAGGUGUAUUCCUGACCCUGUAGUGUUAAAAACACUAUUUAGGUUGCUGACACUCCCCUCCUCACCUCCUGUAUUCCAGUGCUGCAUGGGUCUGCUGUCCCUGGCUCCGCCCCAAACCAUCCUCUUGGCUGAGGAUAAUUGACAAUCUCAGCCAAUGCAAUGCUUUGCCAUAUGUUGGAGCCAAAUGCCACUCUGACCAAUCAUCAUAUCUUAUAGACAUGCAUGGAGAUACUUAACAUAGCAUGGAGAUACUAUGCAGCAGUGCCCCAGGAAGCACCUCUGAGUGACCGCCACUGUAGGUGUCCCUAGGCAACAAUGUAAACACUGCAUUUGCUCUGAAAAUACAGUUUUUAUAUAAAAAUGCGAAAAGGGACUAAUUCUACUUACCAAAACAACUGUAGGUGUGCUGGUGACUAUAGUGUCCCUUUCAGUAAAUACAUCUUUAUGCAUACUUAUCUGAAAAUAACAUUAAAUAUAGAAAUGUACUCCUCUAUUCAGCAACUGCACACCUCCACCUUUCUGUCAUUCUUGGCUAUAUGUUCUUUACGUUGCAGUCCACUUAGAAUAAAAUGUACAAAGAAGAGGAGAAAUUAAACAAUGCUUCUCUUUUCACGUCAUUUGUAAUGUUUGCCAAAGAAUUAUGCAAUAUCUCCAUAACAGUGAGUGAAUAUAAAAAAGAAUGAGUACCGAAGUGCCGGCAUAUUUAAUUUAAAAAUGGACAAAAUAGAAGAGAAGAACAAUCAAAUUCAUAGACAUACCAGGUUCAAAUUAAUGGAGUAUCUACGUAAUGAUGAGUACUGCAAGAAUACCUUAUUUUUACUUUAGUAAAAUUUUCCAUAGAUUAAUGCAGUUAAACAUAUUGAAAUAGGACCAAGUUUUGGAUGUAACUUUUUUUAUAAUAAGAGGAACAGUAUCUCCUCAUUUACAACCUGCACACAGUCAAGUCAGAGUUUAUAAACACACCCAAAGCAUCUCAUAUUCUUGAUGUCUUCUUGAUCACAGAAGUGCCAUGGAGAUAGAUACAUUUACGCAUCUUCAGAGAGGCCAAAGGAGGGGCCUAAACAUUGGUCACUAAUGUAAUCCUCAAGUUUGAAAAUAAAUUCUUGAAAAAAAGCGAAGGAUUUAUCUCGAUUAGAAAGACCUAAGAGUGCUCCUAAUUUUAUUUGCAGAGAUAUAUAAAGAUCUAUAACAAUAUUUCUCAUUUUCCACUGAAUUGAGAUUAGUUUGUCUCCGUGUCACAGAAAGUGGUGAAAUUAAUAACUAAGCUUCUUAUAGCAAAGACAAGUAGUAGAUAUGAUGUGAAGUCAAUAUUUAUUAAUAUUGCAUAUGAUAUUUUAUUUAACAAUGUGUAUUGCAAACUCAUGAUUUCUGUUCAGUCUUUUUUAUAGUUGGUGAAGCUUAGCAUGCCAUAAAGAGUUGCUACAGAAUCUAUCUUAAAAGGUAAAUAAACUAGUAGAUGUUCAAUAAUGUGAUCUAUUGAAGAUCUUUAUUGGACACCAGAAACAUUAUUAAUUAACCCCUCACAAAUAGAUAUACUUUUCAGCUUGUAAUAUACCUCUUAAUAAUUAACUCUGUUUAAUUAAAAUGUAAGUUUUACAAAAAAUGUUUAUGUAUUUUCUGCCUAUGCUGAAGUACAUGUUCCCCCCUCCCCUCCACAUAAAGACUGAAACAUAUGCACAGUCAAAGAGACAUCUCCUUUAGUAGUCAAUGAGUAUCUAUUGUCCCUGUCCCUUAAAUCUUGUAUUUCGUGUUUUUUAUUUUUUUUCUGUUUUUCAUUAGAAUUUUUAAAAUAUAUAUUAUAUAAACUAUUACACCAAUAAUUUAAUAAAAUAUGCUUGCAUUUGUACUACUGUUACUUAAUGCAUACAACAUUUGAAUUUACUAACUAAAUAGUUUUACAUGACAAAGAAAGUACAUAAAAUAUGAAUAAAACACAAAGAAAAUGCAUUUGAAAAAUGUGAAUACACUAUAUACUAUAUACUUUACACUUAAGACUGUCUUGUCAUGUCCAGGUGGUUUAAAAACUUAAAGCACUUCAGCUGCUAAAGUGUGAAUGUUAGAAGCGUUUAUGUGUGAAGAGCGUGUCCUCAUUUUUUUGUUUUGUUUUUCUACAAAACCAAAUUUGCAAGCUGUUUUUAUACCCCCAAUGAGGUAAAAAAAAAUGUGUAAUUAAAUACAUGCAUGUUUUCAUUUCUGGUAUGCAUGCUAAAUGAUGAUUUAAUUAUUUUUCAUUGAGGCAGUGAAGUGUCAUUUUUAACAUAUUUUUUUGUGGCAUAAAACAUUUAGCAUAUGGAUAAAAGGUAAGGCACUGGAAUAAAUAUUCAGUGUCUUAAAACUCCAUAAGCUUAUAGUUAAAUAUAUCUGCAUCAUAUUUUCAUUCUUUUUAAGCAAUAUUAACCUUGUUCAACAUGCAUUUAGAUAUUUUUUUGUUUAAAUAUCUUAAUUUGUGACUUUGUUCAACUUUUUUUUCCAAAUGUCAUUUAUUUUAGUUGAAUCCUAAAAAUGCAAGUACACUGUCUUCAGCAUUAUUACCACUUAAACUGCUUCAUGAAAAAUGUCUAUUUUUUUCCAGUUCCGUUUGGAACAUGAGAAGUAAAAAAUAACAUACACAUACAUAUAAAUGCAUCUGUGUGUAUGUGUAGUGACAGACAAAACCUAGUGAAAGCAAAACACUUGGGAUCUAGAACUCUACACAUUCUGAAACCUUUAGAGUAGUUAAGUCAUGACAUUACAUUUCCAAGCAGGCAACACAUCAGGUCUAACAAACAAAAACCUGUAUUUAAAAGUUUAAAAGGUCAGAAAGAGAAUUAAUUUCUCAAAGACAUCCUAUAAAUGCUGAUAUAAAGAUACAUGUUUUGCACAUUCCUUUUUGUAUGCCCUUAUCCUCUUUAUAUGCCAUUGAACCUUCAUUCAAUGAUGUAAAAGUAAAUGCUGUGCUAUAUUGAAAUAUAUUGUAUUUCAUCUUUAAAAACAUAUUUGUAAUCUAAAAAUAAAUUAGCACAUGCAUAAAAUUAUAUUUCUUGGGGUGACAAAAUGUUCUCAGGUGUCUGAUUUAUUGCAGAAAAUAUUUUCCUUAAUGUAGUCUAUAAAAUAUAUACUGUUUUUUGUUGUUGCUUUAAAAAAACAAACAAAAAAAACCAUUUUAUUGACUACCACUCACCUUCCAGACAUGUUUUUAUAAGAGCCAAGAUUAACCUUCUUUUAGAUUUUCUUUCGGAUCCCUUAUGCCAUCAUUGUUUUUUUGUUUUUUUUAGAAAUAUAUCCCAGACUUAAGAGUUAAGCACAUGUAGCAUCUAAAAAGUUUGACAGUUUUGAACUACAGAUUUUAAAAAAUGUUUUAAAAAAAUGAAAACAAGAGCUCGAAGAGUCUUAAUGGUCAACCAAAUUCACUGACAACAAAUAGCUGCACUUGCAGAACAGGAACGGUGGUCCUCUAUUGGACAACCAAUAUUAAGUACCCUUUUUUAUGUCAUCAAGUAAAUAAAAAAUUAUAUUAAUUUUGAGUGCCAGCUUUGUGGUCUUUGACUAUUUUUAUAACAUCUUAUUUUUGCAUUGUUUGUUGAUUUUACAUUAUGCUUGAAAUGUACAUUAAUCUUGGGCAAAACUGUUUUAUGCAAAAUGCGAUUUUCACCAUCACAUUGAGAUAUAAGUAAAUACAUUCUUGUAAUUAGAAUUUAAUUUAUUAUUUUUUACAGAAGUAGUGUGGGAUAUUUUUAUUUACUUGUAUUUUUAUCUGUAUAAUAAAAUUGUAUCCCUAAAAUAAAAAAAAAAUAUAUGGCAAGAUCUGAAGUUAUAAAAUAGCAGCAAGAUUAAAAUACAAAUAGAAAACAGAGAUAAAAAAUGGCGCUAAAAGUAAUUAUAAUAUAUAGAAUAUCAUAUAUAGAGAACCAGUGCAGCACACAUAGAUAACCACCCAAGUGUAUAGUCACUGUAUAACACUUACAUACAAGGAUAAAAUGAAAGAGGACGGUGAUUGCGCACACAGUAAAUGAUAUCCUUAGUCUAGGAUGAAGUCCCUAGGUUCUGUAAACAUAAAAAAACAUCAUAGGGCAAUAUAUCUUAGACUUAAAUAAAGUGUAGGAAAAACUUGGAAAACUCACAAUAUUUAGAGCCUUUCUGAGUUGGCUCUAAACUUUUAAAGCAGGUUUAUCAAUCUGGUGCAGAUAACGUAGUAUAGAUCCCUUGGCAACCAUCAAACGUCUUCUUUAUAUAGAAGUCAGGAACCAGGAUGACCAGAUAGAUGAAAAGUAAAUACUUUAAUUGUAAAACAAAUAAAAAUAUAGCACAACGCGUUUCGACCUAGUGCAAUAGGUCUUCCUCAGGUGCAUAACAUAAGACAGUCAAACAACAUUCUUAUAUACCAUACAUAAUAAGUAUAAUUACUGAUAAAUAAAUAAAUGGAGGAGGCAUAUAAAGGUUGUUUCUCGCCGGAAACACUCCAUAUAUGGAGUUAAGGACGGACUUUACAGCUGUGAACGUUUUAUCAGUAAUUAUACUUAUUAUGUAUGGUAUAUAAGAAUGUUGUUUGACUGUCUUAUGUUAUGCACCUGAGGAAGACCUAUUGCACUAGGUCGAAACGCAUUGUGCUAUAUUUUUAUUUGUUUUACAAUUAAAGUAUUUACUUUUCAUCUAUCUGGUCAUCCUGGUUCCUGACUUCUAUAUAAAGAAGACGUUUGAUGGUUGCCAAGGGAUCUAUACUACGUUAUCUGCACCAGAUUGAUAAACCUGCUUUAAAAGUUUAGAGCCAACUCAGAAAGGCUCUAAAUAUUGUGAGUUUUCCAAGUUUUUCCUACACUUUAUUUAAGUCUAAGAUAUAUUGCCCUAUGAUGGUUUUUUAUGUUUACAGAACCUAGGGACUUCAUCCUAGACUAAGGAUAUCAUUUACUGUGUGCGCAAUCACCGUCCUCUUUCAUUUUAGCAAGAUUAAAAUGAGAAGAUUUCUUUGUCCUUGUGUAUUUAGAAUUAACUGAUUAAAACAUUUCAUUUUUAAUAGUAAAAACAAAGAAAACGUUACCUGCGCUCUGGCCUAAAUCCCCAUGUGCAUUUAAACAAAAAUGGAGGCUCUUUAGUUUUAUUCUAAUGGCCAUUUGAAUAUAUAAGCUCACCAGCCACGUCAAGGCAAGCCUCAAUAGGUGAGUUCCUACACUAGCCAUUAGAUAUGCUGAUAUCAGCCAAGAGUGUCCAGUGAGACAGGAAGGGGUAUUUUAUAAACCUUUUAACAUUUAACCCUUUAUAGGGCUUCUGCACAUACAAUACACUUUGCUGAUAUCAGACAAAGUGAGACAGAAAGGGGUGUUUUAUAAACCCUUUAACAUUUAACCCUUUAUAGGGCUUCUACACAUUCAAUAAACUUUGCUGUUAUCAGACAAAGUAUAGACGUCUCUAAUGAGACAUGAAAGGGUGUUUUAUAAACCCCUACAUACUUUAUCCUGAAUAGGGCUAUAACAUACAAAUCACCUUGCUGGUAUCAGCUAAAAGGCAAAUUUCUCUGAUGAGACAGGAAGGGGUGCUGCCCCUACAUACUUAUAAAGUCUUAAUAAGACUGGACCCCAGGGAAAAGUCCACGCCAGCACUCCAGGUAGGAGGCUGGGUGGACAUUUUUUUAAAAUUAACAUGUAAUAAUUUGUUCUUGUGUGUGUCUGUGUGUGUGUGAGUGAGUGUGAGUGAGUGUGUGUCUGUGUGUGUCUGUGAAUGUAUGUGUGUGAGUGUCUAUGUGUGUGUCUGUGAGUGUGUGUGUGUGUGUGUAUGUAUGUGUGUAUGUGUGUGUGUGUGUGUGUCUGUGAGUGUAUGUAUGUGUGUGUGUGUAUAUAUAUAUAUAUAUAUACACACACACACGCAGAGCCGGCGCUAUCUGAGUGCCGGCUCUGCUCUAAGCCUCCAUGGGCCGGCGGGGAGACCAAAGAUCUACCUCACUGGCCCACAGCAGCAUGGAAGGAGGCAGGAGAGGACCCAGGGAGCUCUAGACAGAAGCUCCGCCAGGUUCCUCUCGCGAUAUCUGAGUGUUGCUGCGGCAACGCUCAGAUCUCGCGAAAGUUAACUCUAACCCCGCAGGCUAGAGUUCACUCUCCACUGGACCACCAUGGAUGGCACAUGGCAGCAAGGAUUUACUAAUCUGCCAAAUCCCUCCAAACAUACAGCACACACACAUACAGCACCUACACACAUACAGCUCACACACACACAGUACACUAACCGCACCCUCACAAACACACACAGCACCUUUAAAAAAAACACAACACCCUCACACACAGCACACUAACAGCACCCUCACGAACACACACACACACACACACACACACAAACAGCACCCUCACAAAUACACGACACUCACACAAACAGCACCCUCACAGGACAAACAUACACACACAGACAGCACAGUCACAAACACACACACACACACACACACACAAACACCCUCACAUCACACUAACAACACUAAAAAAGAAGAAUAAAAAAAAAAAAGAGAUUCUUGAUUCCUGGCAGCAAGAAUACUAUCCUCCAAUAAGGAACCUAUAUUCUACUUCAUGCCAUACCAGGGAUCGCUGGCAGUAAAAGGUUAAGAUUGUUUGUGCUCCCAGCCAAUCACUGUCCCAUUUCCUGGUAUAGAAUAGUAGGAUGCAAGGUGGAAGUAUAUCUCUACCUCUGCCAUAUUGCCAUAGGAAACCAUGAUGGCUCUGGACAAACUUCAUAGGAGACAUGAGUAAUAAAGGGACUGACAUUUAACCUCUUAACACAUAUACACAGACUCAUUGAUAAAAGGACAAAACAUUGAUCAUGAUGUAAAAAUCAAUUUUUACAAGAAAGUGAUUAGUGAUUUGAGAGUUUUAAAUUUGCACAAGGCUUUUCUCAUCUAUAGUAUAUAUUUAUAUAUAUCCAUGCAGUCAAUAAAAUGCUGUACAUUUUCUUUUUCUCUCUGCCAAUAAUAGUUUACAGGAUGUUUGCAGCAUUGUCUGUUACAGUGACAAUUGCAGAAAAAGCUUGCAGCGUGUACAGUGAUUAUUGGGAAUGUGAAUCAAAUUAUAGCCAAAACAUAAUAUUCUUAAAGGCUUCUUAUAGUAGAAAUGACUAUAUAGAAAGUUCUAUGCAGAAAUAACAGAAGCUUAGAGAUAAUUCUUGAAAUGUAUGGCUUUAUAUCUUUAUAAUGUGUGCAAAAUAUAAAAUGUUCAAUUCCAUAAUAAAUAUUUAAAAUAUUGUUGGAANNNNNNNNNNNNNNNNNNNNNNNNNNNNNNNNNNNNNNNNNNNNNNNNNNNNNNNNNNNNNNNNNNNNNNNNNNNNNNNNNNNNNNNNNNNNNNNNNNNNGGAAUACAAAUGUGUAUUCCUGACCCUGUAGUGUUAAAAACACUAUUUAGGUUGCCACCACUCCCCUCCUCACCUCCUGUAUUCCAGUGCUGCAUGGAUCUGCUGUCCCUGGCUCCACCCCAAACAUCAUCUUGGCUGAGGAUAAUUGACAAUCUCAGCCAAUGCAAUGCUUUGCCAUAUGUUGGAGCCAAAUGCCACUCUGACCAAUCAGCAUAUCUUAUAGACAUGCAUGGAGAUACUUAACAUAGCAUGGAGAUACUAUGCAGCAGUGCCCCAGGAAGCACCUCUGAGUGACCGCCACUGUAGGUGUCCCUAGGCAACAAUGUAAACACUGCAUUUGCUCUGAAAAUACAGUGUUUAUAUAAAAAUGCGAAAAGGGACUAAUUCUACUUACCAAAACAACUGUAGGUGUGCUGGUGACUAUAGUGUCCCUUUCAGUAAAUACAUCUUUAUGCAUACUUAUCUGAAAAUAACAUUAAAUAUAGAAAUGUACUCCUCUAUUCAGCAACUGCACACCUCCACCUUUCUGUCAUUCUUGGCUAUAUGUUCUUUACGUUGCAGUCCACUUAGAAUAAAAUGUACAAAGAAGAGGAGAAAUUAAACAAUGCUUCUCUUUUCACGUCAUUUGUAAUGUUUGCCAAAGAAUUAUGCAACAUCUCCAUAACAGUGAGUGAAUAUAAAAAAGAAUGAGUACCGAAGUGCCGGCAUAUUUAAUUUAAAAAUGGACAAAAUAGAAGAGAAGAACAAUCAAAUUCAUAGACAUACCAGGUUCAAAUUAAUGGAGUAUCUACGUAAUGAUGAGUACUGCAAGAAUACCUUAUUUUUACUUUAGUAAAAUUUUCCAUAGAUUAAUGCAGUUAAACAUAUUGAAAUAGGACCAAGUUUUGGAUGUAACUUUUUUUAUAAUAAGAGGAACAGUAUCUCCUCAUUUACAACCUGCACACAUUCAAGUCAGAGUUUAUAAACACACCCAAAGCAUCUCAUAUUCUUGAUGUCUUCUUGAUUACAGAAGUGCCAUGGAGAUACUUUACGCAUCUUCAGAGAGGCCAAAGGAGGGGCCUAAACAUUGGUGACAAAUGUAAUCCUCAAGUUUGAAAAUAAAUUCUUGAAAAAAAGCGAAGGAUUUAUCUCGAUUAGAAAGACCUAAGAGUGCUCCUAAUUUUAUUUGCAGAGAUAUAUAAAGAUCUAUAACAAUAUUUCUCAUUUUCCACUGAAUUGAGAUUAGUUUGUCUCCGUGUCACAGAAAGUGGUGAAAUUAAUAACUAAGCUUCUUAUAGCAAAGACAAGUAGUAGAUAUGAUGUGAAGUCAAUAUUUAUUAAUAUUGCAUAUGAUAUUUUAUUUAACAAUGUGUAUUGCAAACUCAUGAUUUCUGUUCAGUCUUUUUUAUAGUUGGUGAAGCUUAGCAUGCCAUAAAGAGUUGCUACAGAAUCUAUCUUAAAAGGUAAAUAAACUAGUAGAUGUUCAAUAAUGUGAUCUAUUGAAGAUCUUUAUUGGACACCAGAAACAUUAUUAAUUAACCCCUCACAAAUAGAUAUACUUUUCAGCUUGUAAUAUACCUCUUAAUAAUUAACUCUGUUUAAUUAAAAUGUAAGUUUUACAAAAAAUGUUUAUGUAUUUUCUGCUGAAGUACAUGUUCCCUGAAAUUGGAGCUACUGUGGGAUGUAGCCCCCCUCCCCUCCACAUAAAGACUAAAACAUAUGCACAGUCAAAGAGACAUCUCCUUUAGUAGUCACUGAGUAUCUAUUGUCCCUGUCCCUUAAAUCUUGUAUUUCGUGUUUUUUAUUAUUUAUUUUCUGUUUUUCAUUAGAAUUUUUAAAAUAUAUAUUAUAUAAACUAUUACACCAAUAAUUUAAUAAAAUAUGCUUGCAUUUGUACUACUGUUAAUGCAUACAACAUUUGAAUUUACUAACUAAAUAGUUUUACAUGACAAAGAAAGUACAUAAAAUAUGAAUAAAACACAAAGAAAAUGCAUUUGAAAAAUGUGAAUACACUAUAUACUAUAUACUUUACACUUAAGACUGUCUUGUCAUGUCCCGGUGGUUUAAAAACUUAAAGCACUUCAGCUGCUAAAGUGUGAAUGUUAGAAGCGUUUAUGUGUGAAGAGCGUGUCCUCAUUUUUUUGUUUUGUUUUUCUACAAAACCAAAUUUGCAAGCUGUUUUUAUACCCCCAAUGAGUUAAAAAAAAUGUGUAAUUAAAUACAUGCAUGUUUUCAUUUCUGGUAUGCAUGCUAAAUGAUGAUUUAAUUAUUUUUCAUUGAGGCAGUGAAGUGUCAUUUUUAACAUAUUUUUUUGUGGCAUAAAACAUUUAGCAUAUGGAUAAAAGGUAAGGCACUGGAAUAAAUAUUCAGUGUCUUAAAACUCCAUAAGCUUAUAGUUAAAUAUAGCUGCAUCAUAUUUUCAUUCUUUUUAAGCAAUAUUAACCUUGUUCAACAUGCAUUUAGAUAUUUUUUUGUUUAAAUAUCUUAAUUUGUGACUUUGUUCAACUUUUUUUCCAAAUGUCAUUUAUUUUAGUUGAAUCCUAAAAAUGCAAGUACACUGUCUUCAGCACUAUUACCACUUAAACUGCUUCAUGAAAAAUGUCUAUUUUUUUCCAGUUCCGUUUGGAACAUGAGAAGUAAAAAAUAACAUACACAUACAUAUAAAUGCAUCUGUGUGUAUGUGUAGUGACAGACAAAACCUAGUGAAAGCAAAACACUUGGGAUCUAGAACUCUACACAUUCUGAAACCUUUAGAGUAGUUAAGUCAUGACAUUACAUUUCCAAGCAGGCAACACAUCAGGUCUAACAAACAAAAACCUGUAUUUAAAAGUUUAAAAGGUCAGAAAGAGAAUUAAUUUCUCAAAGACAUCCUAUAAAUGCUGAUAUAAAGAUACAUGUUUUGCACAUUCCUUUUUGUAUGCCCUUAUCCUCUUUAUAUGCCAUUGAACCUUCAUUCAAUGAUGUAAAAGUAAAUGCUGUGCUAUAUUGAAAUAUAUUGUAUUUCAUCUUUAAAAACAUAUUUGUAAUCUAAAAAUAAAUUAGCACAUGCAUAAAAUUAUAUUUCUUGGGGUGACAAAAUGUUCUCAGGUGUCUGAUUUAUUGCAGAAAAUAUUUUCCUUAAUGUAGUCUAUAAAAUAUAUACUGUUUUUUGUUGUUGCUUUAAAAAACAAACAAAAAAAAAACAUUUUAUUGACUACCACUCACCUUCCAGACAUGUUUUUAUAAGAGCCAAGAUUAACCUUCUUUUAGAUUUUCUUUCAGAUCCCUUAUGCCAUCAUUGUUUUUUUGUUUUUUUUAGAAAUAUAUCCCAGACUUAAGAGUUAAGCACAUGUAGCAUCUAAAAAGUUUGACAGUUUUGAACUACAGAUUUUAAAAAAUGUUUUAAAAAAAUGAAAACAAGAGCUCGAAGAGUCUUAAUGGUCAACCAAAUUCACUGAGAACAAAUAGCUGCACUUGCAGAACAGGAACGGUGGUCCUCUGUUGGACAACCAAUAUUAAGUACCCUUUUUUAUGUCAUCAAGUAAAUAAAAAAUUAUAUUAAUUUUGAGUGCCAGCUUUGUGGUCUUUGACUAUUUUUAUAGCAUCUUAUUUUUGCAUUGUUUGUUGAUUUUACAUUAUGCUUGAAAUUUGCAUUAAUCUUGGGCAAAACUGUUUUAUGCAAAAUGCGAUUUUCACCAUCACAUUGAGAUAUAAGUAAAUGCAUUCUUGUAAUUAGAAUUUAAUUUAUUAUUUUUUACAGAAGUAGUGUGGGAUAUUUUUAUUUACUUGUAUUUUUAUCUGUAUAAUAAAAUUGUAUCCCUAAAAUAAAAAAAAAAUAUAUGGCAAGAUCUGAAGUUAUAAAAUAGCAGCAAGAUUAAAAUACAAAUAGAAAACAGAGAUAAAAAAUGGCGCUAAAAGUAAUUAUAAUAUAUAGAAUAUCAUAUAUAGAGAACCAGUGCAGCACACAUAGAUAACCACCCAAGUGUAUAGUCACUGUAUAACACUUACAUACAAGGAUAAAAUGAAAGAGGACGGUGAUUGCGCACACAGUAAAUGAUAUCCUUAGUCUAGGAUGAAGUCCCUAGGUUCUGUAAACAUAAAAAAACAUCAUAGGGCAAUAUAUCUUAGACUUAAAUAAAGUGUAGGAAAAACUUGGAAAACUCACAAUAUUUAGAGCCUUUCUGAGUUGGCUCUAAACUUUUAAAGCAGGUUUAUCAAUCUGGUGCAGAUAACGUAGUAUAGAUCCCUUGGCAACCAUCAAACGUCUUCUUUAUAUAGAAGUCAGGAACCAGGAUGACCAGAUAGAUGAAAAGUAAAUACUUUAAUUGUAAAACAAAUAAAAAUAUAGCACAACGCGUUUCGACCUAGUGCAAUAGGUCUUCCUCAGGUGCAUAACAUAAGACAGUCAAACAACAUUCUUAUAUACCAUACAUAAUAAGUAUAAUUACUGAUAAAUAAAUAAAUGGAGGAGGCAUAUAAAGGUUGUUUCUCGCCGGAAACACUCCAUAUAUGGAGUUAAGGACGGACUUUACAGCUGUGAACGUUUUAUCAGUAAUUAUACUUAUUAUGUAUGGUAUAUAAGAAUGUUGUUUGACUGCCUUAUGUUAUGCACCUGAGGAAGACCUAUUGCACUAGGUCGAAAUGCGUUGUGCUAUAUUUUUAUUUGUUUUACAAUUAAAGUAUUUACUUUUCAUCUAUCUGGUCAUCCUGGUUCCUGACUUCUAUAUAAAGAAGACGUUUGAUGGUUGCCAAGGGAUCUAUACUACGUUAUCUGCACCAGAUUGAUAAACCUGCUUUAAAAGUUUAGAGCCAACUCAGAAAGGCUCUAAAUAUUGUGAGUUUUCCAAGUUUUUCCUACACUUUAUUUAAGUCUAAGAUAUAUUGCCCUAUGAUGGUUUUUUAUGUUUACAGAACCUAGGGACUUCAUCCUAGACUAAGGAUAUCAUUUACUGUGUGCGCAAUCACCGUCCUCUUUCAUUUUAGCAAGAUUAAAAUGAGAAGAUUUCUUUGUCCUUGUGUAUUUAGAAUCAUUUUUAAUAGUAAAAACAAAGAAAACGUUACCUGCGCUCUGGCCUAAAUCCCCAUGUGCAUUUAAACAAAAAUGGAGGCUCUUUAGUUUUAUUCUAAUGGCCAUUUGAAUAUAUAAGCUCACCAGCCACGUCAAGGCAAGCCUCAAUAGGUGAGUUCCUACACUAGCCAUUAGAUAUGCUGAUAUCAGCCAAGAGUGUCCAGUGAGACAGGAAGGGGUAUUUUAUAAACCUUUUAACAUUUAACCCUUUAUAGGGCUUCUGCACAUACAAUAAACUUUGCUGAUAUCAGACAAAGUGAGACAGAAAGGGGUGUUUUAUAAACCCUUUAACAUUUAACCCUUUAUAGGGCUUCUACACAUUCAAUAAACUUUGCUGGUAUCAGACAAAGUAUAGACGUCUCUAAUGAGACAUGAAAGGGUGUUUUAUAAACCCCUACAUACUUUAUCCUGAAUAGGGCUAUAACAUACAAAUCACCUUGCUGGUAUCAGCUAAAAGGCAAAUUUCUCUGAUGAGACAGGAAGGGGUGCUGCCCCUACAUACUUAUAAAGUCUUAAUAAGACUGGACCCCAGGGAAAAGUCCACGCCAGCACUCCAGGUAGGAGGCUGGGUGGACAUUUUUUUAAAAUUAACAUGUAAUAAUUUGUUCUUGUGUGUGUCUGUGUGUGUGUGAGUGAGUGUGUGUCUGUGUGUGUCUGUGUGUGUCUGUGUGUGUCUGUGUGUGUCUGUGUGUGUCUGUGAAUGUAUGUGUGUGAGUGUCUAUGUGUGUGUCUGUGAGUGUGUAUGUAUGUGUGUGUGUGUGUGUGAAUGUGUGUGUCUGUGAGUGUAUGUGUGUGUGUGUGUCUGUGAGUGUAUGUAUGUGUGUGUGUGUAAUAUAUAUAUAUAUAUAUAUAUAUAUAUAUAUAUAUAUAUAUAUAUAUAUAUUACACACACACACGCAGAGCCGGCGCUAUCUGAGUGCCGGCUCUGCUCUAAGCCUCCAUGGGCCGGCGGGGAGACCAAAGAUCUACCUCACUGGCCCACAGCAGCAUGGAAGGAGGCAGGAGAGGACCCAGGGAGCUCUAGACAGAAGCUCCGCCAGGUUCCUCUCGCGAUAUCUGAGUGUUGCUGCGGCAACGCUCAGAUCUCGCGAAAGUUAACUCUAACCCCGCAGGCUAGAGUUCACUCUCCACUGGACCACCAUGGAUGGCACAUGGCAGCAAGGAUUUACUAAUCUGCCAAAUCCCUCCAAACAUACAGCACACACACAUACAGCACCUACACACAUACAGCUCACACACACACAGUACACUAACCGCACCCUCACAAACACACACAGCACCUUUAAAAAAAACACAACACCCUCACACACAGCACACUAACAGCACCCUCACGAACACACACACACACACACACACAAACAGCACCCUCACAAAUACACGACACUCACACAAACAGCACCCUCACAGGACAAACAUACACACACAGACAGCACAGUCACAAACACACACACACACACACACACACAAACACCCUCACAUCACACUAACAACACUAAAAAAGAAGAAUAAAAAAAAAAAAGAGAUUCUUGAUUCCUGGCAGCAAGAAUACUAUCCUCCAAUAAGGAACCUAUAUUCUACUUCAUGCCAUACCAGGGAUCGCUGGCAGUAAAAGGUUAAGAUUGUUUGUGCUCCCAGCCAAUCACUGUCCCAUUUCCUGGUAUAGAAUAGUAGGAUGCAAGGUGGAAGUAUAUCUCUACCUCUGCCAUAUUGCCAUAGGAAACCAUGAUGGCUCUGGACAAACUUCAUAGGAGGCAUGAGUAAUAAAGGGACUGACAUUUAACCUCUUAACACAUAUACACAGACUCAUUGAUAAAAGGACAAAACAUUGAUCAUGAUGUAAAAAUCAAUUUUUACAAGAAAGUGAUUAGUGAUUUGAGAGUUUUAAAUUUGCACAAGGCUUUUCUCAUCUAUAGUAUAUAUUUAUAUAUAUCCAUGCAGUCAAUAAAAUGCUGUACAUUUUCUUUUUCUCUCUGCCAAUAAUAGUUUACAGGAUGUUUGCAGCAUUGUCUGUUACAGUGACAAUUGCAGAAAAGCUUGCAGCGUGUACAGUGAUUAUUGGGAAUGUGAAUCAAAUUAUAGCCAAAACAUAAUAUUCUUAAAGGCUUCUUAUAGUAGAAAUGACUAUAUAGAAAGUUCUAUGCAGAAAUAACAGAAGCUUAGAGAUAAUUCUUGAAAUGUAUGGCUUUAUAUCUUUAUAAUGUGUGCAAAAUAUAAAAUGUUCAAUUCCAUAAUAAAUAUUUAAAAUAUUGUUGGAAUAAAAUGAAGAUUUGGGUUUGAUAAUAGGUAAAUGAAUCUCAGUCAGAGAUAGAUCACUUAGUACCAGGUGUAGAUGUCUAUGUUGGCAACUAACUUGAAUUUAUUUUUUAUAAUUUUUAUUUUGUCACUCCACAACCCCAAGUCUUUUUGUAUGUAAGGUAGGCAAUAGAUCGUUCAUUCAUAAAUAUGCACAUUCAUGUAUGUGCAUAUAUUGUUAAACACACAAACAAAAGUGCAUUAACACAAUCAUUUACUCACCUUCUCUCUAAAUCUCUCACACAUGUACAUGCUUGAUAUUUGAUUAUUUUUUUUUUCCCUAGUGAGGUCCACCCAGACUCUCUCUUUCAACCUUGAGAGGAAGAGCUGGAGCUAUGCUAAUUGGGUGCUGCUAGGAUAUCUGUGCACACAUCUUGAAUGGCUACCUGGAUGCAAAGAAGCUUUUUAUUGAUGCCAGGAGCAAGUCACAUCCUUGCUCCUGGCAUCAGUACAGCAUAGGCCUCCACAUUGGCAUCCCAUAAAUCGGGUUGCUUUUGGUAGGGGCUAAAUGAGGUAGGACAGUAAUCUGAAUUCUGUCAGUGGCAAUGACUGAAGGAAUGUGAGCCACGUGGGAUGUGGGACAGUACAAAAUACUUGUAUGACAGCCUGGCUUAAAUGCACACCAGGCUGUCUGCCAAUCAAGCAGGCCAGCUCACUGAGGGCAUGCCAUGCAGAAAACCCUGUUUGAUAAAAUCUGUUCUGUCCCACUGAAAUCAGGACUUCUUGGAGGCCUUGUAGAGGUACACGAGUUGUGCAACAAAUGCACAGAGCAGUUCCAGCAACUCCCUCUCAGCUGUACAUUCACAUAAUAAGGCACCAACUUAGUUGUACCACUAUUUCAAACAACUGCUCUAUCUAAAUAUUUCUGGCAGGAGGGGAAUGAUCUUUGCUGUCAUCUGAGCAAGAUCAACCUCUGGGUACCCAGUUUGUCCACUAUUGCUCUCAAUAGUGAUAAACGCUAUUUACUUUUAGUGUAAAAAGUAAUCGAUGGUGAGUAAUUAAUAUGCCAAUAGAAUAUAUACCAUAUAUUCAGCUUGACCAUGAUUUAAACAAAAUUAUUUUAUGUAUGAAUAUCCCCACAUAUAUAAUUUAAUCAAGAUAUUAUUUUAAUUUCAGUCAUAGUAGCAUAGCAUACUAGAAUAAAUGAUUUGACCAAGUAGAAGGAAAAUUUUGAUCUUGUGAAUUUUAGGUUUAUGAUAAAAAUUUACAUUCAAAACUCAGUCAAAGUUUCAUUGCUCUUUGCCAUGGCUAUUUUACAAGUAACAAACAAACUAUCCAGCAGAAUCAAAGUAGUUGUUAUGGGCAUAUGAUUUAUUGAUCUCUGAGAAUAUCAAAUAUUACAUUAAUAUGUGAGAUAUACACAUAAUUUUUUUUUUUUUUUUAGAAUAUAUAUAUUUUAAAAUGUAUAUAAUCUAUUAUUCCACAAAACAGGCACACUCUCAGGACUUAAUUAUAGUAAAUGCUUAUGAAAAUAAACACGGUUACAUCCAAUCGAUAUUUGGGCCAUUUUUCAUGUUAACCAAAACUGUGCAACAAUAUCUGUAUAUGUAGGAACAAAGUUAUGAAGUACUCAUCAUUAAGUGAUUCCAUCCAUGCUCUGUGUGUUCCAAUGUAACGGAAGUCCCUCAACAGUGACAUAUGCACACCCACCAUUUGGUUGUUAACAUACAAUAUAUAAUUCGGCAAUUCAGCUAUUCGGACAUUCGGAAGUAUCCAAAUGUCCGAAUUGCCCGAAAUUCGUCCGAAUUCACAUUCGGAACGAAACGAAUUGCACAUGUCUAAUGUUUAGCCAACAAUGUUACACAAUCUGAAUGUUCCAAUUCAAAUUGUAAUGCUUGUGUGAAAUUUUUGAUGUUUUGUGAAAUAUUUUGAUAUUUUGAAUUAUUGUUUCAUUUUUUGAACUCUGAUAUAUUUUCUUCAAUCUAAAAACCAUGUGGAUUGUUGUUUGAGGUGAAACACUUUGUCUUGCACUCAAUACUCUGGUUAAUCAGUAAGUCUCCACUGUUUUAAGGGUGACUGAUGAUGGGUAAGUACAAAUGUAAGUUUUCUAUAGAGGACAGAAACUUGAGAAUCCGUGAGUACCUUAUUUAAAAAUGGUUACUACCUUUUCACCGUAGGCAGAUUUCCCUGUGGUCCAGUGUGCUUUAUCUUUUUGUCCCCAUUUGGAAACAUGAGACUUGUUUGACCUUUUGUUAUUAUUUGUGUCUCUGUUGCAGUGUUGCUUGUGUGUGUAUGUGUGUGUGUAUGGCUAUAUCUAAGACAUCGAAGAUGGUGCAAUUGAAUUACCCGAGGUACCUUUAGUACUUAGAAUUUUUGUGUCUGAUGCCUAUUCCCCAGUACAGGCAUCCACAGCCGAAAAUAAAGGUUUCUUAAUCUGAAGUCUGGGUCCCUGGAUGUUAAAUUCUAGGUUGCUUUCUUUUAUAUAUGUCCACAUUAGUGGUUGGGGCUUUUUCUCUGUCCUCUGUUGUUGCUGUAUAAUACUUUAAUACAUUAUAGUUUACUUUUCUUUACAAAACAAUACCACUGUUAUAACAUAUUUAGAAUUUUACUCCAUUUUUAGAAUAAUGGAAACAAUGUUUUGUAUUCAGGCAAACAAGCAUUUCUUUUGAAGUUUGCUGCUCUUGGCUCAAAGUUGAACUAAGGUAAUUGUUGUAUUAGUUAUGUCUAAAAAAUAACUUGCAGCCCUUUUCUCCCAUCAACUAUAUUGUCAGAUCGAUAUUGAUUCCACAAAUAUGUUCAAAUAUGUGCCAGAUCUCUCCAAUGCUUCCAUCAGUAUAAUGGACAAAGUACAGUUUUAAGCAACUUGAAAUUACUUGGAAGGUCACAAUCAAGACAUCAACAAAGUCUGCUAAAUCACCUUGAAGAAGAACUUUAAAAAAAACACAACAAUCUUGCAUCUGCAAGAUUCAUUUGAUCAUAAAAUGUGUGUUUGUAAUUAAUUAGCAAGCAGGAUUAACAAGAUUUUUUUUAAAUAUAAUGUGAGCUAUCAAAUUGAAAAUCAAAGUAAAGAAUUUUAUUUGUGCUUGAGCUUGUACGUGUUUAUUAGUCCCCAAAUCUCUUGAUUCCUACAUCUAAUUUAUCUUCAUAAAUAUGUUUUCUUUCUCAUGUCAAAUAUACCAAAAACCUGUUGAGUUAUGAUGACACAUGAAUAACAUUUUUGGCGAUAUAGAUAAUCUUGAGCAUAAGAGAAGAAACAGAAUACUAACUUGCUUCAAACAUUUAGCUUAUAAAAUAUAGCAUUUUUCACUAAACCAUAAUCCCCUGGUAAGUUGCUAACAAUUCCCAAAUUUAAAGAUAAAAUGACACAAUAAAAUUCUGUAAAGUCCCAGUUUAAUGAAUACCCUUAGAUAGGGAUAAAUUUUUAAAAGCACACUAGUUGAUUUUAAUUUUAAUGCAUAGCAAUUCCAGGGGACAAAAAAAGUGUUAAUGCAUAAUUAUGCAUUUUUAAUUAUAAUAUUUUCAACAUUCUCCCAAAAGCUCAAAAAUGCAGUUGAUAAUACAUGGGACAAUAUGGAGGGAGACUAGGAGAGGUAGGCACAGAAAUUGUUUGUAAACUAGGAUGACCCGCAGAUCAUAACUUUAGGACAUUGAUAUUUUCCUAUCAAUGGCAUUGAAGAGAAAAAAAAAAUAUUAGCAUUGGCAGGACUGGUUUGCUAACUUGGGUACUGCCUAGCCCACAAGUAUCCCUAAAGGAAAAAAUAGAAAGUUUAUUUUCUAUUCACCUAAAUUCACUUUCUAAAUAAAUAAAUAAAAAAUGGCCUACUUUUUGCUACUUUUUUUUUUUUAAUUGGACAAAUUCAAAUUUACAGACUCACAAGCAAAUAUCCUUACAAUGCCUGCCUACUGCCUCAGUCCUUUGUCAACAGACAUUCCAACACACCACGUGCUAUUGUAAUUUGCAGAAGAAUAAUGUGAGGCUGCAUCCCAGAACCCAUGUGCUAGUGACAUGGGGAAUUAUUGACCCCCGCCUCCCCUUGCCAGCCCUCUAAUGUUAAUGGAAAUGCAGUUGAUUUUAUUGCUGUUGCCCAAGUGUCUUAAAUUUGAAAACCUGUUCUACGUGACAUACACAAUGAAAUACCAGUAAUCGUUAGAUGGUUAAAUACAUUUCGUAAAAGAAUUGCUGUCAGCUGCCAUUUGUAAAAAAAAAUAAAAAUUAUAGUUAAUGUGGAGUAAACCUAAAUUCUACUGUAAACUUAACCUACGCCUAUCCUCUGCCCGGAUCCCCACCUCUGAUGCUUGCCUUCAAGACUUCUCCAGGGCUGCACCUAUUCUGUGGAACUCCCUUCCCUCCUCAAUCAGACUUUCACCCAGCCUACACUCCUUCAAAAAAUCUUUGAAAACUCACUUCUUCAUUAAAGCGUAUCAAUUAAACUGUCAGCAGGUUUCUCAUCCCCCACCCCAUGACUCCUUUCCUGCAACUGUCAAAAAUGACCUACCAAGCACUCAAUAAACCCUUCUCUAACAAACUAUUUAAUUCCCCUACUUUAACCCUUUGUGUCACUAUACCCCACUCCCUCUAGCAUGUAAGCUCAUCAAUCAGGGCCCUCAACCCCCUCUGUUCCUGUAUGUCCAGUGGUCUGAUCUCAAUUAUGUGUCUGUUAGUCCACCUAUUGUACAGCGCUACGGAAUUUGUUGGCGCUAUAUAAAUAAUAUAAUAAUAAUAAACUUUGUCAAAUGGUAUAAGGAUGGAAAUUUCGGUGUGUAUCUAUUUGGAAGAAAUUUCAUAUAGUAUGUAGCUAUUUAAAUGGUAUUUGGGAUUAUGUUUCUUCUCAGCCUGCUAAUCCUGUCUGUCUUUCUUUCUCAUAUAGUGUAAGUUUAGAUCGUUUAGAUAUUGCCUAUUUAUUUCGCAAAUCAGAUGGUAACAGUAAUAACAUAACUUUGAUUCUAUGACCUUGAAACUGUUUUUUCCACAAAUGCUAAAAAUGAACAAAAUAUUUUAUGUCAACAUUUUUUGCCAAGCUAGAAUAAUAUCCAAUUUAAAUGUAAUACAAAUUUAUAUGAAUAUAAUCAUUACUGGGAAAUCUAUAUAAAAGAGCUGUGUGGUUCUUCAGUAUCAUCAAUUCUGCUAAAAAAAGCAAAUUAAUUUGUUUUACUACUCUCACAGCAUUACAUUACAGCACAUUAAUUUGUAUGUUUAUAUAGGUUUCUUGUUUUAUCACUACAACAGUUUACUGUAAUAUUAACAAGGAAUUAUAAUCCUUUACAAGCAUGUGCUCUCAUAGCAAAAGUAAAUCUUUGUGUAUAAAAAGCCUGCCUAUAGGAGGUCAAAUUUAGAUGCAUAUGGUUAUACACUCCAAUUAACCACUAAUUAAAUCUGAACAUGCAGAGCAAUAUUUCUGCACUCUGCGUUAUUCACCUCAUUAAAAUUCUCAGUGUCUUUGGGCUUUAAGUUCCACUGUUAAAAAUGUGUGUGUGUGUGUGUGUGUGUGUGUCUUUACUUUACCUGGGCUUGGUUUCUCUUAACAGAUUAAGUGUUAAAUUACCCAGUUACAAAGAGAUAAGUCCUGCACUCACUCCCAUCACUCCUGGCGGCAGCAGCGACCACAGUACACAUCAGCCCCAAUAUAUAGUAAAAACUAAAGAAAAAUAAAGUUACCUGCACUCUCUCCUUAAUCCCUAUGUAUAUUUAGACAAAUGGAGGUCAUUUAGUUACUCCAAUGGCCAUUGGAGGGAAUGCCCGCCUUCCAACAUCAAGGCAGACCCCCCUUGCUUCCUUAAGCUUCUGGCAAAGAUAUCUCUAAUGAGACAGAGAGGGGUAUUUUUUAUAUACACCCCUUUAUAGUUCUUAACCCUUAAUAGGGAACACAUGGGAUGGGCGGCAGCAUUGUAAGAAAGCUGUGUGAUACAAAAAGUGAAUACAAAUACAAAAAAAAGAGAAGCCCUGCCCUCACUCCCAUCACUCCUGGGCAGCAUCAGUGACCACAGUACACAUCAGCCCCAAUAUAUAGUAAAAACUAAAGAAAAAAAAGUUACCUGCACUCUCUCCUGAAUUCCUAUGUAUAUUUAGACAAAUAGAGGUCAUUUAAUUAAAAUAUAAAAAUACCCCUCUCUGACUCAUUAGAGAUAUCUUUGCCAGAAGCUCAAAGAAGCAAGGUGAACGGUCAGUGUAGGACCUGCUUACGGGGGGGUCUGCCUUGACGUAAUUAAAUUACCUCCAUUUGUCUAAAUAUACAUAGGGAUUAAGGAGAGAAUGCAGGUAACUUUUUUUUUUUUUUUCUUAAUUUACCCAGUUACCUUUUAAACAUACUACCUCUGUAAUGAAAUACUUAACUACUUAUUUUUAUUUUUUUGUUGAAUGCUUUGAUAACAAUAUAUUUAUUACAUGUGUUUUGUAAAAUUGUUGGGUUUUUCUUUUCCUUUUUUCCAGUUUUUUUAAUAUACUUUAUUUCUACCAAAGUCUUGAUGGGCGAUAAAAAUGUAAGUGAUACAUUUAAUAAUCAUUUAGUAAAUAUGCAUAAGGUAGAAAUAAUUGUAAUAUUGAAUAUAGGGCUAAGGCUUCGUUAAACUCACGGCAACAUGAGACAUUUUUUUCUGAUCUGUCAAGACUGGUGGACAUUGUAUUCCCAGGCAGCAGCUGCUAUUUGUGGCUAUUCUCUUUAAUUGAGCCCCUUUCCCUUUAGUGAUAUACCUUGACAGCAGGUGGAGAGUCAGUGUAACUUUAUCCCUUUGUUAUCAGCAUCUUUCAAGGCGUAUUAAAUAGGGAGGGGAGAAUGAAUUAAUGUCAGUUAGUUAGGACCUGCUGCAAUACAUACAAUUGCAGCACAUAUAAGAUUAAGAUGCCUUUUUAGUUUUUGUGAAUGAAGACUGAGUGCAAAAUAUAAAGCAUACUGCUUGAAAAGUAUCAAUAUUUUAGUUUUGACUUUUUCAUUCUGGAAGUGUACCUUAGACAUAAUAGUCUUUAAUCGGUCUUGUGUAUAUCUUUUAUUUAUACUGAAACUAAUACAGUGUUCUUAGUAUAUAGAGUUUCAUAAAAAUCCCGUAUUAUUGAAAUACUCAGAUUUGUGGCUGAUCAGACUUAAGGUGAUGAGCGCAGCCUUUGGGAUAUAAAGAUCAUUAAAAUCUCACUUUUUUGGAACUGUUAAAAGCUUUCUCUCCCCUCACCUUGGUCAAUCUCCUUGCUUCUCUCCUGCAACAGUCAUCCAAAAAAACUAACCUUUUAUUGUAAACUAUUCUAGUAACCUACAUGUUCCUAUACAUUAAAUAAACCCUAUUCUUAACUCGUGUGCCACUUUACCCCACUCACUCUAGCAUGUAAGUUCAUUUGAACAGGGCCCUCUACACCCUCUGUUCCUGUGUGUCCUACUCUUCUUGUUACAAAUACUUGUCUAUACCUGUCCACCUAUCAUAGAGGCAGCACUGCAACAUUUAUUGGCACUUUAUAAAUAAUAAUAAUAAUCUAUACAGGGUUUUAUCAAGACAAUGUGACAAUGAUUUAAUUAUAUUAAGACUCCUAACUCCCAUUAAUUUUGGAUGGAAAAGAGACUCAAUUUUUAAUUAACAAAAAAGGUUGAGUGAAGUGCAGAUAAUGGAGGAGAGUUAAAUUCCAGUUUGCAUGACUUAAACAGAGCAGUUACCUUGCUGACUUCUAUAUUCAUUCCCAGCAGCAAGUAGAUCAUAAAAUAACUAAUAACGCCUUAAUGGUCUAAUAUAGCUGCUUCAAAUUCAGGAUAAUAUGGUCAUGGUUAGCAGUAGGAUACUUUAAUUUAAUCAUAAAAGUAAAUCAAUUUUUCUUUUUCCUUGUUUCCACUCUCUAAACAAAUUAUUAAAUUAAAACAGGUGAUUAAUUUCAUAAAUAGCAUUAUAAAUCACACCUUUGCUCCGAAUAAACCUGUCCAUUUUCCUUUGCAGUCUUUGUGCAUUAUGUGCAACAUUUUUAUUUAUUUAAUCACAUAACAGAUGCUUUAUUUGCAACAAUUACAAUGCAUACUGUGCCAAGAUUCAGAAUUUUGGCACAGGAACUGUAUUGACCAAAAAGUGGUGUACAUUAUUCUACUUGGCAAUAAAGAUAUGCAAACAAAUGUGUUAGUAGAUUGAUCUCAUCUUGCCACUGCACUUAAGUAUGGCAUGACUUCUAUGCCUAAAGACUUGGUGAUUUGCUUCUUGCUUAUCUUCAGUUUUAGGAAGUAAAUGUUUCAGAUAAGCUCUGCAUUUAUCAACUAAUAUUGUCCGCUGCAAAAUAUUACAUAGAAAACCCCAGAUACAGAAUAAUACAGCAAUUAGAGUGUGUACUUGAACGUGCAAUGCCCGAUAGUUUGAAAGCAUUUAUAGCCCACUACAUUGCUAUUUUUCACAGUGCCCUUUAAAAGGAUUUUCUAUUAGGUCCAUGUGUCUGUCACUGCAAAACCUUAUUGUGCUUAACAAAACGGUUAUCUAUUCCACAUUUUUUUUUUUUUUUAUAAUUUCACUUAAAACAAAUUAGAACUAUAGAUUACUUGUACACUCAUUGACAGGAAUAACUAGAUAGAAAAACAAAAAGGGGGAAAAAAAUCUUCUCAAAGAAGGAUCAAUGACAACAGUUUUUUUUAAAUGUAUUUUAUUUUAUUUUUUUUACAAUGAAGUACUCUUCAUAUUUUGUUUAGGAACUAGCGGAUCUUUCAAUGAAGGGGGCAGGGCACUCCUUGAACCACAGCAACUACAACAAACUGUAGUGAUUAUGAUGCUUGGAGUGCUGUUUUUAAUGUGUAACAUGCAAUCAAAGCUAAAUAUAUACAGUUAAUUCAAUCAUCAAGCCAUUCUAUAGAUAAGGGCAGACGUUAUGGUGAAAAUGUAAAGAGUCAAGAAAAAAACAAAAAAUGUAUUCUUAGAAUAUUUAAAGCAUCAGUUUUGAUCAUGUGCUGAAGGUGAUUGUAUUACAUUUUUGUUUCAGGGUAUAGAGAACCUUAACUGUGAUAUAGGUUCAUACAGUGCCUCGUAUAGGUUCAUACAGUGUCUCGUUUUGAAAUGACACCUUCUCCUCUUGCCCUGUCUCUGUUUGAGUCCCCCAAGGAUCUGUUCUUGGUCCCCUUCUGUUCUCUCUUUAUACUGCCUCUGUUGGCAAACUCAUUAAGUCCUUUGGAUUCCGCUACCAUCUGUAUGCCGACGACACCCAUAUAUAAAUCUCUCCUCCCCUGAUCUCUCCCCCGUGGUCCUGCAACGUGUCACAGCUUGCCUUUCUUCUAUUUCUGAUUGGAUGUCCUCCCGCUUUCUGAAACUCAAUCUCUUUAAAACUGAGCUUCUUAUUUUGUUUCCAUCAUAAUGCUGAUCCUCCUUCUUCACUCUCCCUGCAAGUUAAUGGUGCUUGCAUCAGUCCAUCCUUGCAAGCUCAUUGUCUUGGUGUUAUCUUUGAUCCUGGCCACACCUUUGCCCCACAUAGUAUGUUGCUAAAACCUGUCGAUUCCACCUUAAAAAUAUCGCCUGCAUCUGCCCGUUUCUCACUUAAGAUGCUGCCAAUGAGCUUUUCAUGCUCUGGUAAUGUCUUGCAUGGAUUACUAUAAUUCUCUCCCAGUUGGUCUCCCCAAAAGCCGAACUGACCCGGUACAAAUGGUAAUGAAUGCUGCCGCCAGGCUGAUCUUUCUCACCCAUCAUUCCUCCCAUACCUCGCCCCUCUGUCGUUCCUUAUACUGGCUUCUUGUAUGAUAUAGGUGUCAAUUCAAAAUACUAACCCUUACCUUCUAAGCUCUUACCAACUCUAGCCCCUCUUACAUUUCUUCCCUGAUUCAUAUAUAUGCCACUUCUCUGUCUCUCCACUCUGCUGGUGACCUUCUCCUGUCCGCUGCUUGCACCCUUACUGCUAACUCGCGCUUGCAGGACUUCUCGCGGGCGGCUCCCUUCUUUUGGAAGAGCCUGCCUAUCCCCAUUAGACUCUCCCCUAGUCUUCAAUUGUUUAACAAGUCUCUCAAAAUACAUUUGUUCAGAAAUGCUUAUGGACUCCCAGAGUAACUUAUCUAUACUUACUCAAGUCUGUCUCUUACUCUCCUAAAGAGCCAUACUCCACUCUGACCUCCAGCUCUGCUACUUUUCCACCUUGUGUAUUUGUACCCCACCUCAUCUAGACUGUAAGUUGGUUUGAGCAGGGUUCUUAUCUACCUAUUGUUCCUGUGUCACUGUGUUAUUGGUGCUAUAUAAAUACCAAUAAUAAUAAUAAUAAUAAUAAUACUAAUAUACCCUAGCGAGGAGAUGAUUUCAUGAAAAUUCUGAAAGAAUUCCUUACAUUGUCUCAUGGUAUUUGUGACCACCUUUCCUGGUGGUAGUAUCACUUCAGGCCAUAUAAAUGGAAAACAAUGCUGGAAUCAAGAUUUGACUUGAUUUUCAUUAUGGUUAUUUUGUGUGUGGCCCUUACCUCGUGGAGUUAUGGAAAUUGAUUUAGAAGUAUAUGACAAAUAAUGCUUAUGCAGAGUUGCAUUGCAUUUCACUGCAAGUGUUACUGCCAUGCUCUUCAUUUUGGAUUUUUAGUUUGUAAUUGCAGUGUUUUAUUUUGGGGAACAUUUCUUUAUUUCACACCUGGGUACUAGCUCGGCAUCCUUUUUGUUCUUAUUUGACAAUCUUUCCACAACUCCAUUGCAGACAUUGAUCGCUUCUGAUGAAUGGGGCAACGUGGCCAGUAAAGGGUAUUUUUACCCUUAAAACAAGUUCAUCUCUAUGAAAUUGUUUUGAGUGCUGGAGUUCUAUGGUGCUGUCUCAUGAUGUUAAAUGCUUUCAAACAGUUUUACACCUUUGAGACAAAGUUAUCUCAUGGGAAGAAAGUACCUUCAAUAAUCUGUGUUAUUAUUGUAGAUGUUUGGAAGUGUUCACAUCUUUGUUUCUUGUCUAUUAGUUACUCAAACUAUAUUUAAUCUGUGUAAUUUGUUUGUGCAGUGAAUUUGUAUAUGUAAUUUGUUUAAUUAAUUUAGAAUGCUAGACAAUUGCUUUAUUUAGAUUUUAUACAUUAUUUAAAGAAUAUUCACUUUGGCAGCAUUACAUGUGGAUGAGUCAACUGUGUAAAAGAUGUAUGUUAAAUUACAUCUUCUAUUUGAAAAUUGUAACCAUGUAAUCCAUAUUCAGGUUAUAAUCCCAGAUAACCUUGUUUUUUACUUUCUAAGGAUGCAAAGUAAUUGGAUCCGUUAAAGUAAAAAAUAUGGUCACAAUCUUGUUCAACUCUAAAGCAGAAUUAAAAAUGUCUAUCACUGUAAUUGAAAAAUAAAUAAUCCAGAUAAGAACUCACAAACAACCAGGAGUAAUAAACAUUUAAACCUUUUUAACUCUCUGUUUGUAAUAGGCAUGAGAUACUGUAAAAUAAUUUGUUUCUUAUUUAAACAGAGUAGUAAAGUGAACAAAUUGCAUUCACUUCUCAAGCAUUUAUUCUCGAAAAAAAAAACUUCAUAAAUAAUGUCCAAUGCUAUAAUAUCAAAAGGGAAUACCGUAUUUCAAAAAUAAUCUUUAAAUGUAUUCAACUUUAUGCUUAUUAAAUGUCUCAAACCAUAUUGAAUAUAAUUUCAUUGUUAACAUGCCACAAAUAUGGCUUCAUUGAGGUUUUGGACAUGUUAUCAAAAUCCAGAUAUUUGACCUACGUUUUAAAUUUAGAUGAAUAAAAUUGAUUUUGAUUCACACUACUCUGUACUAUUGAUAGGGGAAACUUACUGACUUAAUCCAAUCUGUACAAAUCAGAGCCAUUUCAUCAAUAUUUGUUGUUAAGGAAACACUAUAAGAACUGAAACCAUGUGUAACCGUUAUGGAGCCAGGAGUGCCUGGUGCCAUCACAAGCCAUUUUAAAACCGUCUGCAAACUUACCACCUGCGGUGAUCAGUUUUCUCUCCAGCAGGAGAAAAAAAAUGUCUCUUUAAAACAAAGCAUCGGGGUUUGAAACUGGCUAUCUUAAUGCAGAGCAUGAGGAUGUCCAGCAUUGUUUCAUGGAGUCAAACUUUGUAAAAGUCCAGGAAGUGCUUCUAGUGGCUGUUUGAUAAUAAACCACAAGAGGCAAUUUUAGUACUGCAAUGUAAACAUUGCAGUUUCUCAAAAACUGCAAUGUUUUUUACACUUCAGCAUUAAGGGGAUGGGGAAGUGCACCCAGAUUAUUUCAGUAAGAGGAAAAAUACUUAUUAAAAUUGUAUUUCUUUCCCCCAGCACACAUUUCUCAUUGUAAAUGUAAUAUUAUAUUAGAUGCACUUGCUCUGAAUUGUGGAAAGAGUGUGCAUGUGUCUCCUGAAAUCCUGUGUUAUUUUCAUGUAUUUCAAUUUAAGGUGCUGUGUGAGUUUUAGAUUUUUUUUCCCCCUCCAAAUAAUCUAAUAGUCUAACUAUUGUACGCAAAAAAUGAUUAUUAGCAAAUGUAGUCAUUUAUCCUAGCAUAACAUAAUUUAUGUAAGAAUAACAUUCUAUUUACAGUAAGAUUUUACUUUAGUUAAUGUCCGUUUUGUUUUGUUUUAUUUUGUUCAGCAAGCAGAAUGUAUUUAACAUAAUUUAUUGUAAAGUGCUUAUUUGUGUUUUCCUAGUUGAAGAAAUUGGGAGCAGAUGCUUCUAGUCCCAAAUGAUCUUCAAUGUAGUUAACUCACUAAACUUAAAUAAAACUGAACAUGAUAUGCAUUUUUUCAUAUUUUCUUAUAUAUUUUCGAAAUAAAUAAUUUAUUGGUAGUACAUUAUUGCCUUAUUUAAUAAAAAUUGAUUGUGAUUACAAUGUGAUUUAUCUAUUUUGUUUCUUAAAUAUAUUGAAAAACUAAUAUUGAUAGACUAAAGAUAUUUAAUCUCCCUGAGUUGCUUAUCAAGACAAUGUGCUAUAGAAUUGUUUGAAGAUUACAUGUAGUUAUCUACAAUUUUUGUAAGCUAAAAAAAAAUACAAUCUAUCUGAAUAUAUGAGAAUACCUUUUUUAUAUUUCAGAAAUAAUAAACCUAAAAUGUGUAUUCUGCUGGAGUAAAGAUUUCAUGUCAAUUCAAAAAUCUUGAACCUGUACAUGCAAUCAAGAUUCUGAAACUUCUACAUACUUAAUGUUCAGAAGAAUAUCUUAAUUGUUUAGGGUAAAUCAUUAUCAAAAAAACAAAAACUUAUAAAUAAAUAAAUAUGUCUAUAUGUAUGUGAGAGCUGAUCUCUAUAGAGGUUACCAAUUCUACCCAUUGCCUUUUUUUCUAAUUUUAAUCCAAAAAUUGUGUUCUAAUUUAGUCAAGUGCCACUUGUGCAUUCUUGAACACAGUCAUUUCACAUGCCUUGUCUCUUAAAUAGAGAAUUAAAAAUAAAAUAAAACGUAAUGGUUUUCAAUAUAGUGGUGCCCUUUUGUUUCCAAAUUUAAAAUGAAAUGAUGUACCAGUUAAAAGAUUACGUUUGUAUGAGCAUCUUUCUUUAGGCUCUCUAAACUGUGUGGAUGUUUUGUAGAAAAUGUAAUGGUAGACCUAAAGACCAUGCUCUAAUAUAGAUAACCAAUAUGGUAGAAUACAUAUGCAUCACAAUCUGAAUCAGUCACUGGUGUGUGAGUGUGUAUUUGUAUCUAGAUAACAGGUCAACCUCUGUUCAAUAUCAUCAGCAAGCAGAGUUUAUAGGUGACUGCUUUCAGUCAGAUAACAGUACUGUUUGUGAAAGGAUUGUGUGAUAAGGAAGAAAUUAUUAUGAGCUAUUUAACAAAAUUUAUGAUGUGACACAGAUAAUAUGUUCUAUGCUGUUGUGGUAUUUCAUCCCUCUUUUUUUUCUCAUCCUUUCUCAAUUUUUUCCUUGUUGAGAUUCCCUCUCAAUUUAAUUUCAGCAUCCUUAUUGAAAUCCACAUCCUAUUUGAAGCCCACAAAUUCCUUUUAUAUUGCUUUAUUUGGUUCAUCAAAAUUGGUUCCCUCUUGUUUUCAGAUUUACUUCCUUUCUUGGCAGUCUAAUAAUGUAAUUUGUAUUCCAGUUUUACCUAUACGCUGUUGACUUUCAAAUAUUUUUUUGUUGUUGUUGCUCUCUACUAGGUGUGCCUAUUUUUUAAACUUCUAAGUUGUCUUUGCCAUUAAAGUAGCUUUGUCACUGCCUACACCCCCAAAUGAGUAUUUAAUAAAAAUAUAUCUGUGGCGAAAGUAACCUCGCCACUUGUGCUUGGAGAGGCCUGCUUGCCAGCCUCUUGCUCUGUGACUAUGGCCCCUGGGAUAUAUUGCCCUUUAAAAACACUAUUUGGUAUAUUGGAUUUUAAAGGCACUGUUUCUGCCCCUUGGACAUACUGGACCAGAUUCAAACAUGUGGCGGUGGCAGCCAUCUUAAAUUGUCCAGCAGGGUUUUGCCAUAGAGAGUAUGGAACUGUUUUGGACUUGGGACCAUGUGCACAGUGGGGAAAAAAAUAAGACUUCAAGGAAAUUCCUGAACCCAUGAACCGAUCUGGGUGAUUUUUGGAUAUGUUGUUCACCCAGAUCGGGGUGGGGAUAUGUUAUAUUUUGGGGCACUUUUUGGGGUUUGUAAAAAUGUAUGUUUUUUUUCUGCUUAGAGUUAAUUGAGUUAGUCUGUUAUCUUAGUUAAUUGUAUCACAAGCAGAGGGGAGGGCUUAUGUGCUGGAUGUGGGAGUGUUGGACAUUGUUGUAUUGUUCUGAUUGGUUUGUGUACCUGUGUUCCAUCAGGCCCAGGGGUUGUGCCUCUGGCCUGAGGAAUUGUAUAAAUUGUGAGUGCUGGCUUGCAUUAAGCAGACCUGCUUGACCCUUUCUUGAAGCCUUGGCUCAUGCUUGGGGGAUGGGAUAACUACACUCUUGGGGAUUGCUAUAUCACAAUACUCCCCUGAGUAUAAGCUCUUGUAAGAACUUGUUCCUGAUACGCUCUCGGGAUUAGGAGAGGUCUACCCACUGGAAGCUGGAUCCUGGUCUUGGGUCCAGGGAGGGUGGAGGACGGAGAGUCCCCGGCACAGCUGCAAUGCUGGAAGUGGGGUCUGCAGUGCUUAUGGUGUCUGGUGGGGUGCUUGGAGUCCUCGGCAAGCACUAGGAGCAUCGAUUGGUGGAGAUACUCGGUCGGAGUGCCAGCGGUCUGUCAAAAUAUCUUUAUAAAAUACAUUCCCUGUGUUGUAAUUUUACCGAAAUGCCAACACGGUGAAGACUACCUCGGUUUUAUGUAUAUUCCCUCCACCUGACAAAAUUUGACAAAAGGCUCAGUUAUCACUGUGAAGUUUUGUUAUGUUCCCGAGCCAUCACUAGUGAUGAGUGUGGGGAAAAAAGGCUCUCUCUAUGGAGGCUCACACAAUCUCGUGGGAUACUCCAUACACCUUGUUGUUUUUCUCACGUAAAUGCAAGAGUACAACACUGACGUGGGAUUCUAGCAGAUAAAGCACCAUGAGCUGAAGAGAACCCACCGGAUAAAGAUAGUUGUGACCAUGAGGGACAUCUACAGGUAUGUAAAAUGUAACUUCCCCUGCACCUUUAGACCCUGCCACUGGUGUACAUAUAGGGGUCACAGGGGUCGCAGCUGUAUCUAAUUGAUAUAUGUCUGCAUUGAUGGUUUUAUACAUGCUUAAAUCAUCACAUUUCUACAUGUGUAUAAAUAUGGUUUUAUGUUGCAAUAUACAAAAAGAUUUGGCUAUUCAUAUGCCCAGUAAGUAAUAUACUUCUAAAGUCAUUCUUUUUAGAGGGAGAUACACUAUACAAUAUAGGGAGAUAUAUUGAUUAUAACAGACAAAACAAAAUAGAAAAAAAAAAUAAAGGGUUUGUGCUCCUCCAGUUUCGUGCACUCAGCAUGCUUUAAUUGGGGUAUUAAGUUCAACAUAUUCAACGGUAUGUCAAGACCACUGGUUGGUGUAAACAUAGUGUUUUAUUUGUAUUUGUUAGCAUAAAAUAUAGAUAUUAGAAUUGUGCUAUACCUUCCCCCAUCCCACCCCCUGAGCUGGUGGUCAUUGGCAUGUUUUCAUUCCACAAUGAUAGUACGUACUAACCUUUUUUCUAUUUAUUUAUAUGUUAGUUUUUUUUUUUUUUUUUAGGAUUUGUGUUCCCACAAUUUUAGUUAAGAAUGCUAUAAUGUUGAACUAUAUAAUCAUAUACAUUUUUUUACCUUUAAGCAAGUCGCACACUGUUCAAAUCCAAGCAGCCGUUUGAUACAUCUAUGGAAAACAAUCAAAACAUAAAUUAAAAUAACUGAUGUCCGUAUUGAUGUAGUAAAUGUAUAAAAUUAUCCUUCAAGACAUAAUGAAGAGAUUUAAUACAUUAAAAAACUGAACAAUUUAAUUAUGCAUUGAAUCGUGUAUUUUCCUUUAAUCACUUAAUGUAUGGAUUAUUGAUAUUCUAUAACUAUUGUCUUUUAAAAUACCGUUUGGGUUGCUUUCAUUCUGAUAUAUGUAAAAUGUACAACCAAAGCAUUGUCAAUGAUCUAGAGAACUGCUGUCAAUGUAGAACCUUUAUUUUAAUAAGUACUGCUUUCUCUUUAAAUACAACUUCCAUCUAACAAUCCCUGCUGAGAUCUAAAUCAUCAAAAAGACAAGUUUAGUUUGAGAUUGAUGUUCUUUACAGCAAAUGUAACAUUUUACAGUCAUUUUCAGCACUUUGGUAUCAUUUUCUGAACUCCUGACACCUUUUAAUGUUAGGUAAAAAACAAAAGCCAGUGUUUACUGUGAAUUUGUUAUCCGAAAACCUUUGUGUCGAAUAGCUAGAGGGCUUUAAGUAAAGUCAUACUGCCUACUUCACUGCAUAACAGCAGUUGGACUAUUAUUGAUACAAGUGACUGAUGAUGAACUGAAUGGAAAAUGCCACAACAAGACAACCACUGAACUGAAUGAUAAAUUAAAGUGUCAGAUCUCGGUUUCAUUUUCUUUCUUUUUUUUUUCUUUUUUCAUUUCAGAUCUGCUCUAAGUAAAGUUUGACAGAAAAUGUUACUAAGACUCUGGAACUUCCUAGCUUUUGUCAUAGUAUUAACUAGUUACUUUGAAUGUGGUUCGUCACAAAAUGAAGAUG
rnacentral:lncRNA from 1 species